rnacentral:lncRNA from 1 species
UUACCUAUUGGUUUUCUUUAGGGGGGGAGAGGUUCGAAUCCUUCCGUCCCAGAGUCUAUUCAUUACAAAAUAAAUAUUUCAUUACAGAAUAAAUAUUGUCCUUUUAAACAACUUUCUGUUUUGUUUAAGAGUCAAAUAUUGGGGAGAAUGUGAUUCUUGUUUCUAAUUUUUAAUGAUUCAGAGGGAAGAAUCGUUUAUUUUUCAUCACUUGAACUGAUUUCAUUGUAAUCCGGGCAAGAUGGAAACAUAGAGCUAUCAUUUACCAAAUCUGUUAAAAAUUUAGCAUGUGCAUACCUGCCAUAAGUUGAAGGCAUGUAGAUUAGACUCCAUAAUGGAAUACAUUGUGUUCAUUGAUGGUAUGGUUGCAUCCCCAAUAUUAGGUAAGCUAACCUGAAUAUAUCAGAGAUCAGUUCAGGGAACCUCAAGGCUGCUUGUACUUAAACUGUUUUGUUACAAUUGUGACCUUUAGCCAGUCAAGAGUCAAAAUGCAGGAAAAUGCUGUACUUACUGCUACUAGCUCUAGAUACUGAAUUGAAUCUUUCAGACCAUCCCAAAGUUCCUUGAAGCUAUCAGUCUGCCUAAACAAGAUGAUAGAACUUUUGUUAGGAAUAAGAGUCAUUGAAUUUGUGUUGAAUUCAAGUCAAUGAAGGUGCCAUUUGACAUAUAUGGAAUUAGAUGUUUUCAUGGGACUUAUUACAUGAAUAACUUUCUUCCGAUAAAUCAUUAUUUGGGUAUGCCUUUUUAAUUAGGUAUAUGAUAUAUGUUUCUUUUGAAAUUGUACCUUCCACUAGUAUGUAUCUCUACUGCAUCAACAUCAGUUUGUUUAAGUAGGCUAGCUGCAGCAGUAGCAUCCCUUAUAUAUGUAAUGGCACCUACAUAUCAUUUCAGACAAGCUAUUCAGAGAUCCAAAUAUACUUGUCAUGAAUCCAUAAAUGCAACUGAAGCAAUUGAAGUAUUCCUCAAUGUUUUGGUGAAAGCAAAAGCCAGCUUAGUGAAAAGAAGCAACAUGGCAAAAGAAAACUAUCACUCACUUAUUUUAUCAUAUGGGCAAACUGGAAAACAACGACCACAGCCAUAGCAGCGCUCAGUUAUAACUCCACCCUGCACACCAGUGCAAUUUCAAAAUAUGAAGAACAAUGUGGAGACUCUGUUAAGGAACUCAUAAAACAGUCAAUGCCCCAAAAGAAAAACCUCUAAUUUACUCGAAACAGUGGUGCCACAGAAAGGCUCUGCUGUUGGUAUCCUUUCCUCUAAUGAGAUAGCAUUAGCAGGACAAACAAUCUCACAAGGUCUUGGGCAGUCAACUGGACAUUCCACUGGAUCAAAUUCUGGGUAAAGUUGUACCGGGUUCAAACUUCAAAUCAUAACAAAGAACUCAUACGCUCAAAAUCAUCUAGACACCAAUUUCAUUACUUUGUUGACUUGCAUUACCUUUAAUGAUUGCAUUCCAGUAUCCAAGAAUUUUAAGAUUUGAGAGCAUUUUUAAAUUCACACCCAGCCAUAUAUAAUAUUCAUUUANNNNNNNNNNNNNNNNNNNNNNNNNNNNNNNNNNNNNNNNNNNNNNNUCAUUCACUGCAUUUACUAUGGACGCAUCUGCAGCACAGUCGAUACAGUUGACUGCAAAUAACAACAUUUGUCAAAAGCAUCAAAAUUCCUUAUUAGCAUACACAUAUCAAUUACUACCGUGCAUGUUUUGAUAUGAUUUAAUACAAGUUUUUGUACCUCCAGCUAGAGUGUAAACCAAAGAGAGAUUCCUUAUAUCAAUAACAUCCUGCAGAGAAAGAUGUUUGUGUAUUUUAGUUUGGAAAAAUGAAUAAAAGGUGUAAAAUAAUUGAGUUAAAUGGAUUAUUCAAACCUUUAAGGCUUAAGCCGAAAGAAAAGCAUUCAACCUGGUUAAUUGUAUUCUAAAAUCUAAUACUUUUUUUUAUGCCCAAACCCAUUUAACUCAAAAACAUCAUAAGACUCAAUAGUCCUCUAAAUUUAACUAAAAUUUCACACCAGCCCAUGUUUUGAACAAAUAAACUUUCUUUUUCGAAUUUGUUUAGAGAUCCAAACAUAGCCUUAACAUAAAUGGGUAUCUACUAUAAUUUUAAAUAGGGGAUUGUUUUUCAUUUCUUCCAGACAUAGCCUUAAUGUAAAUGGGCAACCAUUAUAAAUCAAACAAUGCUGAAUCACUGCCAAAUUAUGCGGCCCUUAUAUAUAUAGACAGGAAAUUAUAAUUGUAAAUAAAGUGUUUCUUCCUAUACUCUGAUUUCUGUACUUCUACAUUUUCUGCACUCUUUCAUGUUUUACGAUACUAUCAUGUUCAACAAUUGAAUUAAAUAACAGAAUAUACAUACAAACAAUUUGUAUUCCAAUAAAAAAUAAGGGGUUCAGUUCCACCUCUAACACUCAGGGUUUUAGUACCUCAAAGCUAGCACCACAUAUGAGCUUUACCCAGUUACCCUUUUGCAGAGAUUCGUGUGGGGAAGAGGUGAUUGAAGGAACCCCAAUUUGUUUUAACAAGGCUUCUGACAUUUCAAGGGUCUGUUUGNNNNNNNNNNNNNNNNNNNNNNNNNNNNNNNNNNNNNNCUGUCGUGGAAGAAUUGCCGAGUUGCAGGAGGUCAGAGCCAUUACCAAACAGCUAGACGAGGACGAAGUGGAUAAAUUAUUUCGUAAUUUUCAUAAUUUCGAGGUUUAAGCGGAGAGAUAUUUAUGUUUGUCUGGGUGGAUGGGGUCCACCUGUUGGGACCUACCCAUGAAAAAGUAUGGUGAUGGCAUUUUCGUAAUUUUAUUCUCAAUUUCAUAUAAUAUUUUUUAAUUAUCAGUAAAAAACACGUAAAAGAAUAAAUUAAUUAAAUACAUUAACUAAAUCAAAGAAACAUUAAUAACUCAAACCUAAAGGAACGCCCAUAACUGGUUCAUGCAGAUUUGGCGGUUUCAUCUCUCUUUCCGUUACUCUAACGGCCAACAUCUCCCCCUCCAUCCUUCCAUCCUUCCCCAUCCUCUGAUCCAUUCUACGGUAAAAUCAAGAAAAAAUUAUCUGGUUAUCUCUGCAUUUCAAUCCUUGGAUUUAGUAAUCUUUUACAUUUACAGCAACAUUUUUCGUGCUUGCUCAGAAUCUCGUUCUCGAGAAUUGCUCCCCUGCUUUCUUAAACUCUGUUUUUUCCUUUUCUCUCUUGAUUUCAGGUCUUUUCUUUCUUCUUUCUCUCAAAGAGAUCUGCCCUUAAGCCAUGAAAAUAAAAACCCAGAUCUUAGUUUCUCAUCUUUCACCUUGAAUAAAACUGAACGUAAAAUCCAAACAGAACGUAGAACAAGAAUAAUUUCUGCUUCCUGACCUGAAUUUUUGCAGGUUAAUCCAUAGAUUUACAAAACAACAGUUUUUUCUGCUCAUUUUAAUUUAUUCCCAAAAAUUGAUCCUCUGUUUUUGUGUACUUUUUUUCUCCCUCGUAUUUUUCUUUCUCCGUCUCUCAAUUUCUUCAUUUUUCUCUUAAAAGGGUUUUUUCCCCCUUUAAGCUAUGAAAACAAAAACCCUGAUCUUAUUUUAUGUUAUUUUGUUAUUUACCAUCUUAAAUAAAGCUGAAGCUCAAAGCAAAAUCUCACAGUCAAACCCUGGUCCUUAUAUCUUAGCAUGCGGUGCAUCUAGCGAUGCGAAGGAUUCAGAUGGCCGAACAUGGAGAUCCGACUCAAAGUUUCUUUCUUCUUCUAAAGAUGCCAUAACAGCAACAGCUCAAUACCAGGACCCUUCUCUGCCAUCUGCAGUUCCUUACAUGACUGCGAGGAUUUUCACGUCUCAAUCGACUUACAACAUCUCAGUCCCAAAAAACAAUCGCCUGCUGCUCAGACUCCAUUUUUAUCCAUCAAUUUACAGUAAUCUCAACCCUAAUGACUCUUAUUUCGGAGUCAUCGCAAAUGAGUUUACUCUCCUAAAAAAUUUCAGUGCCUCGAUUACAGCGCGAGCACUCACACAAGCUUACAUUGUCCGAGAAUUUUCUCUUUCACCUUCACAAUCUGGUAAUCUCAAUGUCACGAUCUUUCCUUCCUCACAGCAAAAUGGGUCUUAUGCUUUUGUUAACGGCAUUGAGGUUUUCACCAUGCCGGAUAUCUUCCUGCCGGCCGCUCUGGUUGGUUUCUCUGAUCAAACUGUUGAUGUUGGGAGCUCUUGUUUACAAACAAUGACUCGAUUAAAUGUCGGCGGGCAGUACAUUUCUGCAAUCAAUGAUUCCGGUGGGCUUGAUCGGACAUGGUAUGAUGAUACCCCGUAUCUCUUCGGUGCUGCUUCUGGUGUCACCUCACAAGCCGAUAAGGACGUUAAGAUUCAGUAUUCUAACGAUGUGACUGAGUCUAUUGCGCCGUUAAACGUCUAUAGGACAGCAAGAUCGAUGGGCCCAAAUGGAACAGUCAAUAAAAACUAUAAUCUUACAUGGGUUUUUCAGGUUGAUGCCAAUUUUACUUACGUCGUCAGGUUCCAUUUUUGCGAGUUUCAGCUGGAUAAGUUGAAUCAAAGAGUGUUUGAUAUCUUUGUCAAUAACCAAACUGCACAGCCAUCUGCCGAUGUGAUUGCCUGGGCUGGAUCCCCGGGAGUGCCUGUUUAUAAGGAUUAUGCUGUUUAUGUUAGUGACCAGCCUGAUUAUGAUGAAGAAUUAUGGGUGGCAAUGCAUCCCAGUGCGUCAAUGAAGCCUGAAUAUUAUGAUGCAAUUCUCAAUGGGUUAGAGAUUUUUAAGCUGAAUGACACAGAAGGAAACUUGGCUGGCCUGAAUCCGACACCAUCAGUGAUGCCUACUGGGGCUGAGAAAACAAAGGAGUUUAGUACUUCUAGGUCAAGUAAUAGUGCACAUGUGAUUGGUGGGAUUGCUGGAGGGGCUGCUGGGUGUGUUAUAGCCUUUGUUGUUAUCAUUGUGAUCACUCGGAAGAAGAAGAAUUUUAAUCGCAGCAAAUCUGGAUCGUGCAGUGGUAAUUGGUUGCCUAUCUAUGGAAGUUCUCACACAUCAACAAGCAAAUCAACAAUAUCAGGUAGAAGUAGUGCAGGUAGUCAUCUGUCAAGCCUUGCAGGUGGUCUGUGUAGGCAUUUCUCACUGGGGGAGAUAAAAUAUGGCAGCAAGAACUUUGAUGAGUCAAGGGUGAUUGGUGUUGGAGGAUUUGGAAAGGUUUAUAAAGGAGUCAUUGAUGGAGGGACAAAGGUUGCCAUCAAAAGAUCAAACCCAUCUUCAGAACAAGGAGUUAAUGAGUUCGAAACCGAGAUUGAGAUGCUUUCAAAGCUAAGACACAAGCAUUUGGUUUCCUUGAUUGGGUUUUGUGAGGAACAAGGAGAAAUGAUUCUGGUUUAUGAUUAUAUGGCUAAUGGAACACUAAGGGAGCAUUUGUAUAGGGGUGACAAACCUUGCUUGUCAUGGAAGAAAAGGUUGGAAAUAUGUAUUGGGGCUGCAAAGGGACUACAUUAUCUUCACACAGGUGCCAAGUACACAAUCAUUCACAGAGAUGUGAAAACUACAAACAUUUUGCUUGAUGAAAAUUGGGAGGCAAAAGUAUCCGAUUUCGGGCUAUCAAAGACGGGUCCAAAUCUGAAUCAAACACAUGUUAGCACAAUGGUGAAAGGUAGUUUUGGUUAUUUAGAUCCUGAGUACUUCCGCAGGCAACAGCUGACAGAGAAAUCUGAUGUUUACUCUUUUGGAGUAGUCUUAUUUGAAGUAUUGUGUGCAAGGCCAGCCCUUAAUCCCAGCUUGCCUAAAGAACAAGUCAGCCUUGCAGAUUGGGCUCUAAGUUGUUUGAGAAAAGGGGAGCUUGGUGAGAUUAUUGAUCCUCGUCUUGAAGGACAGAUAAACCCUGAAUGCUUGGAGAAAUUUUCUGAGACGGCAGAAAAAUGCUUGGCUGAUCAUGGAAUUGAGCGGCCAUCAAUGGGUGAUGUGCUGUGGAAUCUUGAAUUUGCACUUCAGUUGCAGGAAAAUCCUGAUCAGGCUGCAAAUUUUGUUGCAGUAGAAAAGCCUGAUCAUGCUGCUGCUCAUUUACAAAUGUUGAGAAUCAUUGAUGAGGACAAUGUGCUGGGGGAGGAGGAGACUGAUGACUCUAGUUCAGGUGUAGUUUUCUCUCAGAUGGUGAACCAAAGAGGAAGAUGAUUAAUAACAAGCAAGUUUUAGGCUCCUCUGAUUGUUUGCUACUAGUAAACAGAACAUCAUGCAAAAGAAAAAGUUUAGGUUCUUUGAAUAUUGUUCAUUUUUAAUUUUAUUUGGUUUGACCAUUAUCAUAGUAUCAUGAGCUAUCUGUUUGGCUUUCAAAUUUCCCCUUUGAUAUGACACUGUUUUAGAAAUGUGAAGUAAAAAAGCUGAAGAAUUUAUGAGAAUAUCUUUUUGGGACUAGACAAUAGAAAGGUUUAUAGGCUGAUGAUUUAGGAUCAACAUGGCAGGUAUGUACUAAUAUUAAACUAUAUGCCAGAAACGUGCUACAUAUUAAUAUAUAAACUCUGAUAGGAAACCAUCAUAGCCUUGUUCCAAUGGGUAAAUUCUGCAAUGCUCCUGAGUUAAUUUUCUAACAUUUUUAUUAUAUAAUAUUUGAUAAUAAUCCGUUAUAUUUACUAUAAAAUAUUAAUCAAUUCUUGCAUACUAUGGUGCCGUCAGUAGGACUCUCUCCUUCUCCCUCACCCAUACACACAUAGUAGGGGACUCUUCUUCUCGCUUGUGUAUACAUAUGUGUAUGCAUAUAUCAGUUCUCGAGCAGUGAGCCUUUGGCUUUGAUGGUUACCUGCAGUAACCUCCGCAGGCAACCAACACAGAUACUGCCAGAGAGAAAGAGAGAGAGAGAGAGAGAGAGAGAGAGAGAGAGAUGCCAUUUGCAGCUUUUGCUUCUUUAUCAGCUGAAAUCUACUUUUAUCAUUUACAUACAUCUAUAUAUGUGUGUAUGUAUAAAUCAUCUUCUGUUUAUAUUAUAAUUUAAUCGUUAUCACUCCUAUCAUCCUAUGACAAAAGAAAAGCAAGAGUAGGACAAGGAAAAAGACAAAAAGGAGAGCAGGAAGAGCACACUGCCUGCAAAGCAGCGUUCAGACCUUCCUUGCCUCAUGCUUUUAUGGAAAACAGCAGCUAUAGCUCUUAGUGACCAUGCACUAAUGUUCUUAGCUGCAUAUAUAUUUAUAUAUAUAUAUGAUAAUCUAUCAAAAAAGUAGCCGUAGCUCUUAACUCCAAAAAUCUCAUUCCAAAAUUUACAAGUUCACCAUUUUCUUCAUGAACAUGGAGUAAUGUUCUUAGCUGCAUAGAUACAUGCAUAUAUAUAUAUAUAUAUGUAUCAGAUUUUGAGAUGUGGGUUUUCUGGGUUUUGCUUAAUUUGUUCCUGGGUCCUCAACAGAACUUGGCAGACUUGAAAUGCAUAGGGUACAUAAACGAGUUUGAGUAAGUAAAUCUGAUGAUUUGGCUGCUCUUCAAUCCUUUUCCUCCAUUCACCAAGCAAUCAUCAUAAGAGAGCCUCUUGAAAAUUGUUGGGUUCACCAUUCUGUCAGAAGCAAACCAGCCACAAUAAAGAUGGAUUGCAGAAGGUGCACACCCAGAUACAGUGCAGGUAUUCAUAAUCUGGACUAUGAACUGUGGAAUCCCUGAGCUUGAGCUUCUGCUUUGUGAAAUGCUUAUGUCUGUGCUCCUGCAAGUACCUGAUCAUACCCAUGACUCGACAUCAAUCAAGAAUUGAAAAUGAACACAUGCAUAUAUAUUGUAUCUAUGUGUGCAUAUAACUUACCAAGCAACAAGAGCUUUCUAUGGAUUGAGUAAGCUUGCUCUGCUUUCAGAUUUGCUUGCGUUGAUGACUGAUUACUUUUAUAAUCUCCAUGGGAUGAAAAAUACUGCAACUUGAUCUUGUUUGAAGAUUCUGUCAAACAUAUACAAAUACAUUAAGUGUAUAAACUCAAAAAUGAAAAAAGAAGAGGCCAAGAGGUACCUGAAAAUAAAGCAAGACCGCAAACUACAAGCAAGAAUAUCAUCGAGAAGGAGCACAAGUGACAAAUAGUACUCAUGACAGUUUAUGAUUUGGCUCAUGUGCCUAGCUCCUCUUAUAUGUGUGUAUAUAUAUGUAUGUAUGUAUGUAUUUAUGUAUGUAUGCAGUUUCCUCUUCCAACUUCUGUGAACAGAAAAUCAGCAGAAGAGAGGUUUUGGGAAGAUGCUCUUGUAGGGUUAGUGACCCCUAGUUGUGGGGAUAUAUAUAUACAUACAUAUAUACGGGGAUUGAAGGAUCUGAGUAAGGUGAAAAACCACUUUGUCAACAAAGUACACUGACGGUGCAGAGAUAUGUAGGGCAGACUGAAGGACCUGCACCACUGCACCAGUUUCUUUCUAACAGUAUUGGUCUAGUAGUCUAUCCCAUUUCAGCCCACUUUUUACUCUUGUCAUGAAAAAAGAUGAUCGGCAGCCAUUUAUUGCAUAGUGCCUAAAGGUGACAAUACAUAUAAUUUUUUUAUUCAAUCUACUUUCUUCUGUACUGCUUUUAAAAUGCAUUAAAAUCAAAUAAUACCACAACCAAAUUUUUUUUUAUUUAUCAAAUAUUAUAUCAUAUAGUUGAAGUGAAAAGCUGGCCAAGUCUUGGUGGGGAUUGUCCUGUUACAUCAAAUCCCUAUUCCGUGCAGCUCAUAUAUAUCCUGUGCCUUCGUAAGUACAUCCCUGUUCUUGCCAUGCAAGUGAAAACUGCAAGCCAUUUUUUGGUAGUCAAAAACACAGAGGGUAAAAUUUCACUUUUCCUACUACACUCUGAUCACCUUCUACUUCCAUCCCCCAAAGUAAAUUUCAAAAGCAAAAUCCUCCAAUCUCUUGAUAAUUGCUUUGGAAACAUUACAGCAAUAUUUCUCUAUGUCUCACAAUAAUUUAAAGUUAAUAUAUUUAUUUGUUCAACAUAAAUCCUAACUAUAAUUGGGUAAGAAAGAAUUCUUGAAUUUACUCCAAGAAGAAUUACUGUAAUCCAAACAACCUUUUUUUUUUUUUUUUACCCAGGUUAAAUUUCUCAUGGUCACAUCUUUUACCUCUGUGUAUGUUGAGAAUUAAGAAAAAAGUCCUCUUGGCAAAUCAAUCUUUGACCUGUAUGUGUUUCCAUUGGAGAAGACAAGAUCAAAGAAUCAGAAACCUGUUGGAGUCAUGAGAAAGGACAAAAUUCCAAGGGCAGUUGUCUUUAAUAAGGGCGGUUGUCAGCUUCCCUAAUGGCCUAAAACCAUGGAAACUUGAAAGGCAUGGCCUCAAAAGAAUGAAGGACUUUCCUUAUUUGGCUAAUCCUGAAACCUGCAACUCUCUUCCACAUUCACACCCAAAGGAGUAAAACUCAUUUACUCCUUGCUUACGUGCAUUUGUCAACUCUCCUCCAUUCACUCCUCUUCCAUGUUUUACACACCUAUACAUAUAUCUGUAUGCUGAUGUAGAAACAAUGGAGUAUUUAUGGCUCAUUGGUGAUAUAUAUAUAUAUAAUUAACCUUUAUAAUUCAAUAGAUUCUCUUUUUGUAUCUUUAAUUUUUUUAAUGUAAUCUUACAUAAAGUGUAAAUUCCGAUUAGAUCUAGACUAAAAUAUAGAUGAUAUAUAUAUUUUUAUAUAUAAAAUCCAAGGCCCAAGUGUUUAGUUUAAUACGUCUGAGAAAUAUGAAGCUAAAGCCCAAAGUAGCAACUGAGAGUAGAAAGUAGGUCGUGUGUAAAAUAUCCAUCAGGGGAACAACGCAAGCUUCAAGCCCAAUAAUUGGGGAACGGAACAAAAUCCGUUAGGGUUUAAGAUUCAGCCAGGGUUUUUUCCCUUGACAAAUAGGUAUUUAUUGCUUUUUACUGUUCUUCUUCAGGUGCUAAGCGCCUGGCCUCAAAUGGAGUUUGAGUAGGCGAAUAAACGGGGAGAAAAAUUUACAAGCUUGAUGAGAAAUGGACUCGGUUGAUGACGAUUUCGGUGAUUUAUAUGCCGACAGUGAGGCUCAAGCGACUUCUGUUAUCAAUGGCGUAGUGGAUUUCACCAAAUUGUAUAUAGAACCGGAAUAUGCUACCAAAAAUGACAGAAUUGAGGCUCCUAGCCCCAAAAAGGAUUUGGUACUCCAUCCAGAGGAACACAAUUCAUUGACCGAAGAGUCAAGUCAGUCGGCAAACGAUGAUUUGGCUCAGAAAGCGGCAAGUUUCGAAGCAGACGCGAGUGACAGUGACGAUGAUUUGACCAUCCUAUUAAACGAUGAGGAUUGCAAGACGUUUCGAGUCUCCGCUGGGGCUUGCCCGAGGAGUUUUAGGCAUGAGGAGGACGAGAAUGGUAAUUUUGGUAACGGUGCAGAGAGAAACGGGUCUGGUGAGAAUUGGAAGUUAGGUGAUGGACUGGAGCUGAAUUCGAAUGGUCAUGGUGGUCAGAGAGGAAAAUGCGUGAAUGGUGGCUAUAAUUCGCAUUAUAAGGUAUUUUGUGUUGCAUGCGUGGAUUGUUUGCUGGUAGAAUUGUGCUAAUGAGAAGUGAAUCCUUUGGUGAGUUGGGUCGUUAGUGGAAUGAAUAGGAAAUUAGUGUUUUUUUUUUUAAAAAAAAAUUCUUUUAAUCCAAUAUUUAUGGUGUAAGUAGAGAGGUUAAUUAGUGAUGCUGCUGAAUGCUGUUUGUUAGGUAAUUGUUUGGAUAGAUUUUUUCUUGAAGAUGCAGCUGUGUCCUAAUCUUCAACUACAUUGAAUUGUGAAUUCUGUUUCUUUAAUGGAGGUUUAUUCAAAUUAUGAUGGCAUUGUAUCCCUUGAGCUUUCUCUAGAUGACUAACCAUUUCCAGCACUUCCCUCUGUUGCCUCCACCCAAACAUCCAUUCUUCCAGGGAGGAUGGGGCAACUGAAGGGGGCCAGAAUUACUAAUGAUGGAAACUGGUUAAACUUCAACUUUGGGAUAUGUAUUAUUCUGCUGUCAGAAAUGUUCUCUUCAAUGGUCAACUAUAUUGAUAUAUGUGUAAUGUCCUAUAAAAAUUUAAUGAAUUUGUUUUUAGCAGUGAUCUAAGUGAAUAAAAUUUUCAAGUAAUUGGUGUGAUUCUUGUCCACUGGUCCUUCCUAAUCCCAUAUAUUUGCGGUCUUAUAUGUUUUUCUUGCAUUUUGCCAUGUAAGUAAUAUUAUUCUCCUAACUGAGAGUAUCUUCUGAAUUUGCAUAAUGAUUAUAGUCCAGUUACUUAUUUGAGUGCCCUUCAACAGUACAUACGAUCUCAUGGAUCAGCAAUUUCAAGUAAUAUAAGAGCAAAUGGAUUUAGGGAGGUGGCAUCUUUAUCUUCUAUGUCAGCUAGGGGUGAUUUGGAGGAUAAUAGGGGUAUCCAAUUCAAGAGUUCUGGCUCCAAUCAGGUUUCUGAUACGUGUGGCAAUCCCAGCUUAGUUGUCUCACCACCAUUGUAUAGGUUAGUAAAUACAACCCUGAUGCUUAUUUAGACUACUUUACUUUCUCUCCAGUUUCGUAUGGGAACAUUCAUUUAUCAUUGACAUACAGAAGUGAAAUUAUAAUUUAAUGAGCUAUAAAAAAUAAAGAUGAGAAGAAAUUUGUUGAACACAUUAUGUGACACGUGCCUUCUUUUUAUUUUUACUCAGAACAAUAUUGAAUAUAGAUAUCGACGCAUUGAAGAAGAAACCAUGGAUGUGUCUCGGAGCAGAUAUUACUGACUUUUUUAAUUUUGGUUUUGAUGAGGAGAGUUGGAAACAAUACUGGAAGUCCCUGGUAAUAAGUCUAUUCUCAUUUAUUUCAGGAAAAAAAAGUCUAUUCUCAUUACAAUAUAUUGUGAAAUAAUUCUCAGUUUGUUGGCAGAUGGGACUGGAAUUUUUCAAAAUAUUUUUGAUAACCAGGAAUUCACACGAGGCAGGUCCCAUAAUGCCCCCAUGGGGAAAAGUGCUCUUCCCUAAUGAGUGCUACAUCAUAAGACAUUUACGUUCAUUACUCAUCUUAGAUUCCCCCUUCUGUGGGGGCAUUAAUAAAGAAUCUUUUUGACAAUGGUUAUGUUGUAAUAUUGUGUAGGCUUUUCCUAUUAUGUUUUCUGAAAUACUUUUAGUUGACCAAAUUCUAACAUUUAUAUGCUUUGCAAGAGCUAUUUCAGCAGCAAGCAUCCAUGUGGGUAAGGAAACAAGUUUCUGGUUGUCCUAAACCUAAUUGGGUGAGUUAUUAUAAUUUUUGGAGACAUUGUUAUUUCAAGUGAGAAAUAGUUUCAAGAAGAUUGAAUAUCAUUAUGUUUGCACAAAAACAGGCUUCCGCAGUUGGAGAUGAAAAUGAGGAAGCUGGCCAAGCAGCUGCUAAUAACAAUACUCAAGGUAAAACAUGUUCAGAAUUUGCUGAUGGCAGAGCAAGGACUUCAUGCUUGGUAUGUGUAUUUGAAAAUUAUAGACCCACACCUCUCCUAGCCAAGAAAAAAAUCUGACUAAUAUAACAAUGGUGACAUUUUUUGUUUUAUCUCUAGAAGGAUCUUGUUGGAUGUGAUUAUUGUGACUUUACUGUUUCAGCCAAGGGGAAGAGCAAUUCAUGUUGAAGACGCUAUUGGUGACCGUCAGCCAUCAAUGGACAUAAAGCGUCCACGUUAUCGGGAUUCUGAUGUGGUGAUACAGGUGGCUUGUGUUUCACUGGAUAAAUUGGUACUCCAAUCUAGUGUUUCUUGGUUGUGCCAUGGUUUAACAUGUUAUUGGUAAUAGAUUCCUUUGCAGGAUUUCACUGUAGAUUCCUCUGGCUCAAGCAAGGAGGAAAAAGAACAUACUGGUUGCAGUAUACAUGACACAUCAAGAAAUGGGAAUUUACAUGUAGAUGAUAGUAGAAAUAUUCAGUUUUCUGACGGUAGCGGUGGCAGUGGAGAUGAAUUCACUGCAGAAUCUUUGGAGGAAGAUUUCAGGAUCCCAGAUGUGUCAUCUUCGUUGAGAAGGUUUGAACAGUAUUGUGCAUUUUGAUUUGUCUAUUUACAAAGAAAUUACAUCUCUUUUGUAGUUUUUCAAAUGGCAUUGUACAUUUUUUUUAAUUUUCUGUGUCUCUUGCUACAUUGACUUGGUGAGGGAUAUUGCACUCAGCAGCUAACUUCGUUUGCGCUCUAUGUAAUUAUAUUUCAGAAUAUUAUAUUUUUGCACUCUAUCUAAUUCUUCUAGCUCUCACAUUGCACUUGGUUAAAAUCUAUUUUAUUUCAAUUCAAUUCAUAGAUCUUAAAGAUUUGAUAUAUCAAAGUUAGUCAUAAUUUAUGUAUAAUUUAAUUAAUUUUACUCAUGUCGCCAAUUCUAUAAUAAUAGAUUUGUAUUUAUACUUAUGAAGAUCAAAAUCAUAGAAACACGGCAUGGAAUUGAAUUGGAAUUACAAUAAUAUUUUUGUUCAAAUUUUUACCUUGUUUGCAUUUUAUUCUCAUUCAUAUUUCAUAAACUUAAAAUUUAAACCAAAGACAACCUUGUAGUAGAAGAAAGUACCAGCCCAACUCUAGUUCCACUUGUGUCGGGCAUAACAUGACACUAGUGGGGUUAAGAUCUGUGUCGAACACUUGAUAUUUAUCUUGUAAACUUGCUGAAUCUUUAACUUUUUAAUAUCCAAUCAGUUAUGCAUUCAUAAAUACUACUGAACCUUUUUUUAAUAGUUUUCUUUCAAAUGUAAGGUUGCUACCUUUUUGUGCAUUUCCUGUAACAAACAAAUCAAAUAUCCUUGCCGAAACUUUUGACUCUUAUUGAUUGUGUCCCCAUAUGUUUGGCUAUAAAAAGUUGUUAUCAAAUACUUAAAUCUGUACCAAUAUUAGAUACUUGGACACGAACCUGAGCAGAGUAGUAAAUAAGUUAAAUUUAUGGGUCAGUGUAUGAAAAAUUGGCAAGGAGUUCAUUGCAUUUUAUCAAUGGAAAGUUUCUAGCUCACUAGAUUUUCCCAUAUUUUCUUAUGCUUUGCUCAGCUACGUUGUAUUAAUAUCCAGACAAUAGCAGCUUUUGGUGACAUCUCUGGAAAAUAUCGGAUUUUUUUAUCAUGGCUAUGGGUACUUUUUCUCUUGAUGGAUACAUUAAUGCAAAUAUUGAUACUUCUAAUCAAUCUGAUAAUUAAAAAGAAGAAAUUGGUAAUCUUUUUCGUAUAUCAUUAUUAAUCGAUUAAUUUUGAGGUUGUAUGUUGCAUUUGGUAUAUAUCAUUUACAAUUGAAGAAGAUUGCAUGCAGUAUUUCAUAUUUUGUUAGGCUAUUAACAAAUUCAAUGCUUUUGUAGGUGUUCAAUGCCCAUGAUUGCAUCUAAUCAGAUGUCUUUGGACACUGACCGUCAAGAACAUGCAACAAUCUCUGUUAUGGAUCCCUACAACCAUCCAAACAUGAGUGCUUGCUGUUCGAAGAUUACUGGAGCAAAGGAAUCUGUUGAUAAGGAAGAGAAAAGAAUCAACACAAAUGCAAGCAAUUCUGAUCCUUUUCGAAUAGAGAAAGAACUAUCAGCUGGUGGUCUGAGUCCUUGUAGCCUUACUACUUGUUCUGAGAGUGACACGGAGGCAUUUAGAGCUACUGUUCAUGGUGAUCCUAUGGAAACCUAUGGUUCAAGACAACCAUCCCCUGAGUUACAGGAAUCAGACUCAUCACACUAUGAGAACUAUAAAAGGCAUGGCAUUAAAACAAAAACAGAGAAUGGGAAAGGACAUUCAGGAUAUGGAAGUUCAUUUCAAGAAAAAAAGAAACCCCUUGGUGAAAAACUCAAGUCUACUGCAAAAAGCAAGAUAUAUCCUAAAAGUGAUGACGAUUCUCCCCUCGUACCAAAAAGAAAGGGUGACAGUAAAACUUCUGUGAGAUAUAAAAGUCCCCUUCAAUUUCAAGAGGAAAGGACUCAUCUUAGUCACAGACCAUGUCUGGAUUUUGAACAGGAGACCUCCACAAAAAAUGCCGGCAGUGCUUCCUCUAUGUCAAAAUCAGUUGCAGAACUGUAUGAUAGAGAUGACACAUCAGUGGAUGAGGGAAGAUGGAAUGGUAGGUUGCACGAUUAUCUUAACAAAGAAAACUGUGCUUAUCACAAGGGAAAGGGAAUUCAUUGUGGUGGCCAUGAGAGGUUUGCUGAAAAGCAUGCUUGCACUGUUUAUUCAAGGUAUUCUCCUAGGAAAUCUCAUCAGAGCUCCAGAGAUGAUGUAGAUCAAUAUGCCAGAAGAAAUUGCAAUGAGAAGGGGUACUAUUCUAGAAGAGGAUACACUAACAGGGACACGAGUCCUCGCACUUCAAAGGAGUACAGAUCAUUGACUUCAAAGUAUUCCUGUGAUCACAAAGGGAGGGAUGCACAAUGGAGGAGAGAGCAAGAAAAACUCCAGUUCAGGAAGAGAACUGAAUAUGAACACAUAGAUGAUUUACAUAGAGACAAGUAUGCCCGGUCAAAUUCAUUCACUGAUUGGAUGAGGGAUGAUACUUUUAGUGAAACAUAUGAAGGAGAAUUUCCAGUGUUUGAGAGAGAAUUGGAAUUUUCUGGUGGAAGGGAUAGGUGUCGGAAUGCUCCAUGCUUGCUCUUCGAUAGAAAUUCAAGGGGAACACGUUAUACGAGAAAUCCAGAUCAUAGAUUUUUCUGCUCUCAGUCACGUAGUGAAUCUUGCCCUGUGAAAGGCGGAAGAGAUGAUUUUUGUAGAAAUGAUUUUCAUAAAAAUGAUGUUAAGAAUUUUGAAGUUAUUGAAGCCUAUGAUGGGCGUAGGAGAAAAACACAUGAGGAUGAAGGAAGAGAUGGUUGGUUUGGUGGCUGCAAUGGUACUGAAGAAAUUGAAAAUAGUCUAAUGUAUAAGCACAAUCAAGUUAAUUUGAGGAGAAGGCAGUAUAGUUGGAAAUCUGGAGUAUUUCACUGCAGUAAGGAUGAGUUCAUUGUAAAGCAUCAACAUGAUGAAUUUGUUACCAAUGAGGCACUGUUACCCUAUGAAGAAGCUUUGAUGCGUGACAGAAUUUUUUCUAAACAUCGAUUUGCAGAGGAUGAGAGGCAUAUUGAUGACAUAGAGUUGGAGCACCAUCGAUACAAAAUGAUAAAAAGUGGGAAUGGUUAUCAUUCUGCUACUAGAAGUACGGGUCUUUAUGAGCAUGAACAGUCAUUCCUGAGGUGCAGGGAUUCAGUUGACUUAAUUCUUGGGGAAGUCGAGGUAAAGUUGGGGAAACUGAGGUUCAAACCUUGUACCAUUGUACUUUGUAUAUACGACUGCUUGACACAUGUCGAGCAAGUCUUCUUAAUUCCUGUUAAUGCUAUUUUAACACGUGUAUGCUUUAUCUCUAUUUUGUCUUCCUUUCAUGUUCCAUAUAAUUAGCUCUAUAAAGGUUUUUGAGCAUUUUUAGCUUUUGUUCACAUUACUGUCAACCUUGUCAUUGAGAGUGGAUGCCUGGUGGAAUAUAAUAUUUUGUCAGCACGGGAGGUGGUUAAAUAACUUUCAAAAGAUCUGUCCUUUCUCAAAGUGUGUGCAUGGCACUUAGAUGAAAUGUCUUUUACACCAUCAUUUUUUUAAUCUUGGAACAUGCACUUUUCUUAUAGAACAAAUUAUGUCUUUUUUGGCCUAGAGCCUUUCGCUCUGUUGCUGCAGUUCCCUUCAGUUGGGUUCAAGGUCAGGUUUUUGAGGGUAUAUUGCCCAUACUGAAGCAUCAUAUACUUACAAGACAAAAGACCUACCAGGUCAAGUAACUCUCCCUUUUAGUUACUGGUAAGUGUAUGGUCAUAUGCUCAUUUUGUAGGGAAAAUCCCAUCAAGGAGGAGUUGUCCUAGAUUAUUAAUUCUAUUGCUAUCAAUAGACCACAUUUCUAUAACUUUGGCUGUAUACGAGACAUCUGUUAUUUAUGUUAAAAAAGAGGUGCUAUAAGCCUUCUGAAAUGAACAACUACUGGAAUUUUACUUUAAUCACAAAUUCGAAUAACUUCUUUGUACAAAAUACUCAAGUUGGGUGGUAUAGUUGGCUGAUCUGCUACAUAAGGCACUGAUUGUGCCUCCAAUUUUGGCAUGACAAAUUUCUGCUCUCCUGAUGGGGCUUUUUUUUCCCUUUGGUUUUGAUUUUUUCCUGGUGAGAUAAUGAGGCAUCAUUUAUGAUAACAUACUGACCAAAUUAAGGAGCUUUUCUAUCUACAAUUUAUGCUAUUCUAUAAAAGAAAAAUUAAUCUUGGAAGGCUUUAGUUCUCAUAAAUGCAGUUAGUCCAUUUAAGAAUGAAUUUCAGUUAAUAAGGCUCUUGAAUCACACUUGCCUUUUCCACUUAUUAUUUUCCUGUUCGUUUGGUUUCACUAUUUCCUUGUUAUGUUCUGCUCAUGCGAAACCUGUUGUUUAGACUGUUUUCGAAUUUCACAUUUUUGUCCUCUAACCAUUAGUCAUAUAGUUUUCUAGUUUAUUUCAUUUCUCGCUAAACUGCAAUAUAUUGUAAAUAAUGUUAAGAGAAAAAGUGAAACUCUUAUUAUAACUAGUGUGAUUUAUUUUGAAGCUUUUUCUUGGUGUUCAUGUAUCCCUGUUAGUUCUAUUAUGAUUGGCAUUUUUUUAGUUUUUUGCAAGCAAACUGUAAUCUUUUAUGUUUUGACAUUAGCCAGGUUGCACAAAUACUGUAACUGCUUUUCCAGAACUAGUGAAUUCACAAUUUCUAUUGUUGCAAGUAAAUUGUAAUUAAUUAUGUUUUGAUAUUAGUCAGAUUGAACAAUACUAGCACUUGCUGUUCCUUACUAGUGCACACACACAUACACACUCUUGUAUCCAGAAGGUAAAACUUAUGUACAGUCAUGCUUGCCUUAAUAGCAUUACAUGUUCAAAUAGUAGCGCCACAAAUAAGUUUAUAGGGCUUAUAGAUUAUAUGAAGUUACAUCCCAUUGUUUGAUUGUCGAAAGAGGCAUAAAUGGAGACUGAAGCAUCUUCUGUUGUCUUAAAACAUUGACUUUGCAUCCUUUCAUUUUAAUUCUAUCCUUUUUCAUUUCUAAAUAUCAGGAUACUUAACAGAAUUCGGAUGUUUCAAAAUUUCUUUAUCCUGUAACAUCUUUUACAGAAAAGAGAUUCAAUUGUCUACUGGGACUAACCAUUCAGGCUAUGUUACUUCUGCUCUACUAAACUAGGUAGUUGAUAGCAUAUUGAUCUUGCCUGUCAAAGUGGUUGUAAUCCAAAUAUAGGCAUGGUGCUAAAAGAAAGCAACAAUAUUCAGGAUCAAGUUCAUAUCACGAUUACCUGCAAACAUCAAGGACAACACCAACGGCUGUGAUAAAUGAUGGUGUACGCAUUACUUGCUGUUGGGACAUGCCUAAGGAUUGAAAACUUUUCCAGCAUAUAUGGCAUUUUCCAAUUAUUUAUGUUGAAGGGCACGAUAUCUGCCUGCACAUUUCAUUUAGUACCAAGCUAGAAUAAUUGCAUACAUUUUGAUAGAAAGAAUUUUGCAAUGUCCUGGGAAAGAUUGACAUCUAACAGAAACAUGUUUGGAAAAUGCUAGUAGAUGGAGUAGGAAUAUCUCAUUUUGUUUUGUCUUUUAAAUUUGUCAUGUUCUGUAGUCAUUUGCAUUUAACAUGAGAUUUGAUUACAUAUAUUAUUUAAAAGCAAUUGCACUUGUAUCAUUUACAUUUGCAAUGCAUGCUUUAUUUUCUCAUAACCAGUUCCUUGUGCUUUUGGAGGCAACUUUUACUUUUCAGCUUUCUAGUUUCCUAUGGUUUUCCUACAUAUUCAUUUUCAUUCCUUUGUUUUCUUGCCAUAUAAAUGAGUGAUAGCUCAUGACCACUUGCACACCGGUUCUUUACUGUCUUGUGGAUAGCUUGAUGGAUAUAUUUAUUAACAUAUGUUGCUUGAGUCAACUACUUUCAACUUGUUGGAACUCAUGAAGUAUGUAGUUCUAAUUGUGUGAUUCUUGUCCACCAUAUAUUGCUACUUUUAGUGGUGUGACCUUGUCUGCCUCAUAUUGCCUUCUUGUGUGCUGUCGAGAUCAGAUGGAAUGAUGAGAAGUGGUUUAAUUGUAUGUUGAAGAAAUGAUUUAACUUGGCUAUAUUAUGGAAUUAAUCACUUGAUUUAUGGGCUUUGUGCUUAUAAUGCUUGUUUAUCCAGUUUUAAUUGUGUGACACUUGUCUGUUGGAUAUUGGUGUGGGACAUUGUUUUUUGGAAGACAGAGAGAAUAAGUUUAUGGGCACAUCAUUUCCGUCAGCAGUCCAGUCAGAAUUGCUGCAACCUGGUUGACCUGAUUGUAGGAUCUUGCAACACAACUUCAUACUUGGAUGGCCUUGUUAGACUAUAUCUAUAUAUGAAGGAAUAAGAUUUCUAAUUUUAGACUAGCAGAUCUGUUGUACCUUAGAUCCAGUUGCUACUUUCCUUUUUGGUUUCUUAAAAGUAGUUCUUGCUAGUCAAAAGGUGGAAUAAGCAACGGUUCUUUCCUUGGUUUCUUUCCGUACCUUCCUGGCUAUUAUCUCUCUCUAAUAUCAUUUUUCUGCAUCAAAACAUUAUUAAAGAUUGCAAGCCUUGCUUUUUAUUAUAUUAUAUUAUGCUACAUCAUUGUGCGUGUGCGAAUAUUUGCCUCCUUUUUUGUGGAAUUUCUUUUAUUUUUUUUAUGUAGAUUUCAACAUCUUGUUUAUGGUAUAUACCAUAUGACCAGUAUGUCACUUUUUACAUUCUGCAGUUUCCCAGAAGAUUCUCCAAUGGAAGAAAGGUGAUGCGUAAUGGCAGGGUUAAAAAUAUGGACAAAAAGUUUAUGAAGCAGCAUAUGACCUCAAGGUUUUUUAAUGACUAUCAGAGAGAGGAAGACCUCAGAAACAUAGAACUCAAAACAAGUGAUGAGAGAUGGCUGGGUGAGCAUCUGAUUAAGGAACAGGAUGAGAAUUUGGACAUUGAGGAGGGCCAGAUAAUUGUGGAAGAACUAAAUAUGGUCGAUUACUCUGAAAUAAAAUCUGCACCUGAAACUGCAGCACAUUACGUGAAGAGGACGACGAACCAUACUGAAAAUCCUUUGGGUAAGAAUAAUGUUCAAAUUGAUGAACAGAGGAUACUAGAAACAAUAGCGAAAAUGGAGAAACGAAGAGAACGAUUCAAGGAACCAAUGUCAGUGAGAAAGGAACCGGAGACAAUCCUUCAUGCUCAAACUGAACAAGUACCUGACAUCACUGAAAAUAAGCAACAGAGGCCAGCUAGAAAGAGGCGGUGGCAUGGAAGUUAGGUUCGGAUCACGUACUGAUAAAUCUAUUUACUUAUUUACAGAGGUGCAAUUACAUACUCUGUCUAGGGAUUCAGGUUUCCAGCUGCUAUUGGAUUAAAGGCAGCAAUUUUAAUUGGAAAUACAUCAAUAAGAUGACAUACACCAUACUGGGUUUGGUUUUGCUUUUGGUUCUUGUUCUCUAAGGAGGGGCAAGGAAUUAGCUUGAAAUUUCCAAUUUGAUUGACUUGAAAACAGAAUUGUGUAAGAUUCGUGUUCGUAUAAUGGGUGCGAAUUCAAGAAUUGUACCUUCUUAGAUUUUCUGAUGAUUCUAAUUACAUUACCUUGCUAGUGAGAUGGUUCUCCACUGAUGGAUAUGACUGUGUCUGGAUGCUGAGUUUUGUUUCUCACUGUUAUAUGUUCUUAAAAGAACACUGUGGAUGCCAUGGGAUCCUGGUGAUACCAGGGGUUCAAACCUGAGUUUCUCAACUGCCAGUGUAAUUGAAAUUUUCUUUCAAAGUAAUUUUAUUUUUUAAGUAACUUGUUGAUAAGAUUGGAUUUAGACUCGAAUCAUAUGGAUUGGUUGUACCUAAUUUGGCUCUCGUAUUAGGGUUCACAACAGGUGCACUAAUAUUUGAGUUCGUGGGCGAGGAGGGAUUUGUUAUUUGAGCAAGUAUUUUACUAUUAAAAAUUAACUAUACGUUGUAUAAUUUUUGUUAUAAAUUUUAAGUUUUUUUUAUAACUUCGUUCCAUGUUUUAUUGGAUAAUUUUAUCCUCGUGCUCGAGAUUUGAAUUUAUGUUAUAUAAAUGUAAAAAUAAUAAUUAUGCAUGCUGUGUGCAUUUUCUUUGAGAAUUUUAUUACAUUAUUUUACAAAAUGAUUAAUUAUAUUAGUAUAAUUAUUCAAAUAUCACUUAAUUAUUAAAUUAAAAUAUAUAAAUUUUUAUUUUAAAAAAUUAAAUAAUGGUAAUAAGGAGGAAUAUAGAUUUCAAAAUAAUAAUCCUUAUUUCAGCAUAUUUUACAAACCCACAAGCCCACGAUCUUACGGUGCACAUCAUUCUAUGGGAUAAUUUUUGCUUUUGAUUGGCCUAUCGCAUAAAAAAAACUAACCAAUAAACGGCAUCCACGUAAUCUGAAAAAAUCUGCUUCCUACGAUGAAAAUGCCUGCACCACCCAAACAGCGCUGUAAUACGUGGCUUACCUUGUACCAGUGACUGCUGACUAUGUAAUUACUAAAGUACCCUUCCACUAGAAGGGAAAUCUCUCGUUUAAAUUAUCAAUCGUGGGUAUGGGUAUAAUGGUAAUUCGAACCAGUUCGUCUCCUUUCCAGAGCCCGCCCAACUUUCUUCCCAUGAAAACCAGACAGUUUAAUCCGUUAAAAAGAUCGGCAGGCAAGAAAUGAAUCUCUUCUCUUACUCUUCUUCUUCUUCUUCUUCCUCGAGAAAACCCGCCUUAACUACUCUCUUCUCUCCAUCUCAAAACCAUGAAAACCUCUCCAAACCACACUUUAAGCUCCCAAUCAAAACCCUUACCCACUCGUCUCCCUCACUCCUCUCUCGCCCUCCAUGUUCCUCUAAGUCCUCCUCUUCUCGGGUUCUCGAUCCAUCGCCAAACGUCACUCUCGGGCCUCUCAAAGAAUCUUCCAGCGGCGAGGUUCCAAAGCAAGACUCUUCUCCUGAUAGAAUGCUCCUUGUUCGCCGGCCAGUCAAGGAAGAAACCGGCGACGAGUCAAACGACGAGGAUCCAGAUAUAAAAUCGCCGGCUACGUUUGAUGCCGGACUAAGUGAGUUCGCGAAGAAGAUGCCGAUGUUUGAGCCGGAGAGAUUGGGGUCUGGUACUUCACAAGAGAAGCCCCUUACAGUUAAUCUGGAUCUAGCCUUGUACAGAGCCAAGGUCUUAGCCAGGAAUUAUCAGUACGGAGAAGCUGAAAAGAUAUUUGAGAAGUAGAGCUUCCCGAAAAUGGUUUUUCAUAUCGUAACAAUUUUUUUUAAUAAAAUUUUAAGAUAGCACUGUGGUUUUGGUGUAUAGUGUAUAUACUAUUGGCCUGAGAUGGUAGACCGUACGUGGGGUUAGGGAGAUAUUGAAUAAACAGGGAAAGUUGCAGAGGCUAGAGCUCUUUAUGAGAAAGUUGCCAAGCUACUCNNNNNNNNNNNNNNNNNNNNNNNNNNNNNNNNNNNNNNNNNNNNNNNNNNNNNNNNNNNNNNNNNNNNNNNNNNNNNNNNNNNNNNNNNNNNNNNNNNNNNNNNNNNNNNNNNNNNNNNNNNNNNNNNNNNNNNNNNNNNNNNNNNNNGCUAUUUGGCUGAUCACUUAUUCAAAGCAUGACUUUAAUACAGAAAUACCCUACUUCAAAGAUCAUUCUGCUGAUACAAGGUGAUUAUUGCUUCUAGCAAUAAAAUUCUUUGCAUAAAAAAUUAUUUGUUGUACUGUGUCUCGACUUUACAAGAUUAGAUAGCAAUAUAGUACUUCAGCUUUUUUACCAAGCAGAUUCACCAAGCUAAGCGAAAUUAUUGUUAACUGUUGUGUCUGAGGAUUGAGUGUAUUGUGGUUGGGGAUGGAGAAAUAAAUCAUAGUUUUCAGAAUUCUUCCAAGUAAAUUCGCCAUGAAACAGGUUAUCUUCACCAAACUAAGUACACUUUUCUAAAUAUGUUUGCUCAAUUUUUCAGUACUUUUGGUUGGAUAAUUGAUACUUGUAUCAUUCUCUAUAAUGAUGUAGGUUCAAGUCAAGGGUUUUGCUUCUGGAUAUCCUUCUUAGGAUAUUGUGUUAUUACUGAUUGUGAUAUCAUUGUUGCAUUGGUGUCAUCUAAUUAGUGAAACAUAUUAAUUUUUACUUAAGAAAAUUUUCCAUAAAGCACAACAAGAUUGAUGGAGAAACAAUUACAUAUUGGCUGUUAAAUCAGAUUAUGUCGAAAGUCAAACUUACUAUGUAAUAUUAGGUUUAAUUAUAUGACUUUUGAGUCUAAACCAUCGAAGCAUAUAUUUCCAGUAUGGAAUGAGAGUAUUACACUUAGUAGCUUGAGCAUAGUGGUAGUUCUUUGUUAGCCUUGAACAUUACUGAAAGUGAUUCACCAUAACAUGUUCAAUUUGGAUGUACUUUGGAGUUAUUCACAAAAUUCCAACAAGAAGGGUGGCCAUUCCAUAUUAUGGCAAGCAUAUAUGAAAGAAUUUUUUGUUAAAUAGAUAAACCUCAUUUUUGAGGACGAGAGUUGUUGAAUGCUGAUUUUUUUAUUAAAAAUUAGAAGGCUUCUGAGUGGGCGUGUGAUUGGAACAGUGCUGGGCUAUCUUGGAAAAGAAGGUGGGAAAUGUAAGGAGAGCUAGGGAAUUGUUUGAUGCAGCCACAGUGGCUGACAAGAAACAUGUUGCAGCGUGGCAUGGAUGGGCAAAUCUAGAGAUAAAACAGGGAAAUAUCAAGAAAGCGAGACAUCUGCUUGCCAAAGGUCUCAAGUUCUGCGGUGGGAAUGAGUACAUAUACCAGACGUUAGCAUUACUGGAGGCCAAAGCAGAACGGUAUGAGCAGGCUCGUCACUUAUUCAGGCAGGCAACUAAAUGUAAUCCUAAGAGCUGUGCCAGUUGGCUUGUAAGUCUUUAGCAUUGUACAUAUAUAUUUUUGGUUCUAUUUGUACCAAUUCUAUCAGUGUGCACUUAUGAAAUUUCAAUUCUUGCAUCUGUCUGUCCAAUUCUCAUAGCGCAGGCAUGGGCACAACUGGAGAUACAACAGGAAAACAACUGUGCUGCCAGGCAACUAUUUGAGGUAACCAAAUAGUUAUGUCACAAACAGCAAUCCUCUGAGGCAGGAUAUCGCUUCAAAUACAACAGUGUUAUAAGCAACUCUAAUCUGCUCUUAUAUCAGAUUUACUUCAAAUCUUUGGAGCUUUUGGCGGUUUCCUUUACCAUGAGAAUCUCUUUUGAACUUUUGUGUGGUUUUUUUUACCACUAUGGUUCUAAUGUUUGUUUGGUUUUCAAUUUGUAGAAAGCUGUCCAGGCGAGCCCAAAGAAUAGGUUUGCAUGGCAUGUGUGGGGAGUUUUUGAAGCUAAUAUGGGCAAUGUUGAUCAAGCAAGAAAACUUCUGAAGAUAGGUCAUGCACUCAAUCCGAGGGAUCCAGUUCUCCUUCAGUCCCUUGCUUUGUUAGAAUAUAAACACUCAACUGCAAAUCUUGCUCGAGUGUUGUUCCGGAGAGCAUCUGAACUGGAUCCAAAUCACCAACCUGUAUGGAUUGUAAGAAAUUCACCCUCUUAAAUUAUUGGUUAAUUCAAUAAGCAUAAAAAUAUGAUACGAACUAUGAUCCAAGGUUUGGUAAAUGGAGAAGUUCCUCUUAUAUAUUCAUCACUCAUGAAACAUUAACAUCUUUGAUUGGAUUCAAGGAGAUUAUUUAAUCUAGUCAGAUAUUUUCUUCAGAGUGCAUAUUUGUCUCUUGAUAUUAUCUUUGCAUAUUUGAAGUUUCUUUGACUCUGGUGAUUUUGCCAUAUGGAGGCAAUUUAUGCUAGCAGAUCUAAUAUUAAACCUGAACUUCUCUCUCUAGAGGGAAGGGUAUGAAUACUAGGCCAAAAAGCCUUGGUCUGCAUCGGAAUAUGAUAUAAGUAAUAAAUUGGGCACUCUGCUUCUAGUUUAAGUAUUUGAAAACAUUAAUCAAUUAUUUAAAGAUGAUGUUGGUAACUUUAGCCUCUGUAGAAAUUUGAUGUCUCAUUGAAGUUCUGAUUUGCUCAGGCUUGGGGUUGGAUGGAAUGGAAGGAAGGAAACAUAUCAACAGCAAGAGAAUUAUACCAAAGAGCACUUUCAAUUGACUCUACGACAGAGAGUGCCGCUAGAUGUCUGCAGGUAAUGAACAUGUCAUGAUGCAUGGAGAUAUUGAGGCCAUUAUAACAUAGCUGUUUGAUCCUCUUUGUAUCUUGUCACACUUUGUUCACUGCUGAAAAUGGGCGUCUUUUACAGGCUUGGGGCGUACUAGAGCAGAGAGCCGGUAACCUAUCUGCUGCCAGAAGAUUGUUUAGAUCAUCCCUUAAUAUAAAUUCACAGAGUUAUAUAACAUGGAUGACGUGGGCAUCAUUCGAGGAGGAUCAAGGGAAUGCUGUACGAGCCGAGGAAAUUCGUAAUCUCUACUUCCAGCAGGUAGGUAAUUGCUAUCUUUUAGUGAUUCCCUUCAAAUUUUGCACAAUGAGGAAACUAUUUCACUUACUUCAACCAGUUUCUAUGUAGUAGAAUUGGGCUCAGUUUUUUUGUUCUUUUUCUGUGUAUUGUUGAAGUUGAAAGGUCCAAACCCGAAACGUUCAUUUCAUUGUUGGUUGCAGAGUAUGUUGUAUUUUGGAUAAUAUUGAUUGUAUAAAUUUAGUGAAUCUUAAUUCCAAAAAAAAAAUUAAUAACACUGUAAAAAAUAAUACAAUAACACAAAAUUUUACGUGCAAAACUCUUAAGCACAAAAGAAAACUACAUGCUAACUUCUGAAUCAAAUCCACUAUAAAUCAUUCUAAUUUAGUUACAAACUUGGAUUCUAUAAUCAACAAAUAUCUCUCUAUAUAUACACACAACAAAUCUGAAACAAGUCUGGUCCCUUUAUAUUUAGUUCAAGAUUUCUAAUUUUAUCCAAACACAGUGCACCAAAUCAAAACCUAUUCCUAUAUAUGCACACGCACACGCACACGCACACACAUAUAUUUCUUUUUUGUGUUUAAUGUGUACUAGAACAACUUAACAGUACAGUGUUUUUCAGGGUGCAUAUUCUGAUGUAUCCUAGCCACUGUUUCUCCUAUAUCUGCAUGUAUAUAUGUACGUGUAUAUGUAGCUUUUUGUUCAGAAACAAGCUUAGAUUAAUACUCUUACGAGGUUGAUUUUAUUGGGAAUAGACUUGGUUAAAUUCAGACGGAGUGAAUCAACAUAUUACAUGUUUAUUUGUUUCUUAAUUACUUGAUUAUUUAAUGUCCAUCCAAUACUUUAGCUUUAUUAAACCAAGGUCUUUAAUCAUGUGUCUAUCUCUUGUUAUUGGAAAACAGAGAACCGAAGUCGUGGAUGAUGCUUCCUGGGUCACAGGAUUUCUAGACAUCUUUGAUCCAGCACUUGGCAGCAUAAAAAGACUGUUGAACAUGGAGCAAAACCCACAAUUCCGGUCGUCGGAGAACUUCGAUGUACAACCGAGCAGCCUACCCCUGGGUUCCAGCGAAGGCAGCAGCGAUAAAAAUAGUGGAAGCGGGUUUGAUUUGGACGAGUUCAUCACCACGAAGCUGUCAUUAGAUCCCAAAAAGCUGGAUGUUCGGGUGGAGGUCUCGUCAAAAAGAACAUGGAGAUCUAUGAAACGAACCUCAGCAGCUUUGCAGCAGCCAUGAAUUUGGACAUGCCUGCAUAUUUAUCAUAACGUUGUGUACAGAAACCAUGAUUACAUAUACAGACAGAAUUGUUAAUUGAUUAACGGCUCUGAUAUAUUAUUUCAAUUAAAAGAAGAAAUGAUAGAGAGGUAAUUUUAUCGCAACCGAUGGCAAAACAGUAAUUUCACCCCAAAAGAAUUAGGGUUAGAGUUAGAAUCACCGAAUCGACCCUGACACACAAAAUAUUAGCUUUCGUUUACGACUGUAAUAAAUUUGUCUGAGUACCAAUUACUCAAACUAAUCAUGCUGUUAGUUACAGGUAUGCUGCAUUGUGUAAGUAAUGGAAAAUUGAUAGGCUGAUCUCGAGGUGGGGCUUUUGAUCCAGCAACAAAGUUGUGGGUCUCAUGUCAUCUGUUAAGGUUCAGCAAUUAUUAGCUCGUUAGAGGUAUUUCAUGGUGGUGGGUCGUUACUUGGCGGGCCAUGAAUAUACUUCCACCUCACUGACGGGAGGGUAGAGGAUCGCGCGGGAUAUGUCUCUCUCUGUUCGUUCCAAACCUGCUGCUCCGAGAAUUGUCACGUGACACAAAAAUUAUGCCCAAUUUUGUAAUUUCACAUAUAAUGUAUAAUACUAAAAGAUAUAGAGCGUAAAUCAUUUUUGGGGGGAUAUGUUAGAAUUAUAUAUAUAUAUAUAUAUGUAUAUACACACACUCAUAGAACUCGAUUCCCAGACUUUAAAGAAUAGAUUAAACUACUUCUUAGAAGUUUAAAGAUAUUUCGGAAAAUGUUUUUAGAGGGAAAUGCAAAUGUUCUUAAAGAUAUAAUUGAAGGUAGAUAAUAUACACGUACAUAUAUAUAUAUAUGUGUGUGUAUGUAUGUCUUGCCAUACAGAGAAACCACCAACAAAAGUACGUCGUAUAUUUUUCAUGUGCUUUGCCAAUUGGUGUAUUAACAAAUUGUUAAAAGUUAAAAGUUGUAAAUUAAAAUUUAUAAUUCCUUAGUGUAUUAAAUUUAAUCUUAGCAUAAAAACAAAAUGUUACAAGUAAUGGAAACUCCAUGAUCAGUCUCCACUAAAAACCAGCAGUACUCCAUUACAGCAAUGGUUGAGCUUUAGGAUUCAUCAAACAUAUCCAGUACAACACCAGCGUCCAGGAAAACCCUAAAAGUCUCUUGGAUCAAUGAACACAUUCCCAAACUCGCCGAUCUCCGCGAUUACCUCAUCAUCGUCUUUCUCAUCUGUCGAGCUUACUUUCUUUACAUACCAGAGAUCAUCGAUGCAGGACAUGGCGGACCCAGCGGCUUCUUGCGGCGGCAGCAGGUGUGGUAUAAGCGGAUCGGAGACUCCGAGCUCGGUCAGCACCACCUUGCAGUUCACGUCUUCGGCCAGUCUCGACGCGAAGCUCCAUGCAGACUUCAAGAGCUCACCGAGUCUUUCGCCUUCUCCGAGGAGUCCGUAGAGGAAGAGAAACCCGAAUGGCUUCUCCACCGCUGAUAAGGUUGAUGAUGUAGACGACGUCGUUGCCGACCUGCUGCAGAUCGUUGGCAUUUUAAGGCAUGUGAAGAUCAUGUCUCGUGCAUGGCUUAUACUUCGAAUCGUCGUGCUGAUAAGAUAAAAAUGUCAUAAGAUUAUAUAGGUUGAAAAUGAUAAUUUGUAAAUUUCAACGUACCUUAAUAUAUUUAUUAGCAAUAAUGCUAACCAAUAUUUUAGAGAAUUCAAACUCCGGUUCUCCUAAAUUAGAAAUAAAAUGAAGUCAAGUUUUGGUUAAAAGAAAGUACCUUAUAGGAUGUGACUUUGUUAUAUGAAUAUUCUUGUAUCUAUAGGCCUCACAAGAGUUCCAUAUGCUGAAAAUAACCCAAGAGCUUGGAGAAAUCCUAUUUUCACCCAAUCUGAUUUCUUCUUCUUGUUCUUCUUCGUUGAUCUUCGUAUCUGAUUUUCUCUGCAAACUACUCCAUUUCUCUUCUUGAAAGUAAGAUAUCCAGGUACCGAGGCUUAGAUUUUCCUUCAAAAUCCCAUCCAUGUCCGUCGGAUACAUGUCUUUGCUUCUAAGUUUUUUGUUGUAGAAGGAAAUUGCUCGGUCUACGUGCAACUUCUCUAUUUUUUUAUAGCUUGGUGAACCAAACGACGUCGUAUCCUCGACGGGGAAAUUACUAGCUGGUUGUACAAAUAUGAUUAGUGAGCUUAGCUUUACGUAGUUGCAUUUAGUAGUGAAGAGAGUCACAGAGGCCAUAUUGUUCUUCUCCGUUGCUAGGAAGGUGUAAUGCGCACCGUUUUUAACCAUCCAUUCUUCAAUUGAAUUCACAAGCUUUAAUCCAAUUCCCUUCCUCCUACAAAAUCCAAAUUACAACUAAUACAUCAUAUAUAUAAAUUACUACCUAUAAACAUAUAUAUACAUAUACCCAUAUAAACACACAUACACAAACACAAACUAGUAGAAAAUAUAUAUAUAUAUAUACAUAUAUAGUUCUAUAUCCAUUUUCCUUCUGUCUAUAUACCCACAUAGGUUUAAUUACAACUAAUACAUCAUAUAUAAAUUAAUACGUAUAAACAUAUAUAUACAUAUACCCAUAUAAAUACACAAACACAAACUAGUAGAAAAUAUAUAUAUAUAUAUAUAGUUCUAUAUCCAUUUUCCUUCUGUCUAGAUACCCACAUAGGUUUAAUUACAACUAAUACAUCAUAUAUAAAUUACUACAUAUAAACAUAUAGAUACAUAUACCCAUAUAAAUACACAAACACAAACUAGUAGAAUAUAUAUAUAUAGUUCUAUAUCCAUUUUCCUUCUGUCUAUACACCCACAUAGGUUUAAUUAAAUAAUUCAUAAUUAGUAAUCAUGAACUGUUUAAUUAAAACUUGUUUAUAUAUAACAGAAAUCAAUUACAUAUGCAUAUAUAUAUGAAUAUACAUAUAUACACACACACACACUAUAAGAGAAAAACUGUAUAUGAUAUAGUUAGAAUUACCUAUGUGUAGGAGAGACCCGAAGGCCUAAAAUGCAACCCAAGUUGACACACAUUCCUCCAAAUUUAGUCCCCACAUGCUUGAUGCAGCCCCUAACCACACCGACAACCUCCCCAUUUCCUCGCUGCUCCGCUACCUGCUCACCAUAUAUAUACAUAUAUCCAUUUAUAUAUACAUAAUAUAUACCAUCUCAAAGAGGAAGAAACUCUUAAAAAAAAAAAAAAAACCCCAAAAAACGCAACAAAUCUCAGUAAGUAAACACAAAAUAUAAUAAUAUCUAUGAGCUGUUAUUUUAUGAUUAGAUGUAGGUUGAGAAAGGAAAAAAAGGAAAGCCAAGAAAACAUGUACGUCUCUCUCUCUAUGUAUAUGUAUAUAUCUAUCGAACCCACCAGCAUAAUAUGAAGAGGGUAGAACCUAAUCCUACAUAGAAACAUGUAUAUAUAUAUAUAUGUGUAUAUAUUUGUAAAUAUGUAUGCAUUGAACACACCAGCAUAACAGGAAGAGGGUAGAACCUACUCCUACAUAAAAACAUGUAUAUCUNNNNNNNNNNNNNNNNNNNNNNNNNNNNNNNNNNNNNNNNNNNNNNNNNNNNNNNNNNNNNNNNNNNNNNNNNNNNNNNNNNNNNNNNNNNNNNNNNNNNNNNNNNNNNNNNNNNNNNNNNNNNNNNNNNNNNNNNNNNNNNNNNNNNNNNNNNNNNNNNNNNNNNNNNNNNNNNNNNNNNNNNNNNNNNNNNNNNNNNNNNNNNNNNNNNNNNNNNNNNNNNNNNNNNNNNNNNNNNNNNNNNNNNNNNNNNNNNNNNNNNNNNNNNNNNNNNNNNNNNNNNNNNNNNNNNNNNNNNNNNNNNNNNNNNNNNNNNNNNNNNNNNNNNNNNNNNNNNNNNNNNNNNNNNNNNNNNNNNNNNNNNNNNNNNNNNNNNNNNNNNNNNNNNNNNNNNNNNNNNNNNNNNNNNNNNNNNNNNNNNNNNNNNNNNNNNNNNNNNNNNNNNNNNNNNNNNNNNNNNNNNNNNNNNNNNNNNNNNNNNNNNNNNNNNNNNNNNNNNNNNNNNNNNNNNNNNNNNNNNNNNNNNNNNNNNNNNNNNNNNNNNNNNNNNNNNNNNNNNNNNNNNNNNNNNNNNNNNNNNNNNNNNNNNNNNNNNNNNNNNNNNNNNNNNNNNNNNNNNNNNNNNNNNNNNNNNNNNNNNNNNNNNNNNNNNNNNNNNNNNNNNNNNNNNNNNNNNNNNNNNNNNNNNNNNNNNNNNNNNNNNNNNNNNNNNNNNNNNNNNNNNNNNNNNNNNNNNNNNNNNNNNNNNNNNNNNNNNNNNNNNNNNNNNNNNNNNNNNNNNNNNNNNNNNNNNNNNNNNNNNNNNNNNNNNNNNNNNNNNNNNNNNNNNNNNNNNNNNNNNNNNNNNNNNNNNNNNNNNNNNNNNNNNNNNNNNNNNNNNNNNNNNNNNNNNNNNNNNNNNNNNNNNNNNNNNNNNNNNNNNNNNNNNNNNNNNNNNNNUCAAUCAUGCAGGGUUACAUUUAUUUUCUGUGUAGUCUCAAAUCAAAGUCCUAGCUGUCUUCAAAAGUAGUCUCAAUUUUAUAAUUGCUCCUUUUGUCUCUUAUAACCUCUACUAGCUUAUACCUUUGACAUUGAAGAGCAAAACUAUUCUACACAACCCACUUUUUGACGUGUUGGAAAUUUGGAAUUUCUGAAAGAUUAAUUAAUUUUCUAACGUGCAGAUACAUACAUACCAUACAUACACACACAUAUAUAUACACAUAGAUGUUAAACAUUGAACAAAAAAAGUCGUACCGUCACCCUCACCUUAUAGAAACAGGUGGGGUCAUGGACCUAAUAAUUUUGAAUUGACCUUGUUAAUUAGGAAAUGAUGGUUUGACCGAGUAAUUAUUUAUGUAUUUUAAUAAAAUAAAUGAAUUACAGUAGUUAUAAUCACGCUAAAUUUGAUAAAUUUGAUAAAUACGACAAAAAUAAUAAUAUAAUAAAAAUUUUUACUCGUUUUACGUAUUGCGAUGAUAUAGAAAGAUCGAGUAGGGACAUAUAAGAAAUCUUUCACACUCGAUACGUAUUCCAUAUUCAUCUUACCUACAUUCGACCAUCAUUUUUAAAAUAGAGUUACAGUAAUUAUAACAAUUAUGAUAUUAGUAGUAACGAGUUAGACGAAAAUGUCGAUGACGUUAAAAAUGAAUGUAGCAAUGGUAACAACAGUUAUUGAUACAGUUGUGAUAAUUGUUAGUAAUAAUAGGAAACGGUGGAAUGGAGAUUGAUAAAGGGAUCUCCCACCUCAUACGUACUGAUAUUCAUUUUAUACACGUUCUGUUAUCAUUUUUAAGAUAUAGUUACAGUAAUUAUAACAAUUAUGAUAGUAGUAGUAACGAAUUAGACGAAAAUGUCGAUGAUGUUAAAAAUGAAUGUAGCAAUGGUAACAACAGUUAUUGAUGCAGUGGUGAUAAUUGUUAGUAAUAAUAGGAAACGGUGGAAUGGAGAUUGAUAAAUGAAUCUCCCACCUCAUACGUACUGAUAUUCAUUUUAUACACGUUCUGUUAUCAUUUUUAAGAUAUAGUUACAGUAAUUAUAACAAUUAUGAUAGUAGUAGUAACGAAUUAGACGAAAAUGUCGAUGAUGUUAAAAAUGAAUGUAGCAAUGGUAACAACAGUUAUUGAUGCAGUGGUGAUAAUUGUUAGUAAUAAUAGGAAACGGUGGAAUGGAGAUUGAUAAAUGAAUCUCCCACCUCAUACGUACUGAUAUUCAUUUUAUACACGUUCUGUUAUCAUUUUUAAAGUAGAUUAUACUAAUCGUAAUAAUUAUAAUACCAAUAUAAACGAGACGAUAAAAAUAUCAAUUAUAAUAGAAAUGAGAAUAGUAAUGGUAACAAUAGAUAUUGAUAUUGUGUUGAUAGCGUCAGUAACGAUAAUUAUAAUGAAUUUAAUAGUAAUAAAUAUGACAAUGAAAUUAGUAAUGAUAACAAUAGUAGUAAUUACAGUAACAACAAUAAUUAUUUACUUUUUAAAAAAAUGUAUAAUAUUAAGAUUGACUUCGAUCAAAUGGACCGGACAGACGAGAAAAAAAAGUUAAAAACUAAAAUUAUAUAUAUAUAUAUAUAUAAAUUUAUUCUAGAAUCUUUAUGAUAUGAUCGUAUGGAAUCAAAAGCGAACUAGAGAGGAAAGCUACAUAUCACAACUGAACUAGAAAAAGAAACUAAGCUUGCGAGAUUUCAACAAUCAUCAUUUCCUUCUACUUUCAACAAGACAAUCAUGACUUACAAAACAAAUACAUGUAUAUAUAUAUAUAGAUAUUCCUUGUGAUAUCAACUUCUGUGUAUAUAUAAGUAUAUUUUCUACAUAUGUGGACAGAAUGGGAAAGGAAAUCAUAUUUGAAAUAUUGCAGAUGAUGAUAUAUAUGAUCAGAUGGUACCCAUAAAAUCACAUGAGGUAAGAAAAGACUGUCGUGCUUUACAGUGACAUGAUGCAGGCAGCUAGUCCAGAGGGUCAUACGUCUCCUCCUCUCAUUAACCCACCCGCCUGAUUUAAACUUUGGUUUUCUGUUUUGGGAGCCGACUCCUCACACAAUUUUCUUCAGUCUCAAUUAUACUUGUAUAUAUAUACAUUUCUAUGUAUGUAUACGGCACUCCUCAUACAUUUAUAUAUAUAUAUAUGUGUAUAUAUAUAUAUCCAUUGAUAAAUUGUUAUAAACAAAAUAUAUGAUGGGAGUAAUGGGUUUAUAUUCAUAAUGUAUUUAAAUUAAAUUAACUAAAAUAUUUAUUAACUCUUGCCUACUAAAUAAUUAAAUUAAAAUUAAAAUAUUAAUAUAUAUAUAUAUUUUUUGCUUUAAGACUGUAUAAUUAAAAUAAAAAAUUAUCUUAAAAUUAUAAUAAAUUCGUAUAAUUAACCGAAAAUGAUUUUUGGCACCGCAGCACGGCGAGAUUACCCUCCUGCGGGACCCACCGCAGCACCUUGAAACCGUGGGCCACGGAGAAGACGGUUGGCGUAGAGUUGAAUUUUCGUUUUUUUUUUUUUGGGGAAAAAAAUAAAAUCUUCGCUUCACCUGAUCUUUGGUUGUAGACGGCUGAGGAAAUGAUUCAAUUUAUUGUCUGAAAUCCAGAGGAAGAGGCAACAGCGUGGUUGAAUCAGAGGUAAGCUUUUCCGGACGAGGUUGUUUAUCAUUGCUUUGCUGUUAGCUCUCGUUUUUGCUUGCUGGUGAUUUUGUUCGAUUUUGUUGAAGUCUGAUUCGAAGAAGAUUUAUGGCGCGCUUGUUUAAAUUUAUCUGGAGAUUAAAAAUUAGGAAAUAUUGGAUACGGUUACGUAUGAAGAGAAGAAGAAAUAGAAAAUUUGUUUGAACUGCUGAAUCCAAGGGGAUUUGGUUCCUGAAGAUUUCCAGUUGGGGAUUUGAUUGUGUAUUUGGUAUUUGUGGAAGAAAAUGGCGAGGGGAAGUCGUCAUGAUUUCUCCAUGGAUCCUUUGUCGGAUUUGUCCUCUUUGCAAUUGAACAAGGGUUGGACCUUUUAGUUAAUCGUAUGUGGUAGUGAAUUAUUACCUAGCUGUUGGUGGUUUAUCAUCGAUCGUGACUCCUCAAAUGUUGGGCUAGAUAUUUCUAUUGUCUGCUUGUGGAGAUUCAGAGGCAUUUUGGCUUUCUAGGACACAGAUUUCUGCUAGGCUGAACUGUGUCAUUAGUGGCCGCAAAUAUUUGUUUCUUUCAAUUGGAUUGACCCUUUUCUUCCUCUCUUUUUCCCCGCAAAUUAGCAUUUUUCCUGGCAAAAUUUUCUGAUGUGUUCUUCUUGCUGUGAAUUAAGCUUGGAGUAAGUUGUAAACAGCACUCAUCAGCUGCUGCAAAUCUAUUUCGACUCUUACUUCUUUUCCACUUCUGGCCUGUGAUGUUGUUUUGCGGUGCUGCUGGGCUUCUGGCCCUCCUUUAGUGAUUCAUGGAUGGGUUUUUGCUAGUUUUUGGCACUUGACAGAGUUUAAGUGAUAUGCUCUUGCUGUUGUUUUUAACAGCCUUGCGGCUGUGUUCUUGAUGUAAUCAUACUACUGAUUGAUAUAUGUUCAAAAAAAUUGCAGGAGAAAAGUUCUGCAGAAUCUGGAACAUCUUUCUUGUUUUCUGUCUCUCUUCCUCAGUUGGUCCAUCGUUUUAUUUCGCUCGUUGAAAUGUAUUGUUCUGAGUCCCAUCUGUAAGUUGUUGGCUGUUCAAAAGUUGCUGGAUCGUAAUUGAAUUAUACCACAUGGCGAGGAUAAAACCUCAGGCUCUUCUAAAUCAAAGCAAAAAGAAGAAAGGGGCCCAAUCGUGUCAGUGUCACUACAGUUAUCACCUGCAACUUGAUUAUAGCUCUAAUCAUAUUGUCUUUAAUUGCAACAUAUAGCAUUGGUCACACAGGUAUGUUAACUCCAUUUACCUAUUGUUUUAAUCUCUUAGAUAUUUUAGAGAGAGCUUGUAUCUUGUUUAAAAUGAUAUCAUUUUUCAGAAUUUAAAUCCAUGCUACUUCGCUUAUAGGUCAAGAGACCAAGCAGGAUCUGGAUUAUCAACUUUUGAGGUAUGUAUUGCGGAUUCAAUUUUUGCUGUAUAAAUAUCACAAAGUUCCUUUAAAAUAUUAAAAAUUAUAGAACAUAAACUAUCUGUCUACAUUUCUUCCUUUCUUUACUUUGUUUUGGUAAUCCAUUGAUGACUGAAUAAUACAUAUCCAUUUUUCUUUAUUAUGUGUUUUGCUGGAGUUGCAAAUUAUCCACUGCGUAUGUCAUGCUUUUUUCUCACUCAUCAAUUACAUUAUUAACAUUAACCUGGAGGAAAUUUCAACUUACAAUAAAUUGAUUGCUUCAUUCAAUGUUGAGAAUUCUUUAUGUAUAUAAAUAUCUUAGCACUUCUCUCUUAAUUUCAUGUUUUCUCUUGGGUAAAUGGUGAUACUUGAUUCUUUUCUUCCUUUCUGUAGAAUAUACACCAUGAUAUUGGUGUUUAUUUCUUCAAAUUAUGCUAUAAAUGUUGUUGGACUAAAUAGUUUGAUGAAUCAAAAUAUAAUUAAAUUAAUGUUAGUGAUAUCUACUAAUUAAAUCCUUAGAACAAAGCAUGGUAAUGCAAGAAAAAUUAGUUAGUUAAACAUUUAACAGUACGUCCAUCUUUUUUUAUUUGUCCAUAGUAUUUGCUCGGUCUUUUUGAUAUUCAGUGGGUCUUAUCUUUGUUGCACUUGAAUCCUUCAUUCUCCUUUUUCAUAGUGCAUAUAAGUUCAAUUAACACGAAGAACCUAAGUUCACCUGGAAACAUGGUGCUUUGACACCUAACUUGUAAACACGUGAUUCUUUGGUGGUUGUGUACACUUUUUCAUAUACAGAUUUUCUGUUUAAGAGUAUACUAUUUUGUGGCCCAGGAUACAAAUGCUAUGGUGGACUCAAAGAAAUACGAUCUUCCUGGCUAUGCUGUGAGCUUCUCCUUCGGUUUGAAGCAUAAUUUAUAUGUAUACAUAUAUAUUAUAUUACAUGUGUGUCAUGUGUCAUGUGUAUCUCAGUAUCUGUUUGAUAACACCGAAUGCCGAACUGCACUUCAAUUUCUUUUCUCUCCUCUUUUUCGUACUAUAGAUUCUAAAUACAUCAAAGGGUCUUAUAACAGUGGAACUCUUCAAAGAAGGUUCUCCAGAGAUUGUGGACAAAUUUCUUGACUUGUGGUAAGUUUAAAAACCUUUUUUUCUCUCGUUACGGAAGAAGAUUCAGUUGCUUAACUCUCAUUAGUUUUUGCUUCUGGAGAACGUGUCUAGACAUCUUUUGGAAAGAGUUUUUGUCGAAGCAACUUUUAACUACUUCAUUUUGCAGUCAAAAGGGACAUUUUAAAGGGAUGCCGUUUCGUCAUGUCAUCAAAAAUUACAUGAUUCAAGGAGGUCACUUGCAGGGUCAUGGUGCAAUCGAGGAGUGGACAUCAAAAGGAAAGCUUCACAACCACCAUACGACGAGGUUUUAGACUACAGCUCCUAAUUUUACUGGUAUCUCUUGACUAACUCUAGAAGUAAUUUAGUACUUGGUACUUGUGAAUCAUCAGCCCAAAGCACGAGGCUUUUGUGCUUGGAACUUCAAAGACUAGAGAGGCCACUCAGGAAUUUGAGCUGUUGAUUACAACUGCACCAAUACCAGACGUAAAUGAUCAGCUUAUUGUGUUCGGGCGAGUUAUCAAGGGCGAGGAUGUGGUGCAGGUAAAAAAAAAAAAUGUUUCAGUAUCUGACAUCUAGUGUUUUUUAGAAUGCUUGGAUCGCAUCCAAAGUGCAAAUUGUGUUCCAUGUGCUGAUCAGGAAAUCGAAGAGGUCGAUACUGAUGAACAUUAUCAGCCUAAAUCAGCGAUAGAGAUCAUCAACGUGACAUUGAAACGUGAGAUCUGAGAAACCCAUUUCUUCUAGAAUCAAGGAUUUCUGAAAAGGGUGGUGGUGCCAAAUUGAGAAGCUGAUUUUCCAACUCACUUCACCAAGUUUGUCAUGGCUUUGAAAUUUCUUUCUGCUUCCCCCCUUUCAAGGCAUUCUGGAAGGGGGUAUUCUGGAUGGGGGAAGGAUUUUUGUUUGAAAGGUGGAGGUUCUGUAUUUUAAAGAGACCUCUCUUAUUAUUAGUUCUUUUUUUUUGUAAUUUGGCUUGGAUAUAUGGUAGAUGACUUCAAAUAGUUUAUAAUAUUAUUUUUUUUAAGGCAAAGUAUAUAAUAUUAAUUAUAAUUAAUGGGUUUUAAAAUGGUAAAUUAUUAUUUAUAAAUUACUAUUAGAUGCUAUUAAAAAAUUAAUAUUUAUAAUCAAUAUUGUGAAUUUAAAAUUUUUUUAAAAAAAAACAAAUUAUCUGUGUUUUAUACUCUGUCUGUUUUAAUUACAAACUAAUUAACAAAAAAAAAUCACAAACAAAUUAAUUGAAGUAGAUAUAAAUCAAAGAUAUAUAUAUAUAUAUUAUAUAAAAUUGAAAAAUAUUUUUUAUGUAAAAAGAAAAUUAUCUCUCACCAUUUUCUAACUAUCGGAAAAUACAUUUAGUAAUUUUUUUAAAAAAAAAAUUCAACUCAAAAUCCUACAUUUCUAUUUUCUAAUCAGUGAAUAAAUAAUGGUCCAAACCCGAAACUCCAAAACUCCGGGUCACGACGGUAGAACCCGAACCGACCUCUCAUUAAAUAUGUAAACCUAAUCUUAGAUUUUCCAUUUCAAAAGCCGCGCCAAAAAGUCACAUAAAUUUCGCUUCCCAUAGUCGCCCGCCUGUUCUGCCACAGUGAGCCUAAGGUUUAGACUAUAAUUCAGUGAAUCACGUAGUCGGUGGCUCGUUUAUGGAGAUUGAUCAUGGAGAGGAGGAAGAUCCGUUUCUUGCAUUCAUUGAGUACGCGAGAUCGGUAAUUGCACCGACAGAUGAAGGAGAUGGAGAAGUUGAGAAUGGAAAUGGAGCCGAGACCAGUGGGCCUGGGUGGAGUUGGAUAGCGUCUCGGAUCCUCAAGACUUGUAUUGCUUAUUCUAGUGGUGUGACUGCCGCUAUUCUGCUCUCUGAUCUCUCUCAGGUGCUUGAUCUUUUUACUUCUGGCCUCUGUUUUUUGCUUUGUUUGGCUGCGGAGAAGAUGCACGAAACUAAGAGGAAAUUCUAAAACCUUGUGAUCUCAACUUUUGAUAUUUCAGUUUUAUGUAUUACUAUGGGAAAAGAAAUAGAGUAUUUGGAAAAUUUUCUUAUUGAUUUGUAGUUGAUAUUAUCUGGAUCUAGCUUCCUAGUUUUUUGCUCUUUUUGGCUGCUGAGAAUAUACAGGAAACUAGAAGGAAAUAUCAAAGUCUUGAUGAUCUCACCUUUCGGUGUUAUAAAAGCAAAUUUCAGUUUUAUUUCUUACUUCGGGAAAAGAAAUAGAAGAUCUGGCGAUUUAUUUCGAACUUCCUCUUAAUUCAACUUAUGAAUCUCCAACUUAUUAUCAGCAUAUUUAACUCUUGGAGUUUUGGUUACCACUAUUCUAUCGAGUUGAUCCUCCAUGCAAUCGUCCGUAGACUAUUUAUCUUCUUCUGUUGGUAAUGAUGGAAAGCUGAUUUGUUUUGGUCAAUUUUCUUUUAAGGCCUGGAAUGAACAACACAGAGUGGGUGCACCGAAGAAGAGACCCGAAUUGAUAAAUCAAUUGAAGAAGAAUCAUCGCAGAACGAAGCUUCCAAAUACAGUAACCAUUGACUCCAUUUAUGAGAAGAAUUUCUUGUCCUUAGGUAGUGUUUUGGAAGUUGUUAUUGUUGAUACUUUUGUUCUUCCAGGUACGGGUUGUUUCAGUUCUAGCAUUAAAAUUUAACAUACUUCAGGCAAAUCCUUUUUUCGUGUUAGUGGCAUAAAUUCCUCCUCAGGUACAAACAUCUACAUGCUUACGGUGGGGGAUUUUUGGAGCUCCAGUACCAUUGAUCUUUAUCUCCAUCGCAGGUAAGCUCUAUCUUUCAGGUGAUUAAGGAUUGCACUAACAUGUUCUUACUUUGUUUAAAUAUGUGUGUUUAUGUUUUAUGACUUUCCAUUUGUUGAAUUUGAAGUCAUACUGCUGGAAUUUACUCAUAUUUAUCCAUGGACCGCGCUAUAUUUUGGUUGCACUUAUGAUUCAGCUUGUUAAAUGUGUUUUGGCUUCAUGUUUAUUUAACCUACGUUUGAAGAUAUUACGAAUUAGUGGAUCCUGAGAAUGGUAUUCUAAAAAAAGGAAGGGAGGUUUUGCUCACUGGAUGCUAUCUUCGAACUGCCCGUGAAGGGUCUAGUAGUUCACGGCUUCUGCCCACAGAAUAUCUUGUGAUAUUGCUAGAUGAGGUAACUGUUGCAUCAAUUAUAUUUUUCAUUUUAGCCUAAGUUUUAUUGGAAAUGUAAUCUAGCUUGUCAAAUUUUGAAAGGAGGACCACUUCUGUGCUGGUUUCUAGUUUUUGGCAUAUGUAAUAUUCAUGAAGAAAACAAUUAUCUCAUUUCCUAUAUUGCAGGAUCAGGAUGAUGAUGCAGUUCUAAUAGGGGCUCAGUUUUGUUCUGAUUCUUUCUCUUCCAUUUCGCUUGAUGCUGUCAAUGACGGUGCUUCAUACUCAUUAUAUGCAAGGCAAGAUCUUGGGUCACAUGCUUUAUAAACGUAUAACAACAACCUUAUAGUUGCUGUCGCAAAUUUGAUUUUGGCAUCAUAUGUUUUUACUUGCUUUAAAUCUUUUGCUAGAAGAUGUUUCUAUACCAUUUGUGAGAUCUAUGAAUUCUUAUGAACAUUGAAUUAUAACUUUGAUGUAGGACAAGGAGACAGAAAGGGAUAAGAACGAACAAAAGGGAGAACUAAGAGAGAUAGAAAAACAAUUCAGCAAGAAUAAGAGAAAAUUGCAAAACAAGAGGAUUUGUUAACAGUGAAUAAGAGUCUAAUAACAAACAAUUAAGUAAAGAAUAUUUCUUAAAAUCCAUUUUCUGCCUUACACCCUAGUUGAGUAGCCCUUGCAUGGGUACUAACAAUCUAAUAAGCAGAAUAACAAGUUUCCUAAUGCAAAUGACUCAAGUCAAAUGCGUUAGAGUGCAAAUAGCCAUCCGAGAACUGGGGUUCCAACAAAACACAUAUGUGGAGAUCCAUGAGGCACGUGACAUAGGAUGACCUUUUCACCUUGGGGCAUACUUUGACACUGUCCUGAAGUGGUAAUGGCAUCAACAUCUACAACUGCUACAGUCUUUGCUUUUAGCUAUGGAACAGAUGACAACUUAAACUGACAGUUGAUUCUUUAGUUCAGAGAUGGAUGCAAUUAUCAAAUAAUUUCCCUAUCUAGAAAGUUUUACAUAAAUAGAGAAUGUAGAACCAAAGGAUGGAAGUAGACAUGGUUGGAAAUGGUUCUUCUGUUAUGUUUGAUACUGUGUUGAGUGAUACUUAAUUUCUAAUUAUUACCAUUUUUUUCCUGUUUUGUAUGCAGGAUUGAAUCUAUUGGUUCAAUGGAAAUUCAUGGAAAGAUUGAUGGUUUACAGAAGAAGCAGAUUACUCUUAUUGACAAUGAUGGAAUCAGGCUGAAGUUUCUCUUAUGGGGUGAGCAGGUUCCCCUUGCAAACCUUUUCAGGUAAUCUCUUGUACAGGAUGGAUCAGCAACAAUGCUUUUUUUCUCCCAUUUGUGUUCAUGAUGCCAUUUUCUUCAUUACUUUAUUUUUCUCCUGGGCAGUGUUGGCAGUAUGCUUGCACUUGAUAGGCCAUAUAUUGCCAGUUCUGCAGAGAGUGGUAUGGAAACAAAUGAUGAAUUCUGCCUUGAAUAUGGUAGUGCAACACAACUAUAUCUAGUGCCUGUCAUUCAACAUGAGGAACAAGCAAGUCCAUCAGCUUUUCUAUGAUAAAAAUCAUUGUUAUAUGAAAUAUGAAAUCAGCAACUAUUUUCUUCAGGUUUCUGUAGCAUUGACCCAAAGUCGAUACCAAGGAUCAAGGUUACUCAGUGCAAUAGACCCUAGUCAGGGCCCCAGAGUCUCUCAAGUGUCUUUGCCUUGUGAUUCUCAAGGGUCCAUAGACUUCAGCAAUUAUCCUUUUCGGGUGAAUAUACCAUCUAUAUCUCUGAAAUUUGAUCUCUUUCAUCUUUCAGAUACUCUUGUGCUGCUCUAAAUGCUAUAUCACAGUUAAGCUUGUCUCAUUACUGUCUGAACCUUGGGAUAAGUAAUUAGAGCUGCUUUGGUGCAUUUCAUUCAUAACUUAUACUGAUUUUAUUUACUUUUUCAAAGUUCUGCAGUCAUUUAUUGUUGAACUUCGUGACAAGAUGACCAGCAUCAGCCUGUAUGGUGUUGUGAGAGAACUUUUUCAGGCGAGAAAUACUUCUGGAGUUAUAUUCUCUUUGAAAAUUGAGGAUACAACUGGAGCAAUAUGGGCAAAGCUACACUUUUCAAGAUUUUGGUAUUGAAUUUCAUUGAUCCCCAAAUUCUAAAACAUUAAAUUUAUACUACUUAGAAAUAUUAUGUUUUUCAGGUCACUGGGAAGAAUAGGCCUCGGUCAUGUAGUGUAUAUAUCUGGUUUGACAUGCUGUAAAACACAGCAGAAUCGGUGAGCAUACUUCAAAAUUUUCUCACUAUAUAAACGGAUGCUAAUCCAGACUGUUUAUGACCUCUGAAAUUCUUGGAUUACUACUACUUUUAAGUUCUGUAAUUGCUUGACAGCCUUGAAGUAUUAUGGGAUGAGAAGAAUGGGGGAGCUGCUUUGAUCAACCUUAGUUGCUUGCCAGCAUUGCUAAACUCGUCCUGUCUUCAUAAGUCUUCAUGCCUUACUGAUCUUUUUUCCGGCCAGACAAGCUGCAUGCACGUAUGGAUUUCAUAUAGAUAUCUGGAUAAUGUAAUUCGUGAUUGCAUUUCAUAAUUCUUACAUCUUUUUUUCCGUUAUACUUUUUUAUGCUUCGCUCAUGAGCAAGUUAGCUAAUCUAACAUGAUAAUCUGUUGACAAAAAGAAGUUAAUUAGAACUGCAGAACAAAUUAUUUAGAUGAGUUGCUGAUUCACCAACUGUACCCGCACUGAAUACAGUAACGUACAACUAAACAGAAGGGAAAGAAAGAAACCAUAGAAGAAAUUGUAUAUUAUUGAAUCACGCAACAAACAAUCUUGGCUUUUGUGUCUUUCUUGAAGUCAGUGGUAAAUCUAAUCUCUUAUUUUUCCAAUCAUGUUUACAGAUAUGUCGAGUUAGGCUUGAUCAAAUUGAUCAUUGUCAUGUCAGUACAAGGCUUUCACAUUCUGUUUGCGGUCAUUUUGUCAACGAGAUGCCCGGUGGGGUUCUUCAGUGCAGCUUCUGUCACUAUAACUGUAGUGCUGAAGUUCUGCGAACGUUCCACCUGAAGAUUGCUCUUGCUGAUGACACUGCCAAAAUUUUUGCAUGGUGUACCGGUCAAACUGCUACGGAGUUGUUGCAGAUAUCACCGGAUGAAUUCUGCGAGCUGUCUGAGGUAAUAAUUCUCAUUCUCCAUUGCAUUUUCAGUUUCUCCAAAGCAGUUGUGCUUUUUAAGUUUCUUAAAAUAAUUAAGUUAUUACUUAAAAAAUAAAGAAUUAUACUUUUGAAUAAAAUGCUGAUUGCAAAAAAUAAGAUGUUUUUGUAAAAAAAAAAAAUUAAUAAAAUAUAUACUUAUUAUAAAAAUUUUGUUACUUACAUUGUUUAUGUAUAUAUAUAUAAUAAUUUAAGAGGGUGUCAAGAGGGUAUGCUGUUUAUUCUAUAUUUUCUUAAAUUGCUUCUAAAAGUAUCCUUCUAUUUAUGUUACCAAACGUAAGCACUGGAAGACAGUUAUCUAAAGCUGUUUAUACUUAUGAAAUAAACAAUUUUAAACAUUCUUUACUCAUUUAUAUAAAACAUGUGCAUAAGUUCACACGAAUACUGAGGCCCUUUUUAAUCCGUCAGAAAUAUUUUUUAAUAUCUGUUUUUAAAUUUGAUAAACAAAACUUCUCUGCAUAAACUUUACCUGUCACCUAAAGUUUUUCGUUAAUUUAUUAAUGGCAGGGAUUUUAUGUGUGUAUAUGUUAUACAAAAUAAUUUUCUAUAGGAUGACGUUAAAAAUAUAGUUUUAUUUUUCUUGUUCAUGAUAUAUUAUUCUUAUUCUUUGCCAAAAAUCUUAGAUAACUAACAAAAUUUUUGUACGUGUUUACUCUUCAUAUGCAAGAUGUAAAUCGGAUUUAUAUUUUUAUACAAACAAGAUAAAAAUUGAAAAAUAAAGUAUAAUAUAAUUAAGUAUAGCUUAAUCUAACCUUAUGGAGCUUCUAUUAUCAACCUGCAUUACAGGAUGAGCAGUUUAUGUACCCUUCUUCCUUGGAGAAUGAGAUAUUCAUGGUUGCAUUGGUAAACUGCAAGACCCAGAGUCGCGAACGUAGCAACAGCCUAAAUCCAGAGACUGAUGAUACAGUCUCUUGGGAGAUCACUCGAGCCCUGAAAUUGGAAUGAUCUACUGGUAAUAGAUUUUUACUAAAUGCUUAUUUUUGGCCGAUUGAUCUUGGUAAGUCUUGUUUUAUAAUGGUAGAUUAUAUUGGUUAGAGAUUUCAAAUGCUGUAAUCUUGCCUUCAUGCCUAAAGAGUUAAAUUAUACUUUACACUUUUUAAAUUAGUUUAUAUUUCUCUAGCUUUUAGUGUUAAAUAUUUAAAAUAUAAUUAUUUAAAUAUAUUUUUUAGUAAACUUUAUUAAGUUCAUAAAAAUCUUAAGUAAAUGUUAAAAUUUACAUAUUAAAAUUGAAAAAAUAAAUUUUUGAUUAAUGCUUAGAAGAAGCUUGAAUUCUUUUAUUGAGAUUAUUAGUUAUAUUAAAGUUUAUUAAUUUUUAGAUGAUAUUGGAGAAUUUUAAUUAUUUACAGCUUCAAUUAUUUUAGUUAUUAAUUCUUAUGUAAUAACUUUUUUUGUACUAUCAUGUUAUAACAUUACAUUUUUAGCCAAAGUAACUCCUAAUUAGAGGUCUAUUUUAAACUCCUCUACAACAAAAUAAAAAAUGAAAUAAAGUUUUAAAGGUAUACUCAUAAUUGGGAGCCAAAUAAUUGCAAUUCAAUUAUGACCUUAUUCGUUCCUACCUAAUGAUUAUCACGUUAGAGCAUUACCAUAUGUUACUUGGCAAAUAGGCCAGGUGUGUGGACCGUGUUGGGCUGACUAGCCCAAUAAGUCAGAAACCUGUAAAUGAUUGGUUCCCGCAGAAGCUUUUGUGGAAUGGGUUGGCCUUACCUGGUUAGAAUGGCCCAAUUACGGCUCAAGAACCGAUCAAUCACGGCCCGAGUAUGGUCCAAGAAUGGCCCAAAUACGAUCCCAAGUAUGGCCCAGAAAACCCAAAACGCACUAAGAUAAGUAUGAAGUGUCAUUGGUUAGUGGCCCUCGCCUGUUAGAAUUGGGUGGCCCAAUUAGGCAGGUAGUUUCGGCCCAUUUUUGUUUAUCCAAGCAAGUUUGGAGUGGGCUCGACCUGGCCCAAAAGAUUAUUCACGAGCUGGAUCAACCAAAAUGGGUUCAUCAAGUUCCAUUUGGAACUGAUAAAAAUUUUAAACAUCAUUUGAAAUAUGUUAAAUAUUAAUAUUACACUCAAAAAAAUUAAUAAUAAUCGGGCUGGGCCCAUAUCACCAGCCUUACGUAGCUCAAACUUAGCUCGAAAUAGCUUAGGCUUGCAGGUCAUGUCACAAAAAGCCUUAGAAGCCUCAAAAUUGGGCUGGCUCAGCCUGAAAUUUUCGUGGGCUGGCCUCUCCCAGUCUGUUAAAGCCAGACGGCCCAUUUGGCAAGUAACAUGGUCUCAUCCUUGGUCUACCUCCGCCUAUCAACCUACUCGGCUAGCCCAAAGAGCCCUGUAACUCUGCAAAAUAGCGUGGGCCAACCCAGUUAUUAUAAGCAUACUCAUAGUGAGCUGGUCCAACCCAGUCAUAAUCGAGCAACCCAUAUUUGCAAGGCAGACUGACCCAUUGACCCAUCCUUCCCGUCGUAAUGCAUUCGACGACAAGCUGGCUAGGUGGCCCAAAAAGCCUUGUUGGCCUCUAAGAUGGCCCAGUUCGACAUAAUUUUUAUGGUCUCCGUCAAUUUAAAAUUUGGCAACCUCUUUUGGCAAGUCAGGUUGGCCUAUUCCCACGUUGCCCUACAACUUAUGCGGUAUUUUAGAAUUAAAUAUUGAAUCACCAUAAUCAUCCACGUACAAGUAUUCUAGACUUAAAUAUUGAGUCACCAUAAUCAUCUAUGUAAAAGUUGACUUAUACCAACCAUAACCUGAAAGUCAAGAUCUGGUGGUGCUUUGGAUGCUCUGAAUUCUUUUGUUGCGUUAGAACUCAUCUACAGUGGAUGGUCAGCACAGAAGUAUUCUUAUAUUUCCGGCAGGAUCAAAACAAACAAAAUGUUGGGGAACUAUACCACCCAAUGGCAGUUACAUUAUUUUAACAGAAUAAACUAUUAAGGAAAGAGAAGAAAAAAGCCAACCAUUGAUUUGGAAAACAUACCUUCGACAUAUUGCCACUUUCUGUCUGGCCUGCUUAGUCAUUUCUUCUUUUCUGGCCAGCCGCAGGAGUUUGUUGCUCCGAUAAGAGCUUCAAAACCUUGACCAAUGCACGCAGUCGGUCCCAAAUGUUCAAGCCAUAAAGAGCUUCUACAAGUGACUCCUGAAAUUCAAAUCCAUUCUCCCUUACAGGAUACUGUAAUUGCCAUAACAAAAGCAACCAGUCAGUAAAUUGAAGCACCAAAAUUGUGGGUCUUACUUAUAAUUUUAUAACUCAAUAACCGCAGAAAUUUUCAAUAGAUAAAAAGAAAAAACAUGCGUAUGUCCCAAAGUUUACAAAGUUUGUACCUGAAUAGGCUUUGGUAUGACUGUUUUGAUAUAUGGCCAAAAUCUAUCCUCAACAACAGAUUUUACAAGACAACAAGCACGCAAUCCUUCUAUGCCAGCAAAGCGACCAAAUCCACUGUCUUUUACACCUCCAAACGGCAGAGACUGAAGAGUUUAAAAAGCAUCUUAGGUCCAGUGGGAUUAUUAAAAUUAACUGAGUCAAUUAAUAUCUAGCUUUGCCACAAUAAAUAGCAAUUCUUUGUAUGGAUCUCUUCCAAGCAGAGCAUCUUGGUAUAAUUUAAUGUAAAUUCAAAUGACCAUGCACCUAGAUCCUCGGGAAAACAUACCUGACACAUAUAAGUUGAUGCAAAGUCAUUAAUUGCAGCAACACCGCAGUGUAUCUGGGAAGCUAUCUCUUUUGCACGCCUCUGACUGCCAGAAAAAACAGCACAGCCAAGCCCAUACCUAGAGUCAUUUGCAAGCCUUACAGCCUCUUCAUCGGUACUAAAUUUCAUAAUCGGCAUAAUUGGUCCAAAAGCCUGCUUGCCAAAAAAUUCAAAUAAAUUUAGAAAGGGUUAUUCAACAAUUAGAUUACAAGCUUUUAACUUUCUUGAUAUUAUCUCCCAUCCCAGACUCAAAAAUUAAAUCACUACCUCAAAUCUUGUGAAUAAGUUAAGGACCAUAUCUUUAAGAUAUGUGUAAGAUGUUCAGCUCCAAUGCAUGAAAGCAACCAAUCAUAUUUCAAGUGGAAUGAUUGGAUGAAGCCCACUUAAUAUUGUUUUGAACAAGCAGAAAGAACUUUUACCUCUUCUUGCAUCAACCUCAUAGUGUGGUUCACAUUAAUAAGUACAGUAGGCGGGAAAUACUGAUCAACUGCACCCUCAAGUAAAUGACCAAAACUUCCACGAACAACAAUUUCUGCUCCUUUGUCUAAGGCAUCAUUUACAAGAUUUUGAAGUUUAUCAGCAUGUUCCAGCAAACAUAUAGCACCCAUAUCGUACCUUCCAGCCAGUGGUGGUCCCUGCAAUACCAGUAAAUAAAAGUCCUAGUUUUAGUUUAAGUAUAAACAUGAUGUUUUAUUUCUUUUUUUGGGCUAGAAGGUCAAUUAUUUGGUGGAUAAAACCAGCACCUACAUAGGAAAUAAACCCCGAGAACACCUUUAAUCUGGCUAAAACAUGCACCUCUAAUCUUAUUGGGGUAGGGAUUUUCUGUUAUUAACAGUUCUACCUUUAAGAAAGGGUUUUGUUAAACUUACAUGUAAGUGAAUGUAAACAUAAAAAUUGAAAUCGGAAACUGUCAGGUGAGGAAAUCAGUUAUUCAGACUGACACAUCAAACAGCAUUUUGGAACAUUAUGUGAAACAUGACAAAAAAUAUAUUUUUAGGACAUACAACUACAUAUGCUUAUGCUAUGAGGACAGAAUUGACAAAAAGCUGGGAACAAAUCUUUCAUUUAAAACACAUCAAAAGUUUCGUACUUACAGCUGAAAUAGACUUCACAAUUUUCACUAUUUGACUGACAAAUGAUGAAUAAAUGUCCUUGUGAACAUAAAAUCUCUCAGCCCCAGCGCAGUUCUGCCCACUCGAUUGAAGAGCAGCCCUGACAGCAAUUUGUGCAACCUAUAUAUCAUGUACAAUAAACCCAAUCAUAUCACUCAUUGGAUUCUUCUUCAACAAAUACUGAUUAACAAAUUAAGACAAAACAUGUUUAACUUAGAACAUGCAAAGUAUUCAUACAUGAGAGACAUCUACAUCUUCACACACAAUAAAUGCAUCUUUCCCACCAAGCUCGAGUGUAACUGGUAUAAGUGUAUCUGCAGCCUUUCUCAUUAUCUGCAAACAGAAAAGGUGAGGACAAGGUAAAGCAGUGACCCAUUUUUGUCAUAAGAAGUAAUGAACAGGUAAAAGAUAUCUCUUUCAACAAGACCAAAAAAAACCAAUUUAUCAGGGGUAAUUAACAAGGACAAACAAAAUUCAAUUUAUUCUUUUGUGCACAUAAUGUACCUUCACAUUUAUCAUUUAUAAGAUUUAACUAUGCUAAUGGUUUUCACAGGUAUAGAUUAUAAUCCUGCUGCUUCGCUUACUGACACCACAUAUACUUAAUGCACUAAAGAUUAGGGCAAAGGAAUUUAGAUAAAACAAAAUGCAACUUAAUCCUAUUCGAGGAAUAUAAAAAAUAAUCCCCAAAAAAAGAAUAGAAUCUGUUAGCUUCAAUCAUACCAUCUUGCCAACACCUGGUGAUCCAACAAAUAUGAUCUUGUCAGCAGAUGACACCAAUGCUUCUCCUGUCUCCGCAAACCUAUGAAGAGAAAAGUGAUUCUGAUAAAUAAAAAACCAACCACGAGGGAUAUAAAAAAGUUCAAUAAAAACCACAUACCCUGUGAUUACAUCAACAAGAUUUUCAGGAGCUCCAACAGCAGCUAGAGCUGCCUGGAUUAUACGGAAGUAGAAACAUCCAGACCAACUUGCAUGUUCUGAAAUCUAUAAUUACAAGAAAAAUAAUCCGGUCAAGUAAAAUAAAAUAAUCUCUACAUUGGUCAUCGAAAGGCAUAUUAAUGGUACAUCAUAUGCAUCUUAUAAGCAGGUUCAACACUUAGUUGCUAAUGCAGAGAUGAGGUGUCAAGCAGCAACCUUAAAGAUGCUUAAACACAAUAAGGAAUAGCAAAAUAGAUAAAUAUGCAGCAAAGUUGGUUUCUAACAAACACAAAUAUCGUAUAAAAAAAAAGACUUCAAGAUAUUCUUAUAUUAAUACCUUGAUCACAAUGCUAUUCCCUGAAAAAACAGCAGCCAGCAUAGGAUUAAAAAUAUUGUGAAAAGGAUAAUUCCAUGAAACAAUGGCCCCUAUAACACCAAGGGGGUAGAAUUCUACUUUGGACCUCUUGUGAAUCAUAGAUCUUCCAGAAGACCUGCAGAAAAAAAUUGCAGAGGAUUAAAUUAUAUAAGUAUUUGUCAAAGCAAUAAAUUUCAGUAACCCUGUAAGUUAACAUCACUUCACAUGUUCAAACUUCUUUACGAAUAAGAGUCAUUAUACCACAAUGGUGAUAAGGUGCACGUCUUGAAAAGUAAGCACUACUGAUCUAAGGGAAAUUUAUGGCUAUAAGACAGGCAAUUACUACAUAUCAUCACAAUGUUGAUCAUAACANNNNNNNNNNNNNNNNNNNNNNNNNNNNNNNNNNNNNNNNNNNNNNNNNNNNNNNNNNNNNNNNNNNNNNNNNNNNNNNNNNNNNNNNNNNNNNNNNNNNNNNNNNNNNNNNNNNNNNNNNNNNNNNNNNNNNNNNNNNNNNNNNNNNNNNNNNNNNNNNNNNNNNNNNNNNNNNNNNNNNNNNNNNNNNNNNNNNNNNNNNNNNNNNNNNNNNNNNNNNNNNNNNNNNNNNNNNNNNNUAUUGCAGCAUGAAGCAAUAAAUCCUGGCGAGUAUUCUAAUGAUUCUAACCUCGUGAGGUGAUAAUGCAGGGAAGUAUCCCAAGUAUUUCAUAGUCGCUGGCUCGUAGCACCGAACUUUUUCAUCUGACUGCUGGAUCCUUCCCCUAGGAGGUAUCUGCUCAGUAUUUCAAAUAGGAGAAACAAACAUAAUUGUUAGUGCUGCCCCUGCCAAGUAACAAUCAUGCAGAGUGUUGACAACAUAAAGGCAUUAGCUACAGCAUAGCAUGGUCAAGCUCCUGCUACCGAUAAUUGAAGCACCAAUAAUUUUGGAAACUUCAAAAGAAAUAGAACAGACAUUAUAGACCUGACCUGAGAUUUAAACUGCAAGUACAUAAAAAUUAGCCAAUUCAAUUGCGAUUUUACAAACUAAAGUAAUUGGACACAAACUCAUUUUGAAGUCCUAAGAAAGAUCACAUUAAUAAUUACCAGCUUAUUUUUUUGAGAAAAAAUCAACAAUACACUUACUUAACCGAAACACUAAAUUUCUCGGAAAUGACAUAUUCAUCAACAUAGAAAGUGCUUUUAUGAACUCAAAAUCAAAAUCUAACACCGAACUUACUCAAAACGAAAUCUAGUGAAAAUACAAGCAAUCAACUCAAAAAAAAACCAAAACAGAAAGACUCACAUAUAUGUAGCCAUUAUCCUGCGUCUGAUUUCUAUCGUCCAACACUAUAGAUAAAAGAUACACAUCACAUCAACACAUAAACAUGCAAACACAAAUAAUACACACUAACAGGAAAGGAGAGAGAAUGACCAUCGGAGGUAUCGACAUCAAUGGAAGGCACAUUGGGAGGAAUGAGCAUCAACAAUAACCGACAGAUCGCGUAAGCGAAUGCCAAGACGAUCAACGGCCACCAAAAAGCCAUUUCUUCCGCGGAAAAGGUCGAGAGAAGAGAAGAUUCUAGCUAGGGUUUCGAUGGAUACAGGAACAUGAAUUAUCUUCGAACGAGAAAGCGAAAAUGCCCACGCUUAAUUCAUGGGAAAAUGUUAAAGAAGCAGAAACAACAGGAGUAAAUUAAAAAAUUUUCGAAUCCGCUCCCGUUUGGUUCAUUUAGCGUGGUGGUGUCUGUCUCUCUCAUUCACUUACAACAACAGUGGCAGUCGAUGGUAAUUUUCGGGUGUUACCAGGUGCAAAUUAUUAAGCUCCUCCGACACUUUAGCCUGUUAAAUAACUUUGAACAUAUCAGUUUCACAUGACCCUGCAAUUUAUUUACGUUUAAUAAAAAAUUUAAAACAUUAUUAAUUCCAAUUUCAUAAUAUUACAAAGUUUUUUUUAAUAUAACAUAAAGUAUAUUAAUUAAUUUUUCUACAUAUAACACUUAAAACUUAGGUAUUUACGAUGAAUUAAAUUUUAAAUAAUUAUUGAAUCAAAAUUUUGUCGGUCCAUAAACUACUAUUUAAAUAAAUGUUAAUAAUUUUAAAUCUUUUAUUUUGUGCCCUUUUCAUGAUUUUAAUUUUUUUUUAUUCUUUUACAAUUUUAAAUUUUAAAUUAAAAUGAAUUUUCUUCAAUCUUGUGUAAAACUUAAGUAUCGUGUAUCAAAUCUCGAAUUGAUUUUUAAGUUAUGUAAUUUAACUUUUAUUUUUCUUCUUUUUUUUCCUUAUAACAAAGUUUAUGCUUUCUGUAAGACUUAACCAUAAUAUGUCAUUUGAAACCAAUAACAUGUUCAUUGCUAGUCUUACCAAAUCAUAUUUGGAUUUUUUUCAAUCUUAUAAAUACGACUUUACUUACAUAUAUAUUUGAGUCAUGAAAUAUAUAGCAUACAAAUUUUGUUAAACUUUAUGCAAAUUGAUACAAUACGAUAACUAUCUUGUAUAAGUCACUAGCAUGAUAUUGAUUACUCCUAACUGUAUAUCAGAUUCGUAUUUUUAUUUGAAGUAUAAUUUUUUCUAUUAAGUUUAUUUAUCAANNNNNNNNNNNNNNNNNNNNNNNNNNNNNNNNNNNNNNNNNNNNNNNNNNNNNNNNNNNNNNNNNNNNNNNNNNNNNNNNNNNNNNNNNNNNNNNNNNNNNNNNNNNNNNNNNNNNNNNNNNNNNNNNNNNNNNNNNNNNNNNNNNNNNNNNNNNNNNNNNNNNNNNNNNNNNNNNNNNNNNNNNNNNNNNNNNNNNNNNNNNNNNNNNNNNNNNNNNNNNNNNNNNNNNNNNNNNNNNNNNNNNNNNNNNNNNNNNNNNNNNNNNNNNNNNNNNNNNNNNNNNNNNNNNNNNNNNNNNNNNNNNNNNNNNNNNNNNNNNNNNNNNNNNNNNNNNNNNNNNNNNNNNNNNNNNNNNNNNNNNNNNNNNNNNNNNNNNNNNNNNNNNNNNNNNNNNNNNNNNNNNNNNNNNNNNNNNNNNNNNNNNNNNNNNNNNNNNNNNNNNNNNNNNNNNNNNNNNNNNNNNNNNNNNNNNNNNNNNNNNNNNNNNNNNNNNNNNNNNNNNNNNNNNNNNNNNNNNNNNNNNNNNNNNNNNNNNNNNNNNNNNNNNNNNNNNNNNNNNNNNNNNNNNNNNNNNNNNNNNNNNNNNNNNNNNNNNNNNNNNNNNNNNNNNNNNNNNNNNNNNNNNNNNNNNNNNNNNNNNNNNNNNNNNNNNNNNNNNNNNNNNNNNNNNNNNNNNNNNNNNNNNNNNNNNNNNNNNNNNNNNAUAUGACUGUGUUAUGAUAAUCAUUUAUAUUCCUAAUUCAUAAUUUUGUCUUGUCUAUGCACAUUUAAUUUCGUGUGAUAUCAAGAGAUGUUGAUUCUACUUAGAUAAUAUAGUAAAAUACGCAAUAAUCUAUAUAUUUCUUAAGUCGCUCUGUAUACAAUAUGAUUUUAUUAUUAAACUAUAAAGUAUUUUAAAAAUUACUUUGUAGGAGACAACCAACUUUAUUGAGAGAUUUCAGUCAAGAAGGGAGCCAUUUACUUGAUUUGAUAUGUCAUUGUUUUCUUCAUACAUAUCUCAGACGACAACAAACACAAGAUAUCAUUCAAAUAAGUUUCUUGUUAUCUGCAACAAAGUUGAAGGAUUCAGGAAUCAAGCUCAAAAAAGCCACAAUAAAAAUUUGUUGGAUAUAAAAUUUGUUAGUGGAGUUUUUGAAAUACCACCUAUAGUAGUGCACUAAUACACAGAAAGUCUUUUGAGGAACAUCACUGCCCUCGACAAUUGUCCAAUUGACACCACACAACACGUUGCAUUCUAUGCCAUGCUCAUAAAGAGUAUGAUUUGCUCGAAUAAAGAUGUUAAGCCACUCAACAAGUUGGGAAUUUUGACUAACUACGACAUCAAUGAGAAAGACGUACCUAAACUUUUUGAAAUAUUGUACAAAGAUGUAACCGUAACUGAUUUUUAUUAUAAUAGUUUGUAUGAGCAAGUAAAUGGGUAUAAAAAACCUAGUUGGCAGAAUCGGUGGAAGUUAAGAAAAAAGAAGAAUAAGAAUAACAAAAAUCUCAUAAGUAAUCAUUUACCACGUUCUAUGUCUGUUAUUGUUGUUCUUAUUCUUAUUUUUUUUGACAUUUUUUAAAACUAUAUUUUAUAUUCUGUCAUUUACUCUUUAUCGAUCAUAAGUGAAAAAUAUAAAAACCACGCUUACUUACAAAAAUGGUUAUGUUAACGGUUCAUCGCAUUUCACUGUCGUUUAAUUAUUUAAAAAAUUAAGAACUAUUUGUUAUAUUUGUCAUUUUUUAAUUUCAAUUAAUCUAACCUCAUGGCAUAACAUAUACCACUUUUUUAAAAAAAAUAUUUAUUAUACCAUUUAUAAGUCAUCUUACAAUAAAUAUUUGAUUAAAUUAGUUUAGUUAUUGACAAUAAUUUAAUUGAUACUUUAUUUUGUUUGUUUAUUAAUGGUAUUAAACAAAACGCAGCGUUUCACACUUGCUCUUCGGCUUAAUUAAUGUAUUUCUGCAUCAAAUAUUCUUAAAUGGACCGCUCAUUUUUUUUUUUUUUUUAAUAAUUUAUUUUAUACAAAUUGUCCUAAGUCAGACUCGAACCUGUAUUCUGGAGGUGACCGGCUCUAAUCGUCAGGACCUUUUGGACGCAACGACAACAUGAAUUAUUUUAUUAUUGAAAAGUAAGAGAGACGCAGAGUUCCCACUUUCUCAUCAGACCACUAAAAUACAAAUCCACCGUCUGAUCUUGUCCAUCAAUAACCACUCUGCGCUAAUUCUCAAAGACAGAAAAAUCCAACGGUUGACGCGUGUUGAAAUCAUCCAUCUGCAUCACACAUGGCAAAACCCCAUCCCCCAUCGGGCCCCAGCGCGCACUUUCACUUACUUUGUCUUCUCUUCUUCUAUCCUCAGGCUGGCCGCAGCUUGCGAUCUUCUUCUUCGUAUAGAAACACAGAUCAAAAAAGCCAAAGCUCCAGAGGGAUAUUUACCAAAUAUAAAGGUCUGAGGGAUAUAUUUACCUUAUAUAUUCACGUCUACGUACAUAUUCUAUCAGAGAGAAAGAGAGAAAGAGAGAGGGAUUCUGAAGAAUAGAAAGAGAAAUGGAGGAAGGGAGGAGAGUAGGUGUGGCGGUAGAUUUCUCGCCUUGCAGCAAGAAAGCUCUAAGCUGGGCCGUUGACAAUCUUAUCCGCGAAAAAGAUCACCUUAUCCUCAUCACGGUGCGUCCUGAGGGCAAUUACGAGGAAGGAGAGAUGCAGCUCUGGGAAGCCACCGGCUCUCGUGAUUUUCUUUUCACUAUUUCUCUCGGCUGUUACUUUCUGUUCGAUUUUAGGGAAAAAAUGAGUUUUGCUUUUUGAGGAUAAAAAGACAAAAGAGAUGUUUUCCUCUUUUUUAAACAAUAAUCUUUCCAGAUUCUGAAUCAAUUGAAAUAUACAUGUUGAUUCUUUUGGAUUUUUCAUGAGUUUGACCUUUUUGAGCUAUGGUUAUCUGAUUUUUCUUUGGAAUUCUGGCCUAUUUGUUGGUUUGAUCACUAUUCAUAAUCGCCUUUGGUUAUAAUAUUUAGUGAUUUUCUUUUCUGUUCAUUCCUGUUUUUGAUCUCCACUUUGAACUGUUUCAAUUUCACUUUAGGAUAUCUUAUAUGACUUUUUUAGUAGCCAAGCAACUUAGGUUUUGGCUUGGUGCUUGGAAAGUAAAUGUUAGCAACUUUAGGGAGCCAAUAAUUGAAGGAUUGGUUGAGUAAUUAAAAUCUUCAAUCCUCUCUCUCUCUCUCUGAGUAGACAAUCAUUUCAUAUUAAUAUAUGCUAAAAAGAUUUAUUUAUACAGUCACCAAAAUAGGUUUUGCUCAAUAAUUUCAUAACCGAUAAUGAUUUAAUUAACACAGACGUGAUAGGGUGUAAUAAUGAAUAUUAGAAGUGUAAUUAAAAUUAUAAAAUCCCAAUUAUCAAUCACUGAAUAGUUGGUACAUUUGUAGGUUCAAGUCGAGUUUGGCUCCUGCAUGUGUUUUCGUUUCGAGAUUAUCUUUAUUGUAUUAUAAUUAGUGUAUGUGUAUGACUUUAUUCGAAAAGAAUUAUAAAAUCCGAAUUUGAAACAUUGAUUGAGAAACACAAUGUAAAAUUCACCUUAGUUCUUAGUUUGACCUUCCUCAAAUGUCAUAUGUGCAGCUUUAAUUCCUCUAAGUGAGUUCUCUGAUCCUGUUGUAAUGAAGAAAUAUGGAGUUCAGCCUGACCCUGAAGCGCUGGAUAUUGUCACCACUGCUUCCAGGCAGAAAGAGGUAUUAUAUUCUAAUCCAUAAACUAAAAUACUUAAUUAACAGCAUUUAAAUUCUCAAUCAAAAGAUUAAGCCAUGUGGUGAACAUGAACAGGUUGUGGUGUUAAUGAAGAUCUACUGGGGAGAUGCUCGCGAUAAGAUAACUGAAGCCAUUGAGAAUAUCCCUCUUAGCUGCCUUGUAAUAGGCAACAGAGGACUCGGUGGAAUUAAGAGGUACGACGAUAUAAUCCAGAACUGCAUUUUAACUUGAUAAUCGUUCUUACACUGUUCUUGGUAGAAAUCAAGAAUUUUUGUGGAAUUUAUUUAGAAAUCCAAAACUAGUUUAACUAAGAGUUUGAAAUGCAAUGUUCCAAUUCCAAUUGAGAUUUACUGAGAGGUCUUUUAUUUUUUUAAUUUUCUCAUGGAAUUCUCGUUGUACUUCCACAUGAACUCUGUAAAAAUUCAAGAUUUAUUCUGAACAUAGCCUUAAUCAUUUGUACCUAAGUUUUAGGCUCUUUGAAUAUUGUCUUGCAAUUGGCUGAAGUUUGAUGGGCCUUUUGAGACCAUGAUUUUGAUAUCAGCUUAAACUUCUUUUCCUAUUUGAGUGUUCUGUGGAAUUUUCUCAUCUCUUUCUCUAGUAACAGAAAUUUAACUUCUUAAAAGCAUUUUCCAAUGCCGUCUCUGCAACUGUGGCAAUUUUUUUCCGUAAAAGAUUAUUUGAUUUGGAAACAUGGCCGAGAUGUAACUUGUCUCAUAGGUCAACAUGGUCUAGAAUUGACUCGUUAAACCAGCUAAAACAUGCUGGUUUGAUUCAGUAACAUAGCGAAGAUGUAGCUUGUCUCAUAGAUCUACAUCGUCUACAAUUGACACAUCUCACCAGCUAAAACAUGUUGAAUUUCUGUAUGUAAUUCUACAGGGCUAUUAUGGGAAGUGUAAGCAAUUACGUGGUGAAUCACGCGAGAUGCCCUGUUACUGUCGUGAAGAGUCCGGAGCAUCAUUAGCUAGCUCUUUAACUCUGCAUGGUCUCGGGGAAUGAAAGUAGCGCAAUAAUCCCUCUGGUUGAACUGGAUUUCUUUUCAUCAACCAGACUCUUUUCACGCAUAUGUGAUUGAAAUAUGUUAUUUCUAUUGUGUUAUUUAAGUUGGAUGGAUAUUAUUAUGUGUUGAUGGGGUUUGUGUAUGGAAUCAUUUUAUAGUGUGGGCUAAGUUUUAGUGUCCUUGAACUGGUUAAUGAUUGUCUUGUAAUUGGAAGCUAGUGAUGAAAGUUAUUCCUGAAGCUAAUGUUUUUUUUGUGAGAUAUGUAACGACUCCGAAAAUUUUAAAAGAAAUAAAUUAUAAAUUAAGUGCAGAAACAAAAUAAAUAGUUAACAUUUUUUACACAAUGACUUAAAAUACAAAAUAGAGUUACGGAAAUGAUUCUUUUGAGAUAAAUACGAGAAAUUAAAGAAAUAAUCGAAAAAUAAAUAAAACUGGCAUCCUACUUUUAACUUUUUUAUAGAUCGGGGUCUGCAUCCUGAUUCUCUUGAUCUGAAAUGGUUAAUAAAAAAGUGAGAUACACUAAUUCAGCAAAAAUAUCAUAUUAUUCACCAACAUAUAAAUGAAGGUUGGUAGAAAUAAUAAAAACAAUUAAUGAAGUUUUUAAUUUUGUAAAAUUGUUUAUCACAAAUAAAAUUAUUUAUUAUUUACUUAUCGUAAUAAAAUUUAUAAAAACAACCUAUAAAAAUAAUGAUAUAACACAUUUUACAAUUUCAUAUGCAAUUGAUUGAAAUAAUAAUUUUUUCUUUUAUCAGCUUAUUGAUAUUCAUGAGGGUUCAUAUCGAUGUCUCCACAACGCAUGAACUCUUUCCUUUAACAUUUUCAAUUAAUGGGUCGUUCUCAUACCCUAUCCGGUGUGAGUGCCAAAUUACUAAAUUUCAAUACCUCGUUCGGUAUGAGGGUGAUACAGGUUGUCCUUAUACCCCGUCCGGUAUGAACGCUAAAUUACCAAAUCUCGAUACCCUGUCCGAUAUUAAGCAACAUUUAUAGUAGGGUUACCUAUAUACCCGGUCUGUCCGUGAUCUUUCAGGAUAUCCAGUAAAACUGUUGUUUCGUCCAUUCACUUAAUCAAACAAUUUUCUGUUUAUCUUUAAUUUCUAAUUUCUCAAUUCAACCAUAAUCACAUAAAGUAAGCAAUACAUGCAUUCAAACUAUAAAAUCAAUUAAUUAUCAUGCAUUCAAACUGUAAAAUUACUUAACAGAAUCAAUAGUGAAUAAUUACCAGUUAUGUCUCCAUUAGUGACCUGUAAUUAAUUAUAAAUAUUUUUUAAACUGACCAAAAUACCGUAUUAUUAUUAUUAAUUAGAUUUCAAUUAUAUAACAGAGAAUAAAGUAAAUGAUUCUUACUCUAAUUGAUACCUGAAAUGCUAAACUUAUUGACUGCGUAUACCGGCGGUUCCUGAGUUCUGUAAAUUUUUAUUUGGGGAUUAAAACGCGCUGCAAGUAUCUAAAAAUAUAUCAAAAAUCCAAAAUCAAUGUUAUGAACCCUUUUUGGCCAAUUCUGGAACUCCGGCACGGUGGCUCCCGCUGUACUCUGGCGACAGCACCGUCGCCCAUGAUGGCGGUUUAUAUCGGAUCGGCUGUUUUCGACCCAUUUUGUAUCAAUUCUUGCUAGAAAAUACGUUAAGGAGUCUCGGUUUGUUGAAAAAAAAAUAAAAAAUUGAAUCUUACCAGCAGCGGGGUUCUCCGGUACAGCAGCUCCACCGGUUCACCUUUACAGUUGAAUGUUUUGCUUCAGUUAACCUGUAAAGAAGGAAAUGAUGAUUACAAUAGUGAGAGAAUUAUACAGAACGGGAAUUGGGAAGGGUCUCCUCGGAGGUGUUUUUUAUAUUUUUUCGGCGACUGGCUCUUCUUCUUCAGUGAGGGUGUUUGACGGUUAGGGUGUUUGACCGUCCAUUGCGUUUGAUCUGUACUAUCCGAUCGCGAUUAAAUAAAGAGUGAAUCUGAACUGUUCAUCGCGAUUAAAUAGGGAGUGAAUCUGAACCGUUCAUCGCAAUUUAAUUUAGGUCGUUCGAUCGUAUUUAAAUAUAAAAUAGAAGAUGGAUCGUUCAUCACGUUUAAAUCUGACUGUCCGAUCACGUCUGGGGGAGGGAAUGGAUCCGGACUAUCUGUGCGUGCGAGAACGGAUCUGCACUGUCCGAUCUCGGGCACGAGGAUCGCUCACGUGGCCUCCUGCAUGACAUCGCAUCAGCUUCCCUCGCCAUGCGGCUCGCUCCGAUUCGUCGAGACUGCUGACUGAGCGUACUAGUGACAUAAAUUUUUUAAAUUUUCUUUAAAAAAUAUCUUCAGAAUCCAAAUUUUCAUAAUUUUUUUUCAAAAUUAUUUUUAAUUUUAUCAUCCAUUUAGUUUUCUCCAAUUUUAUAUUAAAUAAUAAUUAAAAAAAUUUAAAUUAAAUUAUAUAUAUAUUAAUUUAAAUAUUAAAAUUUAAAUUUCAGAUUAAUGAUUGUCUUGUAAUUGGAAGCUAGUGAUGAAAGUUAUGCCCGAAGCUAAUGUUUCCACGUGAGAUCAGAAGUCAGAAUAAUCAGUUCAUAUUUCAUUUACGCAAAAUAAAUCACGUAUGUUUUAAUUAUUUUAAAUUCCUAUAAAAUUUUACAAAAAAAAUUAAUAUUUAUUAUUUUUAAUAAUAUUUUCGUCAUUUUUAUUUAGAAAUAAAUAUAAAUGAAUUUUUAUUUGGACUGGAUUCUCGUCUUCCCAUUUUUAUUAAUCAUCAUUAAUUUUUAUCAUUUUUAAUAAUAUUAACAAAGGGGUAUCAGAAUAUAAAAUAAAUUAAUAGAGGAAAAUGAGAAAUUUUAUAAAUAUAAUUAUUUUAUUCUUAAAUAUUUGUUAAAAAAAAUUACAAAAAUAAACUUUAAAAUUUAGUAAAUAGUAGUACGGAACAAAAGUACUGUUAAAAUAAUUAUUAAUUAAAAAAUAUUUGAUAUUUAAUAGAAAUAGUUAUAAAAAAUAUUAUUAUUUUUUAAAAAAUAAUUAAUUUAGUGAAAAUUAUUUUUAAAAUUUUUAAAUAUAAAUUUUUCAUUUGAAACUAUACUAAUGAUUUUUGACUUUAAAUUACAGCAGAAGACCGAGUCAAACACUCAGCCCCAGCCCCUUCAAUGGCUCAAGACUGAGUUUACUUUCUUUAGAAUUGGAGGUGCUAAAAAUGGAACUGAUAGCUGGAGAUAAUUAAGAGUCAACAUGAACUAAACAAAGCCAAUACACCGGAUCUAAUCCCAUAAGACUAUUUUUAAUGCCAAAAACUACGUAUUUAUAUGCUCUUUAUCAUUUCCCAUUUCUCCACUUUCUUCUCCUGCGAAAAUAUAUCGCCCAGAUAAUUUUUUCUUCUUCAGAAAAAAUUAUUCUCUUGAUAAGAAAGCAAACAUGGAGCUUAACAAUAGUAACCCACAGCUUGUCGUCAUUACAGUCGCCAUUGUUGUCUUCUUCGUUGGCUCUUCACAAGCCAUCUGCGUGCCACGUGAUCGUUCCUCACCUUGCUCUUCUCCACCUCCUGGACACGCCUCCUCGCCCGAAGCUUCUCUGGAAUUUGAAGAUCCGACGGCAUCUGAUUCACCAUCUUCUUCCUCUUCGUCUUGGAACUCAUUAUCAUCAUCGCCAUCACCAUCACCAUCACCAUCACCGUCACCAUCAUUAUCAUUAUCACCAUCACCGUCACCAUCAUCGUCACCAUCUUCUUCUUCUUCUUCUUCUGAACUCAAAGAAGUGUGCAGCAAAACCGACCACCCAGAACUCUGCAAACUCACGCUUGCACCUUUCUUGACGGGCAAACCCAGCCGUGCAUCUCUCGUCGAAAUCGCCAUAAAGGCCACGAAUGAGAUGACAAAGCGGGCCGUGACCAAGGUGUCGAGGAUUGCUGAAGGAACCAAGGAUGCUUCCACGGCUUCCAGUCUUGAAGACUGCAGAGAAAGCUACGACGACGCACUGUCCAAUCUACAGAACGCCGUGGACGCACUCGUCGGUCACGAUAUCGGGACAGUUAGCGUCAUGCUCAGUGCAGCUUUGCAAGAUUACAGCGCGUGCGAUGAUGAUUUCGAGGGAGGAACUAACCCCAUGGCAGACAUGGAUAAUAUGUUGAUGCAGAUGACAAGCAACUGUCUCGCCAUUGCUUCACUUGUUUAAUAGCUUUUAAAAUCACGCCAUUGUAAUUUUCUUCUGGGUCAGCAGAGCAGCUUUUCUUACUUUUUAUUUUUCUGGCGAGUUGCUUGUAGCUUGAUUGAGGCAGUUAUUGGAAUUCAUUUGAGACAAACAAGAAAUCAAACCAAGCAAAAAAAAAAAUUAAAAAAGAACUCAUUAAACCCCAAGGAACCAGGAAAUCAAACUACGAACACUUUUAAUUACAAGAUUAAUUUCUUUGAGGAAAUCUUAAUUUUCUCCUCCUUUUUCAAUGCAGCCCUUAAUAAUUACAAAGUUAAUCAAAAUUUUAAUACUAUACACAUUCAAAUUUCAAUAUUAUUUAUAGUAUAGAAAUCAAAUUCAGCAAAAUUAUUUUAAUUAAUGUCACCAUAAAUUGAAAUAACAACCCUGACGUUCGUUGAAAGUGAAUUCUGAUAAUACUUAUCGUAUUGCAACCAAUCUUACAUGCUGUGUCAGACUUAUUAGAGAUAAAGAUGGUGCUUACCUGAGAAGUUUCAGCAGGAAAAUUGGUAAAUACUCUGUUCUUCAGGUUGAGAUUUAAGAUGUUUUCGAUAGUUUUCAACUUACUUGUAAUGUUAGCUUCUGUAAUAUCAUUUUAAAAAUAGAUAGUGUUUUAGCAGUGUAAUUAUUCACUAAGAAAGGUUACGGUAUUACUGCACAUGCCGCCCUCGUUCGUGCGAUCAAACAUUCGUUAUUACAGGAUUGACAAAUUCAAAUCCAACAUGUCUAUCAAAAAAUGAAUAAAUGUACUAAUUGGUUGACGAAUGCUGAUUUCUCUCUACCGAUGGAUCUCUAUUCUCAUGUUCAAGUAUCGAAUGAUCACCGACAAUUCUUCACUGACAAUAUCAUGGGUGUCUCGCUGCGAUCUCUUAAUUGUUUUUUUUUGGCUUUUGUCUCUUUUUGUACUUAAUUGUUCUGUUUUUCUUGAGGUAGAGAGGUGAGAGAGAGGGAGAGAGAGAGAAAAUGGCGGUUCUUUGGGCCCAGAGCCAAAAGCCCACUAGGGCCGUUCAAUGAUUGACUGCCUUGCUCACAUCACAUUUAUGAUUUUUAUCUCCCUCUUAUCAGAAAAAAAGAUUCGCCAGAGAUUACAGGAGGUGGUGAGAAAAAAAAAAAUAAAAAAUACAGAGAAGAAUGGAGGAGAUAAAGAGUCUCAGUCACAGGAACGUGCUUUAUCAAACCCAUUCCCAAAAUGCGAUAAUGUACUAUCUCUCAGAAACUAUUAACUUCGCUCCACUCCUCAAGAACCCUAAAUAUAAACUUGAAAAACAACGAGCGCUUUCUCUUCACUCUGUACUUCUUAUUCUUCUCCGCUAUAGUUUCUUCUCUUCGCUCUGGUAAGUAUCUAUCUGGAACUUCACAAGUUCUAUUUCUUCUCUUAAGCUUGAAUAAGUGGCGAUGAAUGUAGAUUCGAGGUUCCUGUUUGAGUGCUGUAAAAAGUGAGGAAAAGGGGAGGGAAACUCAUUAUUUUGGCCGCAUAACUUUUGCUGGUUUUGUUUCCACUUUUUUACCUUUAGCCAUACAAGUUGACCAAACAACCAAGCGUGUAUCUGUUUGCGUUUGCGUUGAUUACUUCCAUUGAGAUUUUCUUUUUCUAUUGUUUUUGAAGUUCUGCAUCAAGUGUUACAGAAUGGUAUUCUAAAGUGGAAUUACAGUCCGGUGCCUAAUUUUAUUUUUGUUUACAAAUUUUAUAUUUAAUUAUUGUUGAUAGAUGUUCUAUUCAAAUUUGUUGUUUGGCCUUUUAGUAAUUUACAGCCUUUUUCAAAUUUUUGUACAUGUUGAUUUCUUCUAGGUCCCUUCUGUACUAAUUUUCUUUCCAUUUUCAAAUUUCUAAAUCUAAUUUUGUAUUCUUGUUGAUGUGUAGAAUUGUUCCAGUCACUCAUACUUUGAAUUCUUUGGUUAAGCUUUUCUAAUUUCUAUUCUUGAAUGGGUAUUAGAAAUCGCACCCCGAGAGAAAAAUACUGAGGUGAGAUUAGUUGUGGUUCAAAUAGGAAAACCAUGAUGUAAUUUACUUGCAGAUACUAAUUGAAGAAUUAAGUGUAGGGAGUAACUAGGAAUAUAAUGGGCAUUUAAUCGAAAUGGGUAUUGAUGUUUAAUGUAACCCAUGCAAUUGUUUUGUGUUCAUAAUUGUUUUACUGAAUUUAAGAGCAUUUCUUUGUUAAUUGAGAAAACCCAAAUGCGAAGUGAAAUGAAUAUCACUUUGGUAGCCAACUGAAUGAACUUGAGCAAGCCUGUGGUACUGAAGUAACGAUUUUUUUUCUAAUGUUUGCUUACCCAUGAAAUAUAGGUUCUCCUGUUCUUUCGGUUUCUGAAAAUUAUUGUUGUAACAGCUCUCUGUGGCUUUUGCUUUUGAGAAUUUACUCCGGGGUAUACAGUGUCCAAGAUCUGCUGUAGUCGGUGUUUGGAUUGUGUUGAUCUUUCUCUACCUGUUUCACCACAUCGGUGUUGCAAGCUGUAUGUCAAUGGAAAGCUCAGAAAUAUCUAGUUCUGCUGUUCACUUUGCUGUGAAGAAGAAGAGGAGCUGUUCAUCUUAUCGUCCUCGCAAUAUUUCAGAGGCUUUAGAUAGCUAUAUUUUUCUACCACCAUCAACACAACCUGUCAGCAGUCUCAGCAAUGUGGAAAAUCAAAAUUGCAGGGAUAGAAUGGCCAGUUUGGAAGGGUCGGGAGGUGAGAACAAGCUUAAGCUUAAGCUGAAGUUUGGUGGUGUAACUCAUACAAUCCACACCAAGCCCACAGUAGAUUUUCUUGAUGGUGGUUCGGCCGUUUAAAACCCUCUCACUAUUUUGAGAUGCCUCCUUCACAACGAAAGCCACUUUAUCAGGUAUCUUUCUUUUUUUUGGAGUAAUCAUUCGCAGGUAGUUUUGACUGAUUUUUAUGAUCAUUUUUUUUCUUCCUUUAACCACUAUCUAAGCUCGAAUAUCUAGUUUUGCUUUUGUAGAAACCAACUGAUGUAGGCAGAAUAUGAAGUACUGCAAGUAGGAAGAAAAUAUAGAAUGGAGGAAGAAAAUAGGAGAGGAAAGGAAGGAAAAGAUAGGAAAUAGCAAGAAAAGGGAGAACUGGAGAUNNNNNNNNNNNNNNNNNNNNNNNNNNNNNNNNNNNNNNNNNNNNNNNNNNNNNNNNNNNNNNNNNNNNNNNNNNNNNNNNNNNNNNNNNNNNNNNNNNNNNNNNNNNNNNNNNNNNNNNNNNNNNNNNNNNNNNNNNNNNNNNNNNNNNNNNNNNNNNNNNNNNNNNNNNNNNNNNNNNNNNNNNNNNNNNNNNNNNNNNNNNNNNNNNNNNNNNNNNNNNNNNNNNNNNNNNNNNNNNNNNNNNNNNNNNNNNNNNNNNNNNNNNNNNNNNNNNNUUCCAUUAAAGGUGAUGGAAUAAAAAGGGUUGUGAUUGGAUACCAUACACGGUAUAUUUUAACUAAGAAUUUGAUUUGACUGAACCUGGUUUUUGAUUUGGUUCUUCAAGAAAACAAGUUGAUGCUAACAAUAAUGAAGAACAAUGUGAUCAUGGCAGCAAAAAAAAUUGGCUAUGGAAAAUACAACAGAAAACUAGAUUUUGUGGAUGUUCAUUAUUUUGAUGAUUCCAUUAUUGUACUCGGAUCAUUGACGACAUAGUUUUCUGAAUCACCAAAUAGAGGUGCUUGUGGAUAGGAAACUAAAAUCUCUCUCUUUCUCUUGCUCUCCCACAAUGUGGUGCAAGUUACGGGGCUAAUAUAGAAAAUUGUAGAGUGAGCUGUUUCCAUGUGGAGCAUCUAUUCGGAGGGCUUUAUCAGCCAGUUAUCUUGGCUGAUCUAAUCCUUGUCAUAUUUCUUGGUCUCACCCGGGCAGUUUCUUAGUGAUUUGAAAUCCUUAGAUGUGGUUCUAAAGUGAGGUAAAUGACUGCUCAGGCAUCUUUCUCUUAACAGACAUUCUUUAAUUUUUUGGAUGCUUUUAAUAAUAUUACUUUUUUGUUGAUGGCCUUUUAAAAAACUUACUGCUGCAGGAUGCAAAAGGAAGCAGUUAUUGUUGUCCUCCAUAUAAGGGGAAAAGUUCCGGAGUGCGAUGGAAAGAUAUUUCAAAACCUAGCUCAAAUUCUGGAAAGGGCUAUUUGUCGAGGGGAAAGACAUACGGGGAAAGUAUUUCUGUGAAUGGAACAUACAUGUCUAAGCCGGUUCGUAAGAGCAAGCGUGUGCCUAAGAGGCGUGUCUUGGAUGUGGGUUUCAAUGAUGGUGAUGAUGAUGAAGAUGAGGAAAUUCGGUACCUUGGAAGACUCAAUGCUUCAAGUGUGACUGCAGAUUAUGAAAAUAGUGGAGAUGAAAUAAGCAAGACGGGGGAGGGAAUAUACGAGGACAAAGACUACAUGGAGGAAGAGGAACCCACUUCUGAUGAUGAACCUGGAUCCAAAAGGAAAAAGACAUGGAAGGAUUCAGUUGAUUUAUUUUUAGAAGGAAGAAAUGAAUCAACUCCCACUACACGUCAUCGAACCCUUCAGUCUAGUAAAGAUGUUUUAUCUGGCUGUUUUACCGGUCUACUUGAAUUCCCAGAUGGUUUGCCUCCUGCUCAACCUAAAAGUAAGCAGCUCUUUCUCGUAUGCCUCUUCUUGAAAACUUUAUGACCUUCUUUUAUUUGUGAUACUAUUCUGGUUGUUCAUUAUUGUAUCAAUUCAUAAUGGAAGUAUGUCUUUAUUCCUAUGCUCUUGGUUGGUGACAGAACAAAAGGAGAAACUGUCUGAAUUAGAACAACAACUGAAGAAAGCUGAAGCUGCACAAAGACGUAGGAUGCAAUCAGAAAAAGCAGCCAGGGAGGCUGAGGUACGCCUGCAUAUUAUCAUUUAGUUUUGCAUUAUUGCUUGAUGCAGAGUUGGGCAGAGGCUUACUUUCUGUUUUCAGGCUGAGGCUAUCAGAAAAAUACUUGGUCAAGAUUCGGGGAGAAAGAAGAGGGAAGAAAAGAUGAAAAAACAGCAGAAUGAGCUCACACAGGUAUUCACAAACAGAACACUGAAUUUUUUUUUUUCCCGAGUGCAGCUUGGUUCUUUUUUCUUUGUGUUAUAGCUGAAGCAAUCUUUAUUCUACAUCAGGGGAAGGACAAGUCUCACACACUUGCACCAAAUACUAUCAGAUGUGUUAUUGGUCCUACUGGAACCACUGUUACAUUCUCAGAAGACAUUGGUCUACCGAAUCUAUUCAGUUCACUGUCAGGCCGGUAAGUUCAAUAUUUUUAAACAGAAUCCAAAAGCUUCUUUUAUAUUUUUCAUUCAUUAUAUGUGAUGUCAUUUUGGUACUGAUGAUUAUUUUCUCUACAAUCCGACUCGGUUCUCUCUUCUCUUCUCAGUUAUCCACCACCACGCGAGAAAUGUGCAGGUCCAAACUGUACAAAUACAUACAAAUACCGAGAUUCCAAGUCGAAGCUUCCGCUCUGCAGUCUACGCUGUUAUAAGGCAAUACAUGGUAAAAUGCAGGCUUUAAUUGCCUGUUGAGUGCUGAUUGUGUAACCAUUUUAUCCGGGUGUGCUAGAAGGCAUUGUCAGGAUAUUUUGUGUAUUCUGGAUGAAGGGAUGAUACCCUUNNNNNNNNNNNNNNNNNNNNNNNNNNNNNACAAAAGAAAAAGUAUGUUAGACCUGCAUGAAAGGAUAAAUUUAUCUUUUAGUCAGAAACUGAAGGAUGGUUUUCUAAAACUAGUGUGGUAAUGCUCUGGCAAAUGAUAUGUAUUUUAUAUAUAAUCAAGAAUAUUUGACGCAUAUUAUAUAACACUCGGUAAAAUAACUAAGGAGUCUGAGUUUGAAUCCUACAUCCACGUCUCUUAGAAAAAAAAAGUAGAUAUAAGACAUGAUUAUCAUCGCAAACAAAUGAAUGGCGGCUUUUAUACUAUUAACAGCGAUAGUGCAUGCUUCGAAUUUAUAUGCACUUCUCUGGCUGCCGAGUAGCUAUGUAAGUUGCAAACCGGUGCAUAACAGAAAUAUAGCAUCUACGAUCUAUCCAUGAAAACAGCAUCAUGUCCGCUUGAUUUUAUGAACUUCUUCAGUAAAAGAACCAGGAUUGCAAUUGUCAAGCCAAUGGCGGCCCAUGUAAGCAGACGGUCAUCACCUGGUUUCUGAACCCUCGUCAGUGGCUUUUGCAGCGGCUGAUUGCUUGGAUUCCUGGCAACCUCAGAUGCUACCCUUGCUCCCAUAUGAUUGGGAUCGGCAUUGACAGGCGCCUCAGCAUUGGCAGGCGCCUCGUGCACUUCUUCAGCGAUUCUGUCACCUACUGUUGGAUCUGAAGGUGCUUGCACAUCUGCUGCCCCAACAUUUUGCAUAUCUGCCUGCAAUAACACCUCCGCAUUUGUUGGAUUUUCAUCAGAACCCUGGGGGGAGCUAAGUUGGGGAACUGGGGGGGCCUUGCUUAGCAUAUACUGAUGGAUCUGCAGAUGAUGGACAGGUGACCAAAAUAUUAGAUGUCGAAUUAAAAACCACAUCACUAUGAAGAGGAAUUCGUGGGCAAGCAUAUACUUCAUCGAUAAGUUUUUGACGUUCAGGAGUGCCAAAUCUAGGGAGUGCUUCACGAGAUUUGAUGGCCAAGGUUCGCCUCUCUUCUUUUUUGUAGUCUAAUGAGCCCAAUGCACCAUUUGGGCUAGUUGGCAUGAAGGCAAUUAGUGCCACAAGAGCAGUCCGCACUGCCAAUGAUGAUGAUAUGUAAACCAGGUAUAAGAUAAAAUGAAUACACAGAUUCAGUGAUUCACAGAAGAUAUAUGUUAUUCAGGUGCCAACUUAGCAUGAUUACCCGGUUGUGUAUCAUUCACCAGUUGGCAACAAGUAAUAAUAAACCAUACAAGGAAGUAAAUGAACCACACAGAGUGAUACUUGUUUCCUCUCUUUUCAGAAAAAAAAAAUUGUUUCCUCAUUAUUACUCCUAAGUAACAAUAAUAUAAUGAAGCAAACAUGUAUUAUUCAUUAGCUCAAGCUUUGAACAAGUCAGUGCCAAAUUUACCACUUGGACGUAAGUCAUAAUUUUAGGUCUUUGCUAUUUGAUUCAAAGGUCAACUUUUAAUGACUAGCCAUCUACUCAUACUUUAGAAUACAUAUCUAGAUGCAUGAAUGAUAAUGACAUCUUACCACUCCAUGAUGGCUGCCAGUGCUCGGGAUGGUGAUUUGAUAUGCUCAAGCAUAUCUUGGUCUGGGUUUCAAAACGACCAUUUGGCUGAAAGAAGGGCAUGAAACUUGUUAGCAUGUCUAACUUGAAUAAAUAUGAUAAAGUUUUAAAGAGAGGAAAAUCUUACAGUCAACAACAUAAAUGAAGGAGGCUGGAAUGGAUAUUCAGCAGGCAACUGAAUCCGUCCGUGAUAAAUACCACCCUCAAAUUCAGUAUCUCUUGGGCCUCUUAUGGCAAAUUGCCAUUCAAAUAUAUUCUCCUGGUAAUAAUAGAACAAUAGAACUAUUGCAUCAGAAAUCAAGUCAGACUGAAAACAAAUUACAUUAAGCACUAGCAAGAUGGAUAGUGAGACAUGGAACAAGUUGUAAGUGGAAAUAGAAACGGAAAAAUAAAGAAAUCAAUUUUUCAUUCAGUUUCUGUAUAACAUAAACUGAAUUUAGGAAAUUCCUAAUUCCCAACUAAACAAUCCAAAUUUCAAUUAAAUGUGGUUCCCCUAUUCUCUUUAUUUGCUCCCGUUAAGGGAGACCCAUAGGCCUUAUCCAAUACAUUCAGCAGCAAUUUUAAGUCAACUCUACAAUCCCCAGUUCUUUAUAUCUCAAUUCCGUAAGUGAAGCAGAUUUUGAAACAUUAUAAUAUGCAGCAUGUCCCUCCAAUUUGGAAAAAAAUUCCCAGUAGUGCGCUAAUCAGUAUAAACACCGUAAGAUAACCCCAUGAAGUUCCCUCCCAUUUCCGCAACGCAGAAAAAAUAUGUAAAUGAAUUUCAGAAACAAAAUUCAAACCCAAAGUCCAAUUCCAAUGAUUCAACAGAUAUUCCCCAAAUUGCACUUCGAAACCCUAGUUCGAUCCAGAAGCCAAUAUGUACGAUUGCCUAUCUUGUAAAUUAAGCGCAGAUAAACCGUUAAUUGAGAAAGCAUUAGCGAUUCAGACAUCCAAUUAUUGCUGUUUCAGUCGAGCAAUUGCAAACAAUAACAACUUUUUCUAAGGGAGAAAAGAGAGAACGUUUUGAAAAACAAACCUCGAGAGGGAGGCUCAUGAAAUCAUCAGAAGGAUUAGAUUGCAUUUCCUUGACCUCCUGCAGGAUCCUCUUCACUGCAGGAUUCUUUAGAUUGUACUUGUCCUCCGCCAUUGAUUAACGAUUUGAGCAAGGAUCGAUCCUCCACCAAACACCACUCCAAUCCGAUCAGAAGACCUAAAUCUCUGGUUUUAUAUUCUAUCUCUAUAGAAAUGCGCGGUUGUGCAUGUAAAACUGUAUAUACAAACACGCCCGCAGUAUAGAAGAUUGGGGAAAAUAUCAGAGAGCAAAGAAAGAGACGUAGAAGAUGGAGUGCUCGUCGUGUCACCGGUACGAAUAUAAAUGUUGUAGAGCUGGAGAAAGAAACAGGGAGGAGUCCGGAUGUUGACUUGACACGUCAUGUGAUGCGCUGUUGAUGACAUGGCGAUUGGUCAUUGGAUAAUAAACAGUGAGUGAUUAAAUUUAAAUUCACUUCAAAUUUACCGAGGUAAUUUUUUUUUUUUACUUUUAUCAGAAAAUGAAAAGUAAUUUUUUCUUACAGGAGUUUAAAUUAGAAUUGGGCCUGAGAUGAGCCGGCCCAAUUUGAACAUUUUAAGGGAUCGAAAAACUAAUUGGCGCGAGAAAGAAUGGGGGGAGAGAAGGAUUCCGGUUACGGCAAUCAUCGGCCUCGUGUUGAAUUUGCAGUGCGAUUUACAGUAAUGUAACUUUGCAGUGAGAAGUAGAAAAAUUCAAAAGGAUCCGGCAGUAGUCCUGCCGCUCAGCCCUCUGUUUCUGGUAAGCGAAUACGUCCUUACGCCCGUAUUUUAUCCGUUUGGCUGUUGUUCUAAAUGCUGUAUUUAAUAUAUGUAUGUAUAUGUCAUAUAAGCUCUUUCAACGGCGGGCUGGGCUGUUCUGCGUUGAAAGCUGCUUGCUGAUGUUGUUUCCAAAGACCUUAGUUUCUUGUUCUACAUACUAACUUGCUAAGUUGGAUAUUUUGUGUCAUCUUUUAUUUGCUUGUGUUAUUAUUGCUGAUUGUUCGAGUUUGUUGGACAAUUCUUGAUUGGCGGAACUUCUUAGGAACUUACAGAUUUAAAAAAUGUCCCCAAGAAUUAUGUCAGCUAGAUUUCAUGUUCAUUAUUUUAGUUCCGUUCUAGGCAUUGUUUGAUUUCUUAUUUAAUUCAUAGAAUGUCUAAGAAAUUUUCUCCCCGGAGAACUGUUUAACUCCAUAUUUUUAUUAGCGGGCCACCUAGAUAAUAUCAGCCCAUCAACAUCUACGUGACUGUGGUUCUGUAAAGACUUUGUGUAAGAACGGUUCUAUUUGGAGGUUAAGCAAUUUUGAUUAAAAAAAUAAAAACUCUUGGCUGUUCUUGUUGUUUGUUUGUUUGCUUGUUUGUCUUUUAUUUAUUGAUCACUAACCAAAUUGGUCAUUUAAUUUUAGUAUAUCAGUUUAUAAACUCAACAAAAUUAGAUAAAACGAGACUGUAAGUAAGCUUGUUCAAAUGGCCAAUGUUAUGUGCUUUAUGGAGGGGUUCAACUCCGGUGCAGUUGAAGACAAGUUUAGUUCUUCCAGUCAGGGUUUUGAGAGUCUGGAAUAUGGAACAGAAGCCUGCAAAAGGUCUCGAGAUAUUUAUUCGCUCGGUUCUGAUUAUGGAUUCCAUCCAGAUGAGUCAUCACUGGACAAUGGAUUUAUAGUCACAAAGUAUGAUCAAGAACAGCAGCAACAACUGUCAUGUUCAGAUUUUAGACUACUCGAUGGUGUAAGUUUUAACGUUGCUUCUCCACCAAUCCAAGCAUAUUUUGAGGAGAUGGUAAAGCUUGCUGGUGGAAUCCAAGAUGUGAUUGAACCCAAGAAGGAGAAGCAUGUUCAAUUUUCUUUCCCCGCACUUGAGCUCCUAAACAACUACAGAAGUGGGUUCAAGCGGCUGAAUGGGGAAGGACGAAUUAUUGAGCCAAGAAAUGAUACGGCAAAUACAGAGGGAGCAACCAAAAAGUUUUCGACUGAAGAAAUCUUUAGGUUUGCAGGAGAGAUUUUCAUCCAGUCUUCUUCCCAAAUAGUUGAUGGUCUUUCCAUGGUCAGCCAUCCUUUUAAUCUAUCUUUUUCUGGUCUUUCCAAUGAGGAAAUCAAAGAUGUGGAGCUAGCUGGUUUUCUUUUGGCUUCUGCAGAGAAAGUAGGCUGUCAAGAAUAUGACCGUGCGAAGAGAUUCCUGAAUCAGUGUGAUAGCUUGUCUUCUGAUACUGGAACUCCAGUCCAACGUAUAGUUUACUACUUUUCUGAAGCCCUUAAGGAAAAGAUUGAUCGAGAGACUGGUAGAUUCAAGUCAAAGGGAUUAGAGAGAGUGCAGAAAGUCGAUAUUGAUGAGGCAAUCAUGAGCCCAAAUCCUGCUACCCUGGCAUGUCAUCAAACAAUGCCUUUUGCACAGAUAACCCAAUUUGCAGGGAUCCAAGCCAUUAUAGACAAUAUGGCUGAGGCAAGCAGAGUUCAUAUAAUUGAUCUUGGAAUUAUGAGUGGGAUCCAAUGGGCAAUCCUGAUGCAAGCUCUUGCAUCACGUCAAGAGGGUCCUAUUGAGCUUCUUAAGAUAACUGCUAUUGGAACUACUUCAAAACAUUUGAUAGAGGAUACAGGUCGGCGGUUACGGAGUUUUGCUGAGAGCAUGAACUUACCCUUUUCUUUCAAGAUAGUUAUGGUCUCAGACAUUCUUGAUCUCAAAGAAAAUCUCUUUGAGACAGAUGCUACGGAGAUGGUUGCUGUCUUUUCUCAGUUCUUGCUAAGGAGCAUGAUUGUAGUUCCAGACCGGUUAGAAGCCUUAAUGAGGAUCAUCAGGAAGAUUAGUCCGUAUAUAAUGGUUGUUAUUGAGGUAGAGGCAAAUCUCAACUCACCAUUUUUUGUGAGCCGUUUCAUUGAAGCUCUUUUCUUUUACAGUGCAUAUUUUGAUUGUCUGGAAGCUUGCAUGAAAAGAGAUAAUGUCAAUAGGGUGGUUACUGAAUCUAGAUACUUUGGCGAGGGAAUCAGAAAUAUAUUGGCAGCUGAAGGAAAUGAAAGGAAGAUCCGAAAUGUGAAUAUUGAUGUUUGGAGGGCUUUCUUUGCUCGUUUUGGAAUGUUAGAGGCUGAUCUGAGCAUGUCAUCCCACUACCAAGCAAAACUUUUGACUGAAAAGUUCAAUUGUGGGAGUUCUUGUACUCUUGACAUGAAUGGAAAGUGCCUUAUUGUUGGGUGGAAGGGUACUCCACUUCUUUCUGUUUCUGCUUGGAAGUUCUAUUAAGAAGAACUGACCAUGAUAGUGAUGAUCUAAUUCAAGUACAUUGUUCCUUUCAGUCUCUAAUCUGAGGUCCUCAUAGGUAAUAUAAAAUGAAAUUUGUAGUUUGUUUCUUCUUGGUUCGGAACGUGGUUUGAGCAGAUCUAUUUGAUGCUUGAUGUCUUACUAUGAUGUUUUUAAAUAGGCAAGUAUCAUAUGGGAAGGAUCACGUAACAUCACUUUUGUUAACAUUGUGCUCUUAUACAGUCAAGCAAGCGUAUCCAAUUCACAAUCUUGUUUACCAGCAUCUUCAUGUUUUACAAUUUCUUUACACCAUACAAGGGUUUCCUUCUUUUGUGCUUUAUAUGCAAAGAGUUCUAAGAGGUAAUAGGCUUUACAGUUUCUGCAACUCAUGUGACAAUUAAGAGUUUAGAUAUUUGCAAUUCAAUUCUUUUUAUUCCAUCAACAGCAAUUACAUUUCUCUGUUAAUAGGAAGGUUUCCAUAUUAACAUGGUGAUUUGCAUUCAUAUUAUGCCCUUUUCAAGUCCAAUCACAGGAAUGCUGCUUUUUGCAUAGAAACCUGGAACUCUUGGCAUAAUUCAGUAUUUUUGGCACAAUCCUCUCCUUGUGAAGCUAAUGAAGUGGCUUCAGUCCUGCACGAAAACCCCCUUAAAGACAGCACAGAAAAUCCUGAAAUUAUUGCCAUUAGUGUCUAGAUGAGGAAGCAUCAAUCUAAUAGGCAUUUUACUGUAUUUCUAUUUCCACAGAUUUCCGCGCACAAGCAACUUAAUCAUUAAGACUGAACUCAAUGCUAACCAAUCAGGUUCUAAUUUCUGAAGGAUGCCUGACGAGUUUAGGAGAAUGUCCAACUUGUGUUGUUCUUGUUACCAAUAAUUUUACUUGAUUAUUUAGGCCUUAUUGCCAUAAAUUAUUUUCUCUGCUUCAUUUUUUUUUUUGUUUAUAGUUCCAAGGGAUCAAUAAAACGACCUUGUUCAAGUCUAAAAAUACUCCAAGCUUCAAGUUUCAUGAAAUAAAUCGACAAUAGGAAGUUACUUAUCAAGUUUUAUCUCCGCCUUUUAUGUUUUUUUGCUCCACACUAUUCCAACUUCUAAUUCUAGAACUUCUAUUGUCUGCCUUCAAAACCGUGCUUCCCAUUAGAGGAGAGAUUCAAUUAUUUUCUGGUGUAUGGGAUUUCAACAUAUGCAGGGUGUCAGUUGUAGAGAGUAAAUGAGGGGAAUAUUCUUAAUCACAUUCUAGCAAAUUUUCUCACAGUCAAGUUCUUAGCACUUUAAGAGAGCUGGUUAUGUUGUCUCAGAAAAGAGAUAAAAGAAACAAGAAAAAAGAAAAGGAGAGCUGGGUUAUGCUGGGGAAAAACUCUGCCACUUCUGAUUUGUCCACUUCUCUUUACAAUUUUCUGCACAUAUGACAUCUUCAUGUAAAUAUCCUUUUGGAUAGUCCCUUUCCUAAUAUUGCUGGCUAGUUUAUUCAUUAUCUAUUUCUUAGAGAAAAUAUUUCGUUCCUUAUCUGGCUGUGUAUUAGUUUCAGGUUCCUUUGGAUCACCUUGUAAAGCAGCAGGAGUGUCUGCCAAGUUAUAUAAUAUACUGAUUUGUGAAAUGACUUUGAAUCUUGAAAGAAGCAUGGGUUUUGGGUAUUGUGUGAUUAUAAGCACAGUGGUAGCAAGUUAGAUAUCCUCUAGUGUAUUGAGACAAAUAUGGUAAAGCAACUUGAAUUAGUCUUGUAACACUGCCUUUUAUUCCCUGAAAAAUUUUGCUGAUUCUCUGCCAAAUACUCAAUAGUGAAAUCUGUUAAUGGGGAUGAAAUAGUGAUUUCUAUCCAUUUCAUCAGUGCAAGGCUUGGAGUAUAGAAGCUGAUCUAGAUUUUUUGAACAAUAAUCAUCUCUCAAGUGAUGGUUUGAACAGUAAUCAUUUUUCGUCUGAGAGGAAAAAUUGUCUGACCAGAACUUAAAAAAUAAUUGAAGUGAUGGCUAGUGAAAUUGUUGAAGACCAAAUCUUUGCUAGGAAUUGUUGAUCAUGAAAAAAAAGAGCUUUGAGCUUAUUUGACACCCUUGUUGAGAUCUACAGGUUUUGAAUGACAAACUAAAUGGGAAUCAUUUCCAACUAGACAGACAUAACCACUACUUUUUUUACUUCGAAGUAACCACAUCAAUGUUAUGGGUACCGAUAUGUAAAAAUAUUUCUUUGCUCCACAUGCUUAUUUCAAUUAAUAAUUCCCUGGAGAAUUGUUCUUCCAUUUGUUUACUUGACGAGAAGAAAAACAAAAGAAGCUUAUUAUGCAAACAUUAACUUGAAAUUACGAGUUACACAUGCAGAUUUUAAAGCAGCCGGUUGAAGGAUUCAAGAGAGUUUCUCAUUAAUUGUUGAUUCUUCAAUUAUGUUCACUUGGUUUAAGGACUUGAAACCUUGGAUCUCAGAACAUCUGCUGGGUGACACAGUGGAGUUGAACCCUUGAUUCAAUGGAAAGACAGGCCUUAGGCAUUUGCGUGCAACAAUAACUGAAUUAAUGACCUCAUCAGUUGGAUGAAAAACUGAAAGAACCUCAAAACCUUGAAGCUCAUGAGGACCAACAACAGGAUACAGAAAUGCUCGAGCUCCAUGUGAACUCCUCAGCAACAAGAAGGCUCCUGGGGCCAUGUGCAAUGCCAAGUGAUCAAUGAUUUGAGUCUUCUCUUCCUUGCCCAUCCCUACAAGAGCUGCCAAGAAAACAACUUCAUACUCCUCCAAAGCCUGACUUGACAAGUCCAUAACAUCCAAUGUAUGGAAAAACAUUCGUUUCGACAAGUCAGGAUCUGAUGAAACCAGCUGCCAUGCUUUGUAGUUUGCCAAUGGAUCAAUGUCAUAGUUAUGAAAAGUUGUUGUCUUCAGGUGCUGAGAGGCCAAGAUGAUGGAAGUAAGAGGGAGAGGUCCAGAUCCUAAGAAGGCAAUUUUGGUUGGAACUUGACCAUCGCAAUACUCUUUACCGAGCAUGGUGAACUCUAGAUUGGUAAGCUUGAGGUAAUUCGUGUAGUAGGGGAAGAGACCGAUGUGGCGAAGUGGGUUCUGUUGAGAUCCUAUGAGAGUUGAGAAAUGGCUUUCUAAAAGUCCCUCAGCUUUCCCACAUAGCUUAAUCAACCUACAUCUCAUGUCUUGAACUCUUUUGCUCAGCUUGGUAACAUCAAUAUGGCAGGGAGACAUGCAUGUAAGUACAAGUUGAGUGAAGAGGGUGUUGACAUGGUCACUAGGGUUGAGGUUUUCUAGCCUUGAGAUUUUAUGAUACAUCUCAUAGACUUUUCUUACUAACACUUCAUCUUCUUGACAGUCCAUAUUGACAACCACAACAGGACUCAAGACACCAGCACCGGAGACAACAGACAUUGACCAGGAGUGACUUACACGCUUGUGUGAAUAUGUUUCUGCACUCAAAAGGUAGUAGAGUAUAAAUAGUGAAAUGUUCUCUUCUAGCAGGUUAAACUUGUCUCGUAUCUACACUGCCAAUUAUUUAACUAAACUAAGCAAUUGAGCAAGUUGAUUCCGAGUAGAGGCAUAACCCGAUAAAAUUAUUAAAAUUGUGUCACGUUUAUUUUUCACUUAAUUUCACUCAUUUUAAAAUCCACUUUCAUAUUAAUUUAAGUACACAUAAUUAAAAUAUAAUUCAUUAUUAUUAACUAUUUAUUAGUUACACAGUUAAAAUUUUUAUUUUUCUCUAUGAAAAUGGUGGUUCAAGUUAGAUUAGCCGUUCUACAUCUAUAUAUAUAUAUAUAUUUUAGAAUUUUUAAUUUUUAAUUAUUUUUUAAAUACUUUUACGACAAAAUUUUAAUUUUAAUUUUAAUUUUUGAGGUAAAAAAUGAACUUUUUGAAUUUUAAAAAUUCAAAUACAAUAUAUUGUGUUCUAAUUAUACAUUUUAAAAUUAAUAUUGGAAUUAAGUCCAAAAACAAAUCAUUCCCGACGUAGAAAUAAGUUCAGGUAGAUCAUAGGAAAUUAAUAAUUUAUUCACGCACUGGAAAAAUGUGGUGAGGCUGCCAAAAGAGGCAGAUAAUACGAGCUAAAAAUAACAGUCAUCAUGCACCAUGAAAUGGUAUGUCUACAUAUGAUGCAUUAAUUCCAUCAUCCUACCCCCCUUAUAUAUAUAUAUAUAUACACAUACAUAUAUUUAUACACACACACACACACAUAAUAUGUUUUUUCUAGGGAUACUUUUUUUUUGGGAUUAUUUUUAAGGGAUAUAUAUAUAUAUAUAUAUAACAAAAAUAGAUACAGUAUGUAAAAGUUGAAAUUCACAAGCUAAAUAAUUUAUAAAUAUUAAUUAACUUUGUAAAUUAAAUUGUCACAUAAAUAUAUAUAUUAUAUCAUAUUAUAUUAUAUUAUACAUGCACAUUAAUCAUAAUAUAAAACUAAAAUAUAUUGAAAUAUAUACAAGUCAUGUAGUAAAGUGCUUCUGCAAUAAUUGACGAGUAGAAAAAUAGUAGCCUUUAAUUCAAUCUUAAUGAGUCUACAAUGUCGACAUUCCAAGUUUACCAGAAGAGCUAGUGGCAGACCAACUGUGUCAUCCGCACGGUGCCGUAUUAGGCCUCGUUUUUUUCCUCUCUUUUCCCCUCAUAUUUACUUUAUUUUUAUAUUAAAGUUUGUCUGGUUAGUAAAUUACUUUUAAAUAAUUAAUGAGAUAAUUAUCAACGGUAUAAUAAUUAAAUUUUUUAUAUUUUAUUUAAAAAAUUAUUAUUUUAUUAGUGUAUUAUAAAUAAUAUGACAAAUUUUUUAUAAUAAUAAAAUAUUGAAUGAAAAAAUCUAGAAUACCAAUUACACCAUUGUAUAAUUCACAAAGAUACUUCAGGCCCAAUAAGAAUCAAAAUUCAAGUUGUAGCCCAAAAAAAAAACAAUUAUUUAGAAUACCUUAGACGACGUCGUAUGAGGAGGAAAGUUACAAGCUUGGGUUCGGUCACGUAAUGGGCGGAGCCCGCCACAGAUAUACACGGCUGGCUUAUUUGACGCGUAGCUCGGCUUCAGCGCAUGUAAGCCAUGUGUAAGGCACUAGGCCCCAUAAGAGAGUCUGCUCAACUCAAGCCCGAGUCAGAGAAGAGACCGGCUAACUCAGGUAGGGCGAACUGGAGUGCGAGCAGAAAAAUGGAGAGCAAAACGCGGGAAGAAAUGGAGAAGAUCGGGAUAAUCGAUUCGUGGCUGAGGAAGCACCAACUGAUCUACAUAGGAGCUACGAGGCAUCCUUUCAUCCUCAGCAUCAGAGAUGGCUCCGUCGAUCUCUACUGCUUCAAAACAUGGCUGGUAGUUAGUACGCAUCUGCUUUGAUUUCCGAAAUCCAUUUGAAAGCCAACUGUAAUUUUCUUAUGUUUGUGGUUAGUUUAUUUUGGUUGAGAAAAUUUCAGGGACAAGAUUACAUAUUCGUGAGAGAAUUCGUGGCAUUUGCGGCGAGUGUGUUGAUGAAGGCCUGUAAGGAGUCGGAUGAGUCGAGUGAUAUGGAAGUGAUAUUAGGAGCCAUGGCUGCUCUUAACGAUGAAAUUCGGUGGUUCAAAAAUGAAGCCUCCAAAUGGGAAAUCGAACUCUCGGGAAUUGCUCCCCGAAAGGCAACCCAAGAUUAUUGCAGGUUCAUACGUGAUUUCCCUUCUCCCUGUUUUAGGUCUCAAAAUAAAAUUGCAGUGUUUAUAUGUUCUUCUUGAUUAUGGAUCAUGCUUUAUAGUUUUUUAUGUUAGAAUUUAGUCAAUAUAUAGAUUAAAUGGAAAACAAUUUUAAAUAAAUUUCGCAAAGAACAAAUUGAAAAUUAGUUCUCAUAUUUGUUGAGUUAAGUAUGAAUUUACAAGUCUUGUAGAACUCAUUUUUCCUUGCUGUGUUCGUUUUGAUGUUUGCAGCAUUUUCAUGUUUUAUGGGUCCGGACUAAUAGCUAUUAAUUUUUUGCGACCACAACAUUUUUGUGAAGAAGAAAAGACAUAUAUAGUUUUAAGUGUCUUAAGGUUGCAUUUGUUUAGUUUUGAAUUUUAUAUUUGCUUAUAAUUAGAAUACAAUUUCUUAUGAUUGAGUUUACCAGCACUUUUAUAUUGAAUUUCCAUUUUCAAUGGAAUUCAAAAUGGGUUGGUAAUAUAAGACUAAUAUGGUAAUCAGAACUAGGAAUUAACUUAGAAUUGAAUGACAAAUAUGUAUUUGAUCCUUGUUUAACAUGGUAACCACAUGAGAUUUUUCUAGCGUAACUAUAUGAUAGUUUUGUUUGUAAAAUGAUUCUUCAAUAAUCUUUUUUUUUAGAUAAAUAAUUCUUCAAUAAUGUUACUUUAAUUCGAAUGAACAAGAUUAAUCUUUGGCACUGCGUUUUAGUCGUUAUAUUAUAAUUUUUAGAAAUUAUUGUUCUACAUAACCAUUUUAUUUGGUUCACAUAAAGACUAAUUCAGUUUAUUUUUUUGCAAAGUAAGUAGAUAAUUUAUUUACGCAACAACACUCCAUGUAGCCGGAUUAUCUGAUAAUACACACACCAAUAAUUGGUGAGCCCAAAUGACAUGAGAGCUGCACCGGGGGAAAAAAACAACCCUUAGAAUUUUAGCAUCGGCAAGUCUUGCAACAUAAUGACUUCAUGCCUUGCAUAUUUGUCCUUCUAGAUUUAGUUCAGCAUGUAUUUGUAUUGAAUGUCCUUUUCUUUGUCCCAUCAUGUAAGUCAUUGCAUUUUGAACCCACCUCAAAUUUGAGAUUGAAGCCAACUUCCGGGUGAAAAGAGGAUGGCCUUGAACACCAUUUCUCUAGGUUUUCAUCUUACAAAAAACUUGUCAACAGGAUCAAGUGUGGGGAUGAACGUCUUAUGUCUCUCUAUCUUACGGACACAAUUGAUAUGCAUUCUAGUUCAUUGGGACGUGCCUUUAUCUUAAGAACACAAGUGGUAUGCAUUCCAGUUUUUGUGUCUCCAAAUAUGUGCCCUGCUAUCUUUUAUAUGCAUUCAUAUUUGCAUAGUUGGGAUUCAUGUCUUACGCAUCUAAGGUAGGGCCACACAUUUCUGUUUAAGGGGAUGCUAGUUUUUUGAUCCCCAACUAUUUUUUUAUGGGCAGUGUUCCUAUUUGCUAGGAUGAGAACUUUUGCAUCUGCAAAAAGUUGCAUUUCCCAGCUAUAUUUUUGGACGCAAAUUAUGUGUUAAUAUAUGUGCACCCUUGCUAAAACUUCUGUUGUCGAGAUCCCUGGUCUGGUACCAUCAUUUUGAGAGCUAAUGCAUGGGUCCCAAACUCACACAGGUUUCUGGAGAGUUUGAUGGGCAAGGAAGUUGAAUAUGCUGUUGUCAUUACAGCUUUCUGGGCAAUUGAAUCUGUGUACCAAGAGAGCUUUGCCCACUGCUUAGAAGAUGGUAACGAAACCCCACCGCCAUUACUGGAUACCUGCCAAAGAUGGGGCAACCGCGAUUUUGGACAGUACUGUUUUUCCCUCAAAAAAAUUGCUGAUCGGUGGCUGAAGAAGGCUUCUGGUGAUAUUCUCAAAAAGACUGAAGUGGUGCUCCUCUCUGUUCUUGAACAUGAAGUAGCCUUCUGGAAUAUGAGCCGCGUGCAUGUGGCAGAAGCCGAGCACUAAUUCUCCUCUCGGGCUACUUGUCAGCUGAGUACUUCAAGCUAGAGUAAGUGAAUUUUCUUGAUUUAUGCUUUUAUAAUGUUGGUGUCAGUAGAUUAUAGCAAAUGCAUAUGUAGGUUUUAUGUUGUAAUUGUAAUUAGGUAUUAGUGGAAAAGUGUUUUAUGCUUUGCGCCAUGUAUAUCAUCAGUGAAAGCUUGGACAGAACCUACAUAGAUAUAUACACACACCACGUAAUCAAUAGUUAGUGCCUGGAGAGAAUCUAUAUAUACACAUAUACACACUAUCAAGGCACGAACUUCAUCCUAUGUUACUCUCUAAAAUAUUUUGUUGCUUCUUUGGCUAGCAGAAUAAAGAACGUGUAGAAGAGAUUCAAUCUACUAGUCCAAUUUAUGGGUAACUUCUAAUUGCCCAUUUGGUUUAUUUUCCUUGAUGUUAAUUCAUAUAUAUAUAUAUAUACAUAUAUAUAUAUAUUACUAUUAUAUAUAGCUGCCCAUUUUGAGAUCCGAUUAGAGUAGUAGCAUUUCAUAAGAUAUAAUUAAUUACUAUAUCUAUAUACCAAUACCAAUAACAUGUAAGCUUAGUAGUUAAAAUUUUUGUAAAUCUUUUUAAGUGGAGAAGUUAUAUUAAAUUGUUUACUAUAUCUAUACAUUGUAUGCGGAAAAACGUUUAUAGAUAUUUAAACUAUAAAUAUUUGAAGUCAUUGUUUUGGCUUUAAAAUAUAUAUUAAAUACAGAAAUUAAAUAAUUUAAAAAAUAAUUACUUAAUUAAUUGUAUUUUUUUAAGAAAAAGUCAAAGAAGACGCAUCUAGAAAUUUGAUAAGUCCUUUGUGAUUAUGGUUAAUUAAUUAUAUCUUUAAUUAAUUAAUGAUAGUACGGGUGGCAUAAUCACAUAAUUAGUUUUGUCAUUUAACAUUACGUGUGAUGUUCAUUUUGGUAAUUAAUUAAUAUCGAGUCUUUUAUAAUUAUCAUUAAUGAUGUCAUAAUUAUUUUAUAUAUUUCUUGAAUUUAUAAAACGCAAUGAUGAAAAUUCUUUAUGGUAUUAACCAAACAAGGAGCGACACGUCAUAUCAAUUACCAGAAGAAUGUAACCUGAGAAAAUUGGUUUCAUCAUCAUCAACAUCCUGACGAUUUUAUUAAAUUACGACUAGUAAUUCAUUAAAACUCGAAGAUCCCAGGGGAUAUAAUCGGCUGUGUCGCACCCCCAACUUGCCAUGGUACCCGGCAAAGUUCCGGCGACGCCAUUUUUUCCGAUGACUGGCCGUCGCAGGAGCAGCCGGCGACGGACGAACUACCGACCUGCAUACAGCUAUUCAGUAUCAUAAUCUCCAAAUGAAACAUAUAAUUCGCCAGUCUCGUCUUCUCAGCCCUCAGCACGUUAUUCUCGGACUCCACAGCCUUAUUGCUCUCCAUUAUGAUAUCAAACCUCUUGUUUCCCUCCUGUAUUUUUCUAUUCAGAAGAGCAAUCUCGUUGACCAGAUCCUCGAUCUGCUUCUGCCUCCUCAGCCGUGACCUUCUCGCCGAUUCGCGGUUCGACAGCAUUCUCUUCCUUCUCUUCUCGUCCGUAAUCACGGCGUAUCGCGCGUCUUUUUCCAAAACCGAGUUCGUCAGCUGAAUCCCCUGCUUCACCAUUUUUCUAGAAAUUCCCGAACCCGAUCCAAGAAAUUUUGGUCGCCCAACGGCGGAUUGUUUGGCGACGAGGAAAAUGCUCCUUACCGAUUCUCGCAGUAAAAUUCCGAAUAAACAAACACGAUUAUCCGGAGAGAGAAUUUAAUUUCGAGCAAUCAAAUCUCCGGAUUCGACGAUGAAAAUCGAGAAGGGAAAAUUAAGAAAACUUGUAAAACCAAUAGAGGAUUACAACUGAGACUGACUGGAAAACAAGAAGCUGACAGAACUGCGUUAGGUUGUUCAUAUAUCGAUAAUGGCGGAAAUUGUGUGUAUAAUUAUAUAUAUAUUCUCCUGGUACCAUCGACGAACCAGUAAACAAAGCAUGACGGGCCGGGAGAUUUUCAGACGAAAGAAAUUAAGAUCCUCCCAGGCAGAAGUAUGGAGGAAGACGAUAAAGUCGGCUGAGAAUUAACGUGAAGAAGGAGAUAAGAUAUAAAGCAUAGAGCUGAAGAUUAAGGUGCGGAAAAUGGUGUAUAUAUAUAUAUAUAUAAUUAUAGACCAUAAGAGAUUAUGUCUUUAUCCAUUAUCCCAAAAUUUUGAGUAUUUUAAGGUUAAAAAAUUAAUUAGAGAUUUUUAAGGUAAUACUAAUUUGGGUAAUUCAGUUGGUACAGAAAUAUCCUUCCUAAAUUGUAAUAAAUAAAUUUUAAAUGCAAAAAUCAGUAUAAUUUUUUUUUUAAAAUAUUAAAUUAAUUAGACAAUGUUAUAACUAAAAAGGUAUGUUAAAAAAUAGGUAAUUACUUUCUUAAAUGUAAUUAAUUAUGUUUGCUCUAAAAUUGACAAUUCCAUGUGUAGAGAAUUUUGGAAGCUGUUACCCUCAUACUAUUUUGAAUGGUCAAUUUGAUGUUUAAGGUAAUUUGUUAAUAUAUUUUCCCAAGGAUAAGAAUUUUCCUUAAUUUCAUACAUAUAUAUAUAUAUAUAAUAUAUCUAUAUUUAUAUACGUAUUGAGGUAAGUGGGUAAGGAUAAAAUUGGGUUACUAAUAUUCUCCAAGAAUGUAUCCACUCCCAUUUUCAUUUUUUAAUGAAGACUUUGUUAUGAGUUGGUUUAAUUUAGUUAUCGUAGUAUCAUUAAUUCUUCGGAUACCACCAUCGCUUUUUCUUCGGGAAAAGAAGUUCACGGCCCGUGGGCCUUCUACCUCCAUGCGGCAUUGCUCCGUCAGGCUUUCGCCCAUUGCGGAAAAUUUCUCACUGAUGCCUCAUGCAGGAGUCUGGGCCAUGUCUCAGUCCCGUUGUGGUUGAUCAUCCUCUCGGACCAGCUACUGAUCGUCGUCUUGGUAAGCUAUUGUCUUACCAACUAGCUAAUCAGACGCGAGCCCCUUCUCGGACGGAUUACUCCUUUAUGUUAGUGAAAUAUUUAUUUUACUAAAAAAAAUAAUAAAUUUGUAAAAAUUUAAUUUAAUUUGGUUACCGUAACCCACUAAUAUAAUUAAGUCUUCGAUAUUAAAAAAUUGAACAUUAUAAGUUAUUCAUCUUGACUUAUAAUACACUCAUAAAAUUAUAAAUUUUAUAUUUUUAAUAAAAUUUUAAUAUAUAACUUUUAAAUAAAUUUAAAGUAGACUAAUUUAAUAUAAAUUAAACACUAAAUUUCACAUUAUUGAACUAAGUACAUUUGAUUUAACCGUUAUUUAAUCAUAAGAAUUUUGUUGGUUACAUUUCAAUACGUUUAUUCUUCUGUGUAUAUAUAUAUAUAUAUGUACGUACGUAUAUAUAUGUGUGUGUGUGUGUGUGUACAUACAUAUCUGCAUAAACCACUUCUGUGCAGGAUAACCGAUAAUUCUAUUCUCUGAUUUCUCAACGACAGUGGAGCUUGGACGACAAGGCAAAUGCAAGCUUUCAAUAUGAAAAUGUAAAACUUAAUCUUAUAGUCCAAUCGCUAUCUGCUUCCAACACUUAUCCAUACCUGUCUGUACACCUUAUCUAAAUGUAGUUUGCUACGUUAUCAAUUCACACACACACACACACACACACACACACACACACAUAUACACACACACACACACACACACACACACACAUAUAUACACAAUGCGUAUGUAAAUGAAUAAACAGUCAUCAACAAUAUACUCAGUAUAAUGAUUAGCACUUUUAUAUGCUAUUUUAAUAUUAUAAAUUCAUAUUUUAUUAAAAAUGUAUAUCUUACCCAUUUAUAAAUAUAUUAUAAUCUAACAUGGGUCAAUUUCUAAUAUUUAAUAUAAUAAAAUAAAAAUUUAAUUUAUAAAUAUAUUGGUGAAAUUAAAGCAAAUAAAACGAGUAAUUAUUCUAAAAUAUAUAAAUAAUACUUUUAUUUAUUAUAUAAAUUUUUUAUAUUUAAAAAUAUAAUAAAUUUAUUAAAAUUAACAUAAUAAUGAGUUAAAUUUUUAUUUUUUUAAAAUUAAAUAUUAUAAAUUAAUUACUAUUAUUUAAAAUUUAAGCUUAUAAUAUUUAAAUAAAAUAUGAUACUCUCCAAAUCAAUAAAAUUAUUAGUUAAUAAUGUAAUUAAAUUAAUUAUUGUUUUUCUUAUAUUAUCAUUAUCAUUAUUUUUUUGAGAUAAACAAAAUGAUACUUUGAUAAUACCAUUUACCUUUUUUUUAGGGGAUGAUAAGUGCACUUGCUUAUCAUUUUCGAAGGGAUUGAUAUGAUAAAUUUUUCAAGAAGAAGAAAAAUUCUCAACAAAGUGGCUGUAGUUUAGUGGUGAGAAUUCCACGUUGUGGCCGUGGAGACCUGGGCUCGAAUCCCAGCAGCCACAUUUGUAGGCCUUUUGUGUUCUGCCGUUUUUUUUUUUUGGGAGGGGAGCUUCUUUUGCCCUUUCAUGGCGUUUUAUAUAUAUAUUUUUUUCUAAAAAUAUUGUAUAUAUGCCAAGAAUGCUUUUGAACAAGGUAAUCCUGGAAAGUGCUUUUCAACAAGCUCGUUCUCUAGGUGCUUUACUAACAAAAUACCAGUUAGCUGCUAAUAUAUAUCGUGCUUUUUAAGAAGGUGCUCGUGUUGAUUGUCUGUCUAACCAUGUGAGAUUCACGAUGAAUAUAUACAUAUCACUGUUCGCAACCAAAAGAAAUUAUGCAUUUAAGCAGAUGCUCGUACGUGUCUCAUGCGACUAUAGUCUAUACAUACAUACAUAUGUAUACACAUAUAGUCAAUACUUUUAUUACUACACGUACCAAACUCAACCCCAAGAGUAUGCAUGUGAACUCAAUCUAAUCUCAUGCGUUCAGCGCAUGGAAACCUACGAGUAUUUACACAAUUAAAUUUGCCAGUUGGAGCAUGACGUCUAACAGCACCCAAAACUGUAGGAAAAUGGCGUAAGAAGCUGGAACUCUCACCAUGCAAACACAACUCCCCUAUAUAUAUACCCCUCGAAUCUAUAUACGGAGCAACGCAAAGAAAACAUAUCUUACUUCGAGUCCACUCAGUGACUUUAAGAGAAGAAAAGAAAAAAGAAGAUGGCCGGUCAUGGACGAGACCCGAAGAUGACCGUCGUUCAUAAAGCUGCAGAGAAAGUGAGCGGAGCCCCAGUUGCCGUCAUCCAUGGGGUUGCUCAUCCUAAGCCAUUACUUGUUUCUAACCAACACCCAGUACUGCAGGGGUCCAGCGUUUCAAUUUCUACUGCUCCACCAUUUGCUUCUGAUCAGAAGAUGGCGCCUACCGGUCCAUACUCCUACGUUGCGUCAGCUCCAUACCACCACUAGCUAUUUCUUUACACGACUAUAUAUUAAAAAAGUUAAGGAAAUAAAGUUUAAUAUAAUAUGAAUAAAGAAUGGUGAGAUAAUUCUUGUCGUGUAAUUAUCUCCGGCAUGUGGUUUAAUCAGUCGUCUUCUGUUUGGUUUCUGCUUCUGUGUGCAAAUAAGAGCAUCGUUGAUGUUGUACUGGUAAAUUAAAGGUUAAUCCCAUGAAGCCCGGUACAUACAUACAUACAUAUAUAUAUAUAUAUAUAUAUAUAUAUGAAAGGACCUUGUAUUUCUUGCUAGGUUGAUUACUAUUUACAUGCACCUUGUAAUUUGUACGAGAUAAUAUAAUGAUGAUGCUUAUAAUUGUUAAUCUGAUUUGGGUCCCUUUACUUGACAACGAUAUAUGCUAUUUAUGACGUCAUAUAUAAUGUUUAAAUAAUAUAUAAUAAAAAGAAUUAAAUAUUAAAUAAAUUUCAUUGUCUUUAAAUUUUUAAGAUGAUUAUUACCACUAAAAUUAUUACUUUACAAUAAAUAAUAGAUAAAUAUCAAUUAUAAUAUAAUAUAAUAUAAAUAAUUUCUAAAUGAUAAUAUAUAUAGGAACACAAAUUUAAUUCAAAUUAAUAAACUAAUAAAAUAAUAAAUAAGAAGAAAACGGCAGCGUAGAACUGACCACGUGGUCUGAUAACUACAAUCGUUAUAUUUAUAUACACUGUAAGAACGAAGAGUCCCUUAAAACUCAAACACCUCGCACGUGUGAAAUAAAUUUGCUUUCGCACGUGUAGAUAACUAGUCCAGAAUCAUGCAAUUUUACCAGUCAAGAUCCAAGUAAUUAACACUAAUCAAAUAUGUUGAGAGGCCUUAAUUAAAUCAGGCCCAAGCCCAUGAGGAGAAAUAAAUGGGCUACGUUCGGCCCAAAGGAUUGCACGUGUGAUGUGCGUGCGUGCGUGCGUGUGUGUAUGUAUAUAUAUAUAUAUAUAUGUAUAGCUAGCUGUAUUACGUUAAGAGAAGAUUUUCUGUGGUGUAAUUGUGGCGUAGCGCACGGUUACUUCGGGGGAGGUAUAAAUUUCUCGUUUUAACGCUCAUCCUAGGGUUUUACUCUCCCCGCCGCUGCUCUUCACUUUUUGCUUUCUGGUUAAUUAUGGCGUACGUACACCGUCAUCAUUUUUCCCUCGUUCUUUUUACUUUUCCUUGCACAUCUCUGCUUGGUUAUUAAAGUUCAAAAUUAUAUACGUAUAAGAGGGAGAAUGAUUGGAGAUUUACUUGGUGUGAGAUAUCACAUUGUUCGAGAAACUUUAGAUGUUAUCAGAAUAAAUAAUCGUCAACAAGAGCGGUCUAGUACGUUGUAAAUUCUUAUCCAAGACUUUGUAUCAUUUGACGAUGUCAUGUGAAUCGCUACAAACAUGUUGAGUGUAUUGGUCAACCGAUUGUUGAAGCUUUUACUCGAGGGGAUGCUCUUAAUCCAUUAAAUAUCGUUUAUUCUGGUGUUUACAUCAGGGUCGAAAUACAAUUGAUUUAUGUAUUAAUGAAAAUCUUUAUACUUGCUAGCUUAGUUAUUUACUCGAUGGGUUUUCUUUAUUGCUUUUCAACGAUUUUUACCAAAAAAAUAAAUAAAUUCGUGAUUUUUAUAUAAUAUAAUCAUAACAUAAUAUAAAAUAACAUACGAGACAAAAAAUUUCAUAUACAAUUCUGUAAAGUGACAAUAAAAGUGACUUAUCUAUCAACUUUUUUCACUAUCACUUCUAAAAAAUCAAACUCUACCUUACGUAAAGUUGAUAGAGUACGAUUAACUUCUAAAUUUGAAAUCACUGUUUAUAUAUUCGAUACUGGCCGUAAUUUACAAAAAUAUUCUAUAGUAUUAGUAAGAGGGAGAAUGAUUAAAGAUUUAAUUGGUGUGAGAUAUUACAUUGUUCGAGAAACUUUAGAUGUUAUUAGAAUAAAUGAUCGUCAAUAAGAGCGUUCUAGUACGUUAUACAUUCUUAUUCAAGAUUUUGUAUCAUUUGACGAUGUCAUGUGAAUCGCUACAAACAUGUUGAGUGUAUUGGUCAACCGAUUGUUGAAACUUUUACUCGAGGGGAUGCUCUUAAUCCAUUAAGUAUCGCUUAUUCUGGUGUUUAUAUUAGUGUCAGAAUACAAUCGAUUUAUAUAUUAAUGAAAAUUUUUAUAUUUGAACUCUUUUUUUAUUAUUUCUUAUAUGUCAUAUCUUUAAUAGGGGGUUAGCUACACCUACAACCGAAAUGAAAACUGAGUGUUUCGUGGUUUAAAAAUGUCGAACCUCGUCUCAACCAUCAUUUAUCAUGACUUUUUAGGGUAAGUUCCUUGGCGUGAACACGGUAACAAGAAACACAUAAAUGAAUAUAAUUUAACUUGAAUUUAUAAACUAAUAAAAUUAUAAAUAAAAUUAGAAUAUAUUCAGUUUUAAUAUUAAAAUAGUAAUGAAUUAAUUACGUCUUAGAUGUUAUAUGCUAAUUAAGAAAACGGAACCGUAGUGUAGCGUGGAUUAUGUGGUCUGAUAACUGCAAUCAUCAAUUCAUUAUUUUCAUAUACAUACACUCUUAGGGAUGAAGAGUCCCUUAAAACUCAAACAAGUCGCACGUGUGGAAUAAAAUUUCUUUUGCACGUGCGAAAUAAUUUCCCCUCUUAUGUUUUUUUGGCUGAAAAAUGGCCUAGCACCCACCUGAAAAAAGUACCCUUUUACAGAGUAUGAAAGAAGGUAGUCCACGAAACCUACACAUGAAUUUUGUCAUUAGUCUUACAAUCAUGCAGUUUUACAAAUCAAGAACCAAGUUAUUAACAGUAACCUCAGUAAUUCCGAUCAGAGCUAUCCACCGAUUUAUUAGAUGAGGCAGAGAAAAGAAUAUGUGAAUCACCCACUAACUAUACAUGUGUCACACACCCAUUCUUACACAGCAUUAAUAUGUUGUAUUGUUUGUCUCCAUCAUACGCAAAUUUCAAGACAUUCAUCGGUGGAAGGUUGACUACUAUGAGCAAAUGGUGGCAAAUUUAGCUACGUCAAACGUUGGAGAUUGCUACUAAAUAAUGAUUACACUAUUCCCUAAUAUCAAUCCUCUAUAUAUACUAUAUGCGUAUAUAAAGGCUCAAGCAUUUGCUUGGUUAGUAAAACUGGAAUCAUCACUGUAAGCAAAGCCAGAAAAAUAAGUUCUGUACUUGUGAUUAUCAAAGUGAGGGAGAGCUGUGAAACCAUGGCUGCCAACAAUGUUGGGUCUGAAACUAAGCUUCUAGAUGAGAAAUCCCUUGAGAAUGAUCACUACAAGAUAUUCUGUGAUGAUUCCAGCUCAGUACGGCGAGAAGGUAAGGGUGAGUUGGUUUUUCGUGACCCUGAAGGUAAUGUCUGCAAGAUAAGUACUAUCGCCGACGAGGUUGGAAGGUGGAAACAGGGAGAACAGCCUGUUAAUGUGCCCUUAACAAAAACUAUCAGCCCUUCCGAGGGAAAGGCCAAGAACCAGAAUUAAUUAAAAAUUAUAUGUAUAUAUAUAUAUCUAUAUUAUUGCUAAAGGGUUGACAAUCUUUGCUAUACAUAUAUCUAUAUGCUUGCUAUCUAUAUAUAUAUUUACUAGCUAUAUAUAUAUAUUAUUGUUAAAGGGUUGACAAUCUUUGCUGUCAACCAAAAAAUAAACAGUGUGUUGUACAUAUCUCUGAUUUUAUACCAGAGGAUAAUGUAUUGUGUGAUGCUUGUAUCAGUGUCUAAUCCUGUUUUAGUAGGCUUUAAGUUAACUGAAGGUUACUUAGUUAAUUUACAAAGCAUUUUCUUCUUUUUCUACUUAUUUAUGCUUCAAAUUAUAUAAGCAUGCUUGUCAUAAUAUGUGUAUGCCGACCAGGUGUAUGGCUUGGUUAAUCACUAAGUUAGUCCUUAGAGCCCUGCAUCAGAUUCUCUAAGCUGCUAAUCAGCUGUUGUCUGCUGCUUGUGUCCCUCAUUAUGGCCGAUAUAUAUAUAUAUAUAUAUAUAUGUAAAACUAACCUAACAGGGUCUCAUCUGUGUGCCUGUAUAUAUAAAUAUACAUAUAUAUAUAUAUAUAUAUAUAUAUAUAUAUAUAAGCUGAUCCUUGUUUAUUUAAGGGUGUCGGACAUACAAGACAUAAGUUCUUUAUAAUAGAUCUGCAAUAGAGAUCAUACUACAAUAGAUCAGUAAACUUAAUCUAAUCAGUCUCUCAUGUUGAAAGUUCCAGUGAGAUUAUUCUUGGAAUUGUUGUACUUCCCUUCGUUGAAAUUGGCAAAUUUACCGCUGUAAUUCUUGGUAUCACGGUGUGUGAUUUCAUUGAAAGCUCCAGUGAUGGAAGUGUCAACGAAGUUGUGGUUUCCAACAGUGUUGGCCUGGGAAGCAAUUCUGCCAUUGUUGUUGAAAACCGGCCCUGGAGCAGGCCGAAAGUGAGAGCCAUAGUCGUAUUCGCAGUCAUAAUCGUAGUCAGUCUCGUAUUCUUCUUCAUCUUCUUCGUGCAUUUGUCUCCAAGCCUGCUCCUUUCGUCUAUUCAUUGGACCGAGUCUUUGAUCUGUCGCUAAUUAACUCCGGUGGGUUUAUUGGUGUAUGGUUAGUUUUGAAGGUGGCUUCACUAGCUAGCUCCUUAUAUAGAGUGAUCAAAUGUUGAAAACAGUCCAAUGCCCAUUAGGCUUUUUUUGGGAUAAGAAGGAAUCUUAUUUCCUUUCAAACAAUAGCAAGCACUAUAAUAAAAGAUCAUGGAAUAUAUAUAUAUAUAUAUAUAUAUCUAUAUGCUCAGCCCAAUUGCAAGGAAUAUGAUUCUGAUAACUUUAGUCUCUAGUACCCUCAUACUUUGUAUGGGAACGAAGAAAGACAAGUUUUCUGCAAAAUUUUUCUAUGAUUUUUUGACAAAUAUUUGAAGUGAGCUCUGAAGUUAUUCAUUUCUUGUUAUGGAGAAUUUAAUUAUAAUUACUUUAACAACACAUAAACAUGCUGAGAAUGAUUCAAAAUCAGUCAGCUAAGUGAAUGGAUAAAAGUUGGUUCCUGUAAGUUUAUCAUUAGUGGCUAAGAACAUAUUUGCAUAUACAGCAGAUUUUACUGCACGUAUUUUGCUUUGCUAGUUAUUUGCACCCCCUAUAUGAAGAUUCCUUGCUUUACUUAAGUCGUAAACGAAAAAAAAUUGGUUCCUUUCUCAUCUUAAUAUGUCUUCUUAAUAGUUUUUUCCUUUAUUUCUAGCGAACAAGAUACACACAAAUUCUCAUGGAAUAUAAAUCUAAUUGAUUACAUAUAUAUAUAUAUAUGUAUAUAUAUUCUAUUAUUAGUAGUAGAGCUUCUUGAAUUGUAGAAGAAGCCAACUGACCCAUAUGGGGAGCUUUAGUAACAGUUUUUAUUUCUAGUGCAUCGAUGGUGCUUGUUGCUUUCAGAUGCCUCUUCUUAUCUCCUGGAAUUUCUUGUCAAAUCUGUCGAAUUUUUAUUCCGAGAGAGAUGGAUUGCUUCUCAUCUCCUCCCAAUCCUUACACAAACAUCUAUAUAAGGCGGCACUCGACGGCCAUAGAAAUCAUCAAGCUCGAAACCAAAGACAUCUGAAUUAAACAAGUUAUCAGCAAGAGCAAGAGAAUAUGUCUGGGUACCGCAGGUCUCAAAUUCGCUACACCCCAACAGGAGGGCCGACUUUUAACAGGAAUGCUUCCGAUGGAUCCCAAGCCAACACUGUCGGGUGCGGGAACCAAGUCGAUUCUAGGAUGAACGAUUGUUAUGGUAACUAUAAACACGACACCACCCAGAAUUACAGUGGUAAGUUUGCUAACUUCAAUGCUGGAGAGCACAAUAACUCCAAGAACGAUCUGGGUGGAACUUUCAAUAUGUAAGGAGAGCUGGAAGGAUUAGUGUUCUUACAUUCAUGUAAUGUAAGACUUCUAUGUAUGAAGUAAUUAAAUAAAACGAGGCUCCUAGGUCUCUUUUCGUUUUACUAAUUUUCUUCGUUAUUGCGAACUAAUCAUAUUUUCUUCUUCAAAAUUAAAUAACAAACUAGUUAACGAUAAACAUGCAAUCGAAACACCAUUUGAAGAAUGUAAAUUAGAGAUCAUCUGUAACUUUUCUGAAAUUCGUUAACUUUGACUUAGGAUAACCCCUUCUUGUUCAUUAAAAUUGGUUCCUGAACUUCAGUCUACUGCGAGACGAGUUCUUCAACUCAAAAGGUUGUUCAUUAACCGUGUCUAAGAAGUAAUUACUAAAGUAAAAUUCAGCUCUGCCGAAACUCGGAAAUUGGACGUGCGUAGGAUCCAUUUCUGAUUGCAAGUCGAUAGCCAGGACAAGUUCUGACCUUCGUUUGUGGGAUUGGCCAUGCACAGCACUGUAGAAAUUCUCAAUACAAAAUUCCCAAAACAAAGUGGAACAAGUAAUAAACUCUAAUCCUCUCUUUUCUAAUACAUUCACUAAGUAUAAGAAACAUUCGAGCUCAGGAACAAGGCUACUAAGACUGUAUCUUGGCGUUGGAAUUGCUCUCCGGUUCUCGACUACUACCACGUCUGGACGGAAGCAUGCUGGAUUCUUGAAACCAUGAAUGGACUUCUUUAAAUUGUAUUCUAGUAAUUCUAUGUACUAAUAAUUCAGUAAAACUUUUUUUUUCUUAUAAAAAAGAUUAUAUUUUAAGAAAUUUAAUGUUAAUAUAUUAACUUAUUAAUAUACUAAGAUGAUACACGAAUAUAAGUUUAUAACAUAUAUUAUUGUAAUUUAAAUUACUAUAUAUUAUUAAUUGUAAGUCAUGAUGCAUACCAAAACAAUUGUGGUAUAGAGCAUAUAUCCACUGGACAUGCCUUAUCUCUAGUGGCUGCGGCUUUCAGAUGCCUCAACUCGGAAUUUGUUUUUUAAUAAAAUCAUACAAGUUAACAUGUGCAAUUUCUUAUCACAUAGUAAUAAUGUAUGAAGAGAUACGAUCAACAUAUAAAGCCGAUUCGUUCUCAUCCCAAGUUGUUACCCUGUCCAUAAGAUAAACAUCUAUAUAAGGCACUCGAUGGGGUGCUCUAAAACUCAUCGAGCCACCGAAUUAAGAGAUUUGGAUUAAACAACUGAUCAACGAGAGUUUCGCCAAUGGCCGGGAGGUAACCUCAAUACAGGAGGCCAAUGCGAUAUGAAAUACCAUACGAGCCAGUCCCAGGGCCUACUUUUAACAACAAUGGCAGCGUUGGAACGCAGGCCAACACUGUUGGAAAUGGUAACUACGUUGAUUCUCGAAUUACCGGCAGUUAUAACCAUCGUAACUACAACAAAACUGAGAAUUACAGUGGUAAAUUUGCUAACUUCAAUGCUGGCAAAUACAACGAUUCAAACAACAAUCUGAGUGGAACUUUCAAUAUGAAAUAAUCUCCCAUGGUCUGCCAUGAGGAGUAACUAAUCUUACGUUCAUGUAAUGUAAGACGUUUAUCUAUGAAGCAAUUAAAUAAAAGAAUGUUCUGCUAUCUGUCUAAUUACUGGCUCUUUUUAUUUAUUUUAUUAGCUAAGUUUUUGUUUAAUGAGUUCAAUUAACCAAAUUGAAAUUUGUAAUCCCAAAAAGUUAUAUCGUAAUCCUGAUUAGAAUCAAUAUGAGAAUCUAUAGUAACUUAUAUAUUUGUAAAGAAACUGAUAAAAGAAGUACACUGCAGCAAGAACUUCAUAACCGAGUAAGAAACUUGUAUGUCGAAAAAUAUAAGAUGCUCCAGAAGCACAAAUGAAUUACAAGGUAUAAUAAAUUAUUAACAAAUUUUGAAUUUUGGUUCUAUGAUUUUUUGACAAAAUUUUGAAACAAAUCAAUUAUAUUUAUCAAGUCUACCAACUUAUUUGUGUUCUUGGAAUACCUGAUGAUUGUUAUCAUCAGAGCUCUCUUUUUACCCUAUAACUAAAAGUAUGAGUUGAAUUAUCAACCAGAUCCUUGUUAAGUCUGCAAAGAGAUCGUAACACAAUGCGAGGAACCUGUCCUGAUUUAGAAAGAACUAAAGAAGAAUUUGGAAGUACAUGAACGAAGAACAAGAAAGGAUUUGGAGAGAAUAAGAAAAAAUAGCAGAAGAUUUAGAGAUAAGAAAAAUUAAGAAGAGAAUAAGAAAUCCUAGACGACUGAUUCAAUUCAAAAGGAUUUGUGUUUACAAAAAUUAUCUGCUCAUAAUCUCCAUUUCUUUCUCUUUUAUAUCAGUUUCUCUAAUAGCAGCAAAGCAGAAAUUACAACUAUUCUCUAAUUAAUUUUCAUUAAUCCAGACAACCAAACUAGUUAUUAUCUCCAAAACUAACCAAUAUGAAAUUUGGGUCCUGACACAUACAACAUGGCAAGCUUUAUCUAAUCGAUCUCUCAUGUUGAGAUUUUCACCCAGAUCAUUUUGGAGUCACAUUUCCCUUGGUUGAAAUUGGCAAAUUUACUUCUGUAAUUCUUAGUACUGGGUGUGUAGGCGUGUUGUAAGACUUAGUGAGGGAAAAUGUUCGGAUAGUUGUUGUCUCCAACAGUUUUCGGCCUGGGGAGAUAAUGCUUGCCAUUGUUGUUAAAGAUAGGCCCUGGAACAUGCCAACGCUACGAACAUUGCACGUGUAGUUUUAUUCUAUUCUCAAACUGUUCUAUCAAAGAAUUCGAGCAUACAAGUAUUCGGAAAAUAGCAAGCACUAAUAAAGAACAACGGCUUGUAGAUAUUAGCCAACAUGAUAUUUUUUCUUUUUCCCCCUUUUGAGGAUAUAUGCUCAUCCCAAUUGCGAGGAAUGUGAUUCUACGAACUAAAUUCUAUAUUACUUUAUACUCUACUUUGGAGGAAAGAAGAAAAACAAGUUUCUGCAAAAUUUUUCUAUAAUUUUUUUCUGACAAAGACUUGAAUUAGACUCUGAAAAUGUUCAUUUCUAGUUUUGUAGCAGCUAAUUGUAAUUUCUGUAAGAACACAUAGAUAUAUACCAAUAGAAAUAAUAACUAUUGAGGUAAAAGGGUCAAAAGACCCAAAAUGAAUAAUGCAUGUAAUUGAUUACACACACACACACUCAUAUAUAUAUAUAUAUAUAUAUUCUACUGUUAGUAGUAGAUCUUCUUGAAUUCCAGAAGAAACCAACUUACCCCAAUAUAGAGAGCUUUAGAAACAAAAUUUUUACCUCUAGUGCGUCGGAUGCUUUAGUAACAACUUUAUGUCUAGUGCGUUGGUAGUGCUUAUUGCUUUCAGAUGCCUCUUUUUAUCUCCUGGAAUUUCUUAUCAAAUCAGUCGAAUUUUUAGUCCGAUAAUGAUGGAUUGCUUCUCAUCUCAUCCCAGUCCUUACAUAAAUGUCUAUAUAAGGUGGCACUCGACGGCCAUUAAAAAUCAUCAAGCUCGAAAUUAAAGACAUCUGAAUUAAACAAGUGAUCAGCAAGAGUAGGAGAAAAUGUCUGGCUACAGAAAUGCUCAAAUCCGUUACACCCCGACCGGAGGGCCUACUUUUAACAGAAAUGCUUCCAGUGGGUCUGAAGCAAACACUGUUGGGAACUGUAACAAAGUCGAUUCUCGGAUGAACGAUUGUUACAAUGAGCAUAAAUAUGAUACCACUCAGCACUACAGUGGUAAGUUUGCUAACUUCAAUGCUGGAGAGCACAAUGAUUCCAAGAACAAUCUGAGUGGAACUUUCAAUAUGUAAGGAGAGCUGGAAGGAUAAAUAAUCUUACAUUCAUGCAAUGUAAGACUUCUUAUGUAUGAAGCUAUGAAAUAAAACAAGGCUCUCUUUUAUAUAUAUUCUAUUUAGCUUCUUCAUUUUUCGAGCUAAUAUGUUGCGUUUCCAAAUAUGAAUAAUUAACAUGAAGAAUUGCGCCAACCCGUAAGAUUACAGAUUAAGUUUACUUGUCCGAAAUUUGGUGGUUAUAUCGCACUCUCACACAAAAGAAAGGGAACUCAAUUACAUUUCCAAAAAAUCACUUAAAAAAACAACUUAAGAAAUCAUUUGGUGAACUCAAAGUAGAAUCGUAAACUCAACUGAAGCGUAAUCGAACACAACUAUGUAACUAGAGAGGAUUUUUUGCACCGAAAACCGAACGCGAAAGAAAAAUAUUUUAUAAUUUCUAUGUGUCAGAUUAUACUAAAUACUCACAUGUGUGUUAAAGUUUAGAGAAGAUGAAAGAGAUUAAUAAAUUUCCAUUGUUGCUCUAUGGUCACCACCGGAACGUAGUCUUGAUUCAUUAUCUAAGUACUAUGUGCGUAUAAAGCGUGGAAGAAGAAAAUCGCUGCUGGAAUCUACCUCUGAAACAGAGGCAGAAAAGGGACUGCUCCUUGGAAUUUCACUCCCAGAGCAGAGUCGUGCGANNNNNNNNNNNNNNNNNNNNNNNNNNNNNNNNNNNNNNNNNNNNNNNNNNNNNNNNNNNNNNNNNNNNNNNNNNNNNNNNNNNNNNNNNNNNNNNNNNNNNNNNNNNNNNNNNNNNNNNNNNNNNNNNNNNNNNNNNNNNNNNNNNNNNNNNNNNNNNNNNNNNNNNNNNNNNNNNNNNNNNNNNNNNNNNNNNNNNNNNNNNNNNNNNNNNNNNNNNNNNNNNNNNNNNNNNNNNNNNNNNNNNNNNNNNNNNNNNNNNNNNNNNNNNNNNNNNNNNNNNNNNNNNNNNNNNNNNNNNNNNNNNNNNNNNNNNNNNNNNNNNNNNNNNNNNNNNNNNNNNNNNNNNNNNNNNNNNNNNNNNNNNNNNNNNNNNNNNNNNNNNNNNNNNNNNNNNNNNNNNNNNNNNNNNNNNNNNNNNNNNNNNNNNNNNNNNNNNNNNNNNNNNNNNNNNNNNNNNNNNNNNNUACAAUAAAAAGUAUAUAGAGACAUGGAAUCAACGAAAUAGUGACGAUUCUUUCUCAUCUCAAAUUGUUACCUUUUCCAUAAAGAUAAACAUCUAUAUAAGGAGCUAGACGAGGUGGUCUAAAACUCAUCGAGCCAUCAAAUUAAGAUUUCUGAAUUAAACAACUGAUCAACUAGAGUUUAGCAAAUGGCCGGAAGGUACAAUCAGUAUAGGAGGCCAAUUCGAUAUGAAACAUAUGAGCCAGUUCCAGGGCCUGUUUUUAACAACAAUGGCAGUGUUGGAACGCAAGCGAACACUGUAGGAAAUGGCAACACUGUCGAUGCUCGAAUCACCGACAGUUACAACCAGCAUGACUACAACAAUACCCAGAAUUACAGUGGCAAAUUUGCGAACUUCAACGCCGGAGAGAAGAACAAUUCAACAAACAAUCUGGGCGGAACUUUCAAUAUGUAAUAAUCUCCUAUGAUCUGUCAUGGGGAUAAAUAAUCUUAUGUUCAUGUAACGUAAGACUUUAAUCUAUGAAGCAAUUAAAUAAAAGAAUAUCAGUCUGCUAUCUGUUUAAUUACUAGCCUUUUAUUUUCUUUAUUUUGCGAGCUAAUCCCUCAUAUUUUUCCCCGAUUCUUCGACAUAUGCAGGACCCGUCCUGCAAAACAAAGCAUUGAUAUUAGUUCACAAAUAUAUUUAAGACGAAGUUAAAUGUUCUGUUAAUUAGUUCAAUUCGCCAACUUGAAGUUUGUAAUUCCGAAGAAUUAUAUAGUAACUUUAUAUAUUCGUAAGAUUAUUUCAUCACGACAUCAUAUCAUUAUGGAUUAGAAAAUUUUGCAUUGUAUAGCUUUCUCAAAGAUCAUUCUCUUCAUCUUCGUUCUGUUGAAAAGAUCAUUUGGUUAGUCCACUACCAAAAUCUACCUCUCCUUAUAGCCCUGCCUCAGAUUUUAUAAUUUGCUGAUCAGCCAUCAGUGAUCUUCAGCUUAUGUUAUUUCAGAAUAUUUUAGAUGUUGCAUAUAAGCUUCUGGAGAUUUUUUAAAAUAAUAAUUAAAAAGUUAAAACUAAUAAUUUAUAAAUUAAGAUGAUUUUUUUUUAUCUUAUAGAGAAUUAGCGUUAUAAAUAUUUAUAUUUAAAAUUUUUCUACGUAAUUCAUGUCUUAAAUUUAAUUAUAAUACAUGUAUUAAAAUUUUAAGAGUCGUAUUACCAUCUAUAUAUAUAUAUCUAAGUACUUGGAAGAUUUUUUACAACAAUCACAAAUAAAAAUUUAAAAAUUUCUAUUAAUUUCUUUUUUCAUCACAUUUUUAACAAAAUAUUAUUUAAAAUUAAUCUAUCUUUUAAAUUUUUUUUUCAACAGACGAUAAAAACUUCAUAACCAAUAAGAAACUUGUGCGUCGGAAAAUAUAAGACAUUCCAAAAGCUCAAAUGAAUUUUGUCUGCAGAUAUCUAUUUUAGAAGCUGUAAAUCAUGGAGUAGCAGUUGUAUACACAAAAUCUAAGAGCCCUACAUAUGUAAUUUACUCAAUUACAUCCCAUGUGUGCACGAACACGGAGAACCUUGCACGUGUAGAUUCCUCUAUUCUCGAACUUUCAUGUCAAAGAAUUCGAGUAUAAAAUUAUCGGAAAAUAGCAAGCACUAUAAUGAAGAAUCACAGCUUGUAUGUAUAGCCAACAUGAUAAUUUUUUUUUUCCUUUGGGGGGAUAUAUGCUCAUCCCAAUAGCUAAGAAUAUGAUUCUGCUAACUAAAGUCUAUAGUACCUUUAUAUUUUACCCUGUAUAGGAAAGAAGAAAAACAAGUUUUCUGCAGAAAAUUUUUGACAGAUAUCUGAAGUGAGCUCUGAAGUUAAUCAUUUCUAGUCUUGGACAAAUUAUAAUUACUUAAACAACACAUAGAUAUACACGAAUUCUAAUAAUAACCAUCUGAGGUAAAAAGGGUCCAAAGACCCAAAAUGAGAUAUACAUGUAAUUGAUUAUAUAUAUGUAUUCUACUGUUUGUAGUAGAUAUUCUUGAAUUCCAGAAGAAGCCAAGUGACCCUCAUGUGGGGAGCUUUAGUAACACCUUUUAGCUCUCGUCCGUUGGUAGUGCUUAUUGCUUUCGGAUGCUUCUUUUUAUCUCCUGGAAUUUCUUAUCAGACGAGUAGAAUAUAUUAUCGGAUAAAGACUGAUUACUUGUCAUCUCAUCCCAAUCCUUACAUAGACAUCUAUAUAAGGUGCCACUGGACGGCCUUCAGAAAUCAUCGAGCUCAGAAACUAAAGACAUCUGAAUUAAACAAGUGAUCAGUAAGAGCAGGAUAAAAUGUCUGGAUACAGGAGGUUUCAAAUCCGUUACACCCCGACCGGAGGGCCAACUUUUAACAGAAAUGCAUNNNNNNNNNNNNNNNNNNNNNNNNNNNNNNNNNNNNNNNNNNNNNNNNNNNNNNNNNNNNNNNNNNNNNNNNNNNNNNNNNNNNNNNNNNNNNNNNNNNNNNNNNNNNNNNNNNNNNNNNNNNNNNNNNNNNNNNNNNNNNNNNNNNNNNNNNNNNNNNNNNNNNNNNNNNNNNNNNNNNNNNNNNNNNNNNNNNNNNNNNNNNNNNNNNNNNNNNNNNNNNNNNNNNNNNNNNNNNNNNNNNNNNNNNNNNNNNNNNNNNNNNNNNNNNNNNNNNNNNNNNNNNNNNNNNNNNNNNNNNNNNNNNNNNNNNNNNNNNNNNNNNNNNNNNNNNNNNNNNNNNNNNNNNNNNNNNNNNNNNNNNNNNNNNNNNNNNNNNNNNNNNNNNNNNNNNNNNNNNNNNNNNNNNNNNNNNNNNNNNNNNNNNNNNNNNNNNNNNNNNNNNNNNNNNNNNNNNNNNNNNNNNNNNNNNNNNNNNNNNNNNNNNNNNNNNNNNNNNNNNNNNNNNNNNNNNNNNNNNNNNNNNNNNNNNNNNNNNNNNNNNNNNNNNNNNNNNNNNNNNNNNNNNNNNNNNNNNNNNNNNNNNNNNNNNNNNNNNNNNNNNNNNNNNNNNNNNNNNNNNNNNNNNNNNNNNNNNNNNNNNNNNNNNNNNNNNNNNNNNNNNNNNNNNNNNNNNNNNNNNNNNNNNNNNNNNNNNNNNNNNNNNNNNNNNNNNNNNNNNNNNNNNNNNNNNNNNNNNNNNNNNNNNNNNNNNNNNNNNNNNNNNNNNNNNNNNNNNNNNNNNNNNNNNNNNNNNNNNNNNNNNNNNNNNNNNNNNNNNNNNNNNNNNNNNNNNNNNNNNNNNNNNNNNNNNNNNNNNNNNNNNNNNNNNNNNNNNNNNNNNNNNNNNNNNNNNNNNNNNNNNNNNNNNNNNNNNNNNNNNNNNNNNNNNNNNNNNNNNNNNNNNNNNNNNNNNNNNNNNNNNNNNNNNNNNNNNNNNNNNNNNNNNNNNNNNNNNNNNNNNNNNNNNNNNNNNNNNNNNNNNNNNNNNNNNNNNNNNNNNNNNNNNNNNNNNNNNNNNNNNNNNNNNNNNNNNNNNNNNNNNNNNNNNNNNNNNNNNNNNNNNNNNNNNNNNNNNNNNNNNNNNNNNNNNNNNNNNNNNNNNNNNNNNNNNNNNNNNNNNNNNNNNNNNNNNNNNNNNNNNNNNNNNNNNNNNNNNNNNNNNNNNNNNNNNNNNNNNNNNNNNNNNNNNNNNNNNNNNNNNNNNNNNNNNNNNNNNNNNNNNNNNNNNNNNNNNNNNNNNNNNNNNNNNNNNNNNNNNNNNNNNNNNNNNNNNNNNNNNNNNNNNNNNNNNNNNNNNNNNNNNNNNNNNNNNNNNNNNNNNNNNNNNNNNNNNNNNNNNNNNNNNNNNNNNNNNNNNNNNNNNNNNNNNNNNNNNNNNNNNNNNNNNNNNNNNNNNNNNNNNNNNNNNNNNNNNNNNNNNNNNNNNNNNNNNNNNNNNNNNNNNNNNNNNNNUAUUAAAAAAAAAAACUUGAUAUAGUCUUUCAUUCUGAAAAGGAAAGAAAAAUUCUACACGUUAACAUGUGGAAUUUCUCAUCAUAUAAUUAAAAAUAUGUAAACAUAUCCGAAUCAACAAAUAAAGUCGAUUCCAUCUCAUCCUGAAUUAUUAUUAUCUUGUGCGUAUAGAUUAGUUGUUUCUCACCCAUAAGACUUAAUAAACAUAAUACAAAACUUAAUUCAUUAGUAUAUUGAUAAGAUUGUGUUAACUCAAUUGAGUUUUUUCCGUGUGAAUUAUGAUUUUUUUGGAUAAAAAACAUCGAGCAGCGGCUAAAUUUUCUGAGUUUGAAUAGUCAUAACAUAUUUAAAAACUUCGACUUAAUUUUUUAUUUUUAUUAAAAAAAAAAAGAAAAUUCUUCACGUGAACAUGUGGAAUUUCUCAUGGCAUAAUAAAAAGUAUGUAAAGACAUGCGAUCAAACAAAUAAAGUUGAUUCCUUCUCAUCCCACGUUAUUACCUUGUCCACACAGAUAUGCAUCUAUAUAAGGAGCUAUAGACAGGGGGCUCUAAAACUCACCAAGCCACCAAACAACUACCUCUGAAUUAAACAGCUGAUCAACAAGAGUUUUGCCAAUGGCCGGGAGGUACAAUCAGUCUAGGAGGCCGAUGCGAUAUGAAGUUCAGUAUGAGCCAACUCCAGGGCCUACCUUUAACAACAAUGGCAGCGUUGGAUCGCAGGCCAACACUGUCGGAAACGACAACUACGUCGAUGCUCGCGUGAGUGGAAGUCACAACCGUCAUACCCACGAUACUACCCAGAAUUACAGUGGUAAGUUUGCUAACUUCAAUGCCGGAGAGAACAACAACUCAGACAACAAGCUGAGUGGAACGUUUAACAUGUAAUAAUCUCCCAUGAAAAGUCUGUCAUGGGGGUAAAGCAGAGCUUAUAAAGCUGGUACGCUAAAUAAUCUUGCGUUCGUGUGAUGUAAGACUUUUAUGUAUGAAGCAAUUAAUAAAAGAAUGCUCUGCUAUCUGUUUAAUUACUAGCUUCUUCUUAUCUUUUACCUUAUGAGCUAAUCUCUCGUAAUAUGCCCUGAUUUCGCAACACAAGAAUGCCCACCCUGCGAAAAACAACAUUAAUAUUCAUGAUCGAAACUCAGAACUGAAUCUAAUAAGUUGGACAAAUAUGUUUGACC